rnacentral:lncRNA from 1 species
AGCAACCCCUGGUUGAUCUCCUGUUCUUGUAAAGUAUUGAACACCUGGUGUCAUUGUGUCCCCUAUGCCUAAAGGUCUUCUGUGAAAGUUGCAUGAAUAUCUAUGUCAAUAAUGGAAGUGACUGACUUGUGAAUGCAAUCUCAUCUCAGAAGGUAAGUCCCACAGUGGAUAAUAGUCUGUUUUACAUGAUCACUUACAUAUUUGUAAACAUUUCAUAUAUGUAAAUUCACUACUUCCAGAGCAGAGGAGUAACACAAACAAACACAACAAACAAACAAAAAAACACAUCACAACAUUUCACUUACUUUACAUACUGAGUCAUUUAUGGAAGCUGGCUAAAUUAUUUUAUGGUGUUGUUUUUGCUUGUCAUGUGAACUCUCUUUCUAGGUCAAUAAGUGAAUAAUCAUGUGGUUGUUUGUAUCUAACAAAUGGAAAUAUAUCAUGAAUAUACAUUGGAUAACAUGGUGUAACUUUUAUAUGGGGAGAAGGCUUUUUUAACCCAUUGAGUGCAACUUACAAGAAGAGAACAAGAAACAAUCUCUGCCAAUUAAAGGGCUGGAUGUCCCAGCAAGCUUAAAUUGAUUCUAGAUCCAUUAUUGAUCUAUUGUAAGCAGGGUUCUUGAUGGAAUUUUAAUUAUGAUACAUUGCAUUUAUUCGCAUCACUCCAGAACUGCAUACAUUACAGGAUUUGGUAUCUCAGAACAAGUUGGCAAGAGUAUUAUGAACCCUAUGUAACCCUCUCUCAUAUCCGCACUGAGAACAAAAAUAUAGGAAUGUUAUAUUUUCUGCUUGAUAGAAAUAAUUACAUUUACAUUACAUUUUACAUUUCUAGGAUCAUUUGAUAUAUAUUUAUGUGUGUGUGUGUGUGUGUGUAUAACCACAAACACAUAGUAUACACACACACACACUCACACUCACUAGCAAUAAUAAUGCAAAUAUGUUCAAAUUUGACCAGACAUCACUCUUCAAUGUAAUGGGUAUGAAGUGCUGUUGAUUGAAGAGGGUGUGCCUGCUGUUAACCCUAGGAAUGCCAGAGAGUUUAGAAUCACAUUCUGGUGCCUACAUAGUUAAUUCUUCAAGUUACAGACAUCCAUGUGAAAUAGUGCAUAAUUCGUUGCAUUUUAAUGGUUAAAGGAGCCUCAUCUGGUCCCUAGAGAGCCAGUUCUCAUGUAGAGAAAAAAGGGAAGUGUUGCUUGGCAUCUGAGUUGUGAGUCUGCAUCCAUUGUUAGAGUGAUUUUUAAGAUUUACUGAAAAGGUAAAAGACUGGAGCUGAGCAUGUAUCUGUGUGCAGUGCUCAGAAUACCAACCUUGCAAUUAUCUGCAGUGUUACUGCUAACAGAAGUCACUCUGCACCUCCCAACUGCUUCUCAUGUGCAGAGAAGGGGAGUCAACAGGAACUCUUUAAGACUUUUAUAGUCAAAGGUUGAAUGAGACCUUAGGGUUUCUCUGUGGGAAUCAGUAAAUGUAAAACAGAGUAAGAGGGUCUCUCGGGAUCAAUACUACCUUUAGCUAAAAAGAUUUUAAAAUAAUCUGUAAAGGCAGUAGCCAAGGGGUUGUCAUAGAUUUUGCAGUAAAUCUCCUUGCAGUACAAUGUGGUCAGCUUUACAAUACAGAAUUAGCAGUGGGAUCCUAAUGUUCUAUUAACAAUGGAAAGCAGUGAAUGCAAGAAUAUAUUGUUACCAUCACAGAGAUAUCAACUAUUAAUGUGUGUGUGUGUGUGUGUGUGUGAAUUAUUAGUAUGUGUGUGUGUAUCAACUGUGUGUGUUUGUGUGUGUGUGUGUGUGUAUCAAUUAUUAGUAUGUGUGUGUGUAUCAAGUGUGUGUGUGUGUGUUUGUGUGUCUGUGUGUAUCACCUAUUAGUGUGUGUUUGUGUGUGUGUGUGUGUUUGUGUGUAUACUUUAUUUCCAUUCACAUACUGUAUGCAGUUCAGAAAUAAAUACUAUAUUCCAUAGUGAAUUAUUUCUGACAUGUCACAGCACAUGAAAUAAAUAUACUUAAUGAAUUUAUUGCCAUGUGGUUUGCUGUUUUAUUAAGUGAAAAAAAAAAUACAACUUUUGCCAUACGCUUAAAGUGAAAUAAUUUGAGAAUUGAUUAUAGUGGUAAAUAGACUGCAGAAAAAAUGCUCCCUCUGUUAACCCCACAUGUAUCAGAAGGUUAUUCUAGCAUUUCACUGGCAGCUCCACUUUCACUAGAACAAUUCAUUUAAGGGCUGCACAUUUCCCACAUGAUUUCAGUUGGGUAAACAGAGGUGCAAUGCAGCAAAUGAAAGCAAAGCCGGGCAAUGCAGAGCACAGAGCACCCAGCUAGAUGGAAACUUGACAGCAUGCUUGCACUGCACGCUUGUUUCAUCCAGUGCCUGCUGAAAGGAUCUCCAAUGUCUUUUGUUUGUCCAUCUGAUGAAGUAAUACAGAAUAUGCUAAAUGUGAAUAAGUAGUCCGAUUCUAUAUUUCAGUAUUAACUGCCUUCCAGCUGUUGUUGGACUGGAACUAUUUGAUUUGACAGAAUCAGUAACUGAAUGACAGAAAUCAGCCAUCCAAGUAUUGUUGUAGUAAAAGUCCCAUAAUCGUCUGAGAACCUUAGCGAUUCCCAUGAGGUCACCGCUAAAUGUCCAACUCCAACCUUCCAGUUGUUGGAUUAAAACCCCCAUCAUUCUCUAACAACUACAUGAAUUCCAGUUAGUUAACUCCUAGGAGUCUGUAUGCAGCCCUCAAGUUGAUCUAAGGCUCAAACUCUCACAAUUCUUUGUCUUUCAGCCAGAUAUUUCUUAUUUCUUGGCACUCAAGAGAGGCUUUUAUUUUUUUUUUAUCAAUAAUAAUAUAACAUCUGUCCAUAAAAAUACAAAAAAUACAUUUAAAAGAAUGAGCUAAUAUUUUUCCUUGUAUAUUACAUGGUGGCACAUACAUUCAGAACUGCUAACAAAGAGGUUCCUUCUACUGAUUCUUAAUUCAUUUAAUUCCACUCGCACCCCUCCACUGCUCACCUUUGGCAUGGGGUGUGGGGGAGUUUAACAAAAGAAGUCAUCCAUAGAUUGCAGUCCCUACUUGUCAAUCACUGUGUGUGAGAUCUGUGUGUGGCAGCACAGACCUAUUCUCUGCAGCAUGUUUCUUUAGAUAAAGAAGGAAAGGACUUAUUGAGAAAACCGUGGAGAGUGCGGAUAGACAAUGCCGGACAAUGCUCAUAGCGCAGGCUCCGGAUGGGGCUUAUAUAGAAACAUGAAAAGGUUCUCGUUAGGCAGAAUGACAAUGGGGUUCAUGGAGAAGUUUGUAAUAGAGAAGGGUUCUUGUUGUGCUUCUUGAAAUGUAUGGAAUGGGUGCUGAUAGUUUGAGGGACCAAUUAGUUUCAAAAGAUGAGUAUAGAACUAGUUGAGACACGUGUAGCAUGCUAAUGAUGGGUAUUGUGCAUAUGGAGUCAGGGCAAGGUGCUGAACGGUUAUGUUUGAGAAGCAGCAGUUUUAUAAGGAUGAGCAUCAUAUUGAUAGAGAAGAAUGGGCAGCAAACCAAUAGAGAAAGGUAGGGAGUGUUCAUAGAAAUGGUGAUCUCGUAAAGAUACACUGUCACCUGACAGUUCUAAUUUUGCUCACCCUGGGACAAUGGUGAAUGGUGUGGUAGAGAUAUAAGAGUAUAUUAAUUUACCUCCUUUUCUGGGUGCUGCUGUCUUCAACUACCAUGAUGCUCUGAUUGCUCUAGGUUAACACUCACUUUUAGUCUAAAUCAUAAUGAAAAAGAACAAUAUAAAAAAAAAUUACAACUCAUAUCCAACUUUUCUUAUCUGUUGAGUUGCGAUGUUUUCUCUUUAGGGAAUCUUCUUAAAGUGCUAACAUAUAAAGAAUCACAAGAAUGUGCUGAGAUAGAAGUGUAGGAAGAGUCCUUAAUACUUGGUUGGGCACUGUGAAAUCAAUGUAAAAUCAGAGAGAAAAAUCAUGUUGCCUUACUUUAUGGUUUGCCAAUUUUAUUCUCUUUAAACCACAUACAUUUUAUAAAAUAUUCCUUCUUUUCUUCCUACCUUUACCAGCAGGUUGGGGACUGUGCAUAGACUGCCAUAGAUUUGGUGGCACAAAGAGAUAUAGAUAUGUUCCUUAAUGUAAACUGAUGACUUGCCAGCGUGGUGUAAUAAUGUAAGCCAGAUUGGUGUGUUUUUAUGAUGCAGUGCAUCAUUAUGUAGUGCAUAAAACUAUAAAGGAUGUGCUACAAGAAGCAUAGGUUCAAACUUUCUCAAAUAUACUGCUUUAGAAUACCCUUUGAUAUGCAUUAUGCCACUACGACAGAGUUUAGAUGAGUUCUCUGGAGAACUGAUCAAUCUGAUAGGGUUUAACACUUAAAACAACUGAUGUUAGAGAAGGGGAGGAAGAGAUGUCAUAAAUAGCAUAAGAUGUGCCUGAAAGUGAAAAGUGCAGCUUGGCUGACUCUCCUCUGUUUAUUUACUUUUUCUGUCUAUUCUCAGCCAACCUGCACCUUUCACUUUCAGGCACAUCUUCUGCUAUUUAUGACACCCCACUCACCCCCCUCUCUUGCACUCUCUAACAUCAGUUGUUUUAAGUGUUAAAGAUUGAUCAGUAUUGCUUCAGACGUGAGGAAGAGAGGAAAACUCUCGAAAGCUUGUCUUUUAAAUAUUAUGCUAGUCCAAUAAAAAAGGUAUCAUUGCAUACUGCAAUACUCUGGUAUUUUGGCAUUUUAUAUGGCAUACACAUAAUGUGGUCAGAGGAUCACCGUAUUAGUUGUAAUUUAACAACAGUUGGAAAACUACCUGUUGGCCAUCCCUAACCUUGGCUUCUUUCUUUCUUUCUCUCUUUCUCUCUCUUUCUCUUUCUUUCUCUCUUUCUCUUUCUUUCUUUCUUUCUUUCUUUCUUUCUCUCUCUUUCUUUCUCUCAUUCUUUAUGUGCUAUGUAACUGAUUACUUGAUGUGACGAGACCAAUCUCGCCACAUUGCAUUGGAGAAGCCUGGUUGCCCGCCUGCUGCCUUUAGACUAUGGCCCCCAUGUUAAAAGACUUUGUUUCGCCUGCAGAAAAGCUUUAUUCGUGCUUUUCUGCCUGGUGUUCGGUAGAUUCAAUCUACCGAACAACCGCACGAAUGACUGGACCACCUGGGAGCUGGAGUGUGCCGGCAAUUAGCCUCCCUGAAGCUGCAGUUAACCGCAGCUUAAUUGACGAAUGCUGGGUGGCCGCCAUUCGUAUCCCGAACACGAGGUCGCGGCCAUUUUAAACAUGCGAAUGCACAGCGGUGUUCGACGCUUAAUUCAUGGAACUGAAAUCGGACACAGUUUUGCGCAAACACCGCUGAAGCCGUCGACCUCCCUUCUUGUUCGGUGAAAGUGCACGAACGGCCCGGUGUUCGGUAGUUUUACUGGAAUGUGUUAUACCCCAGAUAGGAAUCCCUUGGAGCCCAUUCGCAUGAAACUAACUGUGUAAAGAUUUUAGCUCCAUGGCGAUUAAACUGUAUUCGUGUGGUCUGAGCGCCAUUCGCUUAAUAAUGUGCGCUCAGACCUGAGCUAUCUGGGGACAUGUUAAAUGUAUAAGUUUAUUGUAAUGUGUCUUACAUAGUGUAUUUUAACAGUAAUUCAUGUUUUAGUAUCCCCACGUGCAUAAUGGCGAUUUGUCUUUCUCAAUUAUCUCCAAGGCUGAGGGGAGGAAGCCAGGAUGCAUUGUGGGAAUAUACUGUGAUUGUGUGUCCUAUUUGUCAACUUGUCUGUCUUUUGUCACAGUCUCCCAUUUGGUCCCCUAGGGGAGUGUCCACCAGGUGGGUGACCUGCAUAAAUACUGGGCAGGUAGCCCUCAUUAAACUGACCACUGCUUGACCCUCAACACGGAGCCUUGUCUUGUCUUUAGGGGGAUUUACUGAAUGCUGAUAGAGACUGAUUGCUAGGAGUGUAAUCCGCUUGGAUGCUUUUCCUAUUCGUCUGCUAGCAGUGAUUUGUAUGGUUCCAGUUUGUGUGUUUGGAGUGCUAUAUUGGAUGCCGUUCGGUAGUUUGGAGCAUUCCCUUAUUGGCUGUUCGUGAGUUUGGUGUUUUACAAUAGCUGUGCCUGCAUCUCUGGAAAGGGGGACGAUCGCCUAAACGGUUUUUACCCCUUGUGUGCAAAAUGGUCCGUUACACUUGGAUUAUUGAGAAUUAUAAUGCGACAGGUGAUGGGCCUCAACUGUGACUCUUAUUGGAAUACUAAACUAAUUACUUGAAAUACUAACUUUACUUAAGCAUUAUAAGCAAUGAUAUCCACAAGUUUACUUAAAACAUAAGGUGUUUAGACAUGUUGUGAAAAUGCAUGGCUUAGCAGCAGCACAGGUGUUUAAAACACAGGUGGAUCUGUCAGUGCAUAACUCUUUAACUCAUUCAGACAAAUCCAACUGGACUAAUAAAAGUACCACCUGUGCUUAUAUAUGGAUAAAAACCUGACAGGAUGAAUGACCUUCAAGAUUAUGACUAAAUGUUGUAUCUGUGAUACCUCUUGUUGCAACGAUGACCGCUAUGGAAACCAUGAUGCACACUUUCGAUAGAAGCCAUGGUACUUUUAUGUCACCAAACAAAACAUAUUUGGGAUUCUGAGUACAUUCGUGUUGUAAUUGGUUGCUAGAAUCCUUGCUUAGAUUGUUGUAAGGGACAAAUGUCUGGAAUGGGAUGUAUCUCAACUGCCCAAGGUCCAUAAUGACUGUUACCACAAGACUCAAAUGAAAUACUUUCGUUAGACAUUGAUACCUAUCUGAAUCACUAAACAUACAAAUAUUUAUUGUAUUCUUAUAUUAAUAUGUACACAAAAUAUGAUUUAAUUUUAUUAACCUACAGUCAUAGGGAUAAAAAACAUCUUGACUUGAUUUGAUUUAUGGAUGAGUACUAAAACAUUUCCUCUUACGGCUUAUUAUAAAUUAUGGCUGUAGGAUAUCAUUGCAUAUGCUAUUGGCACUGAACAAUGAGUUAACCCUUUCAGCUUUUAUUUACUGGUAUGGCAAUGCAAUGGUUAAAACCAAAAAUAGCAAUUACAGAAAAAAGCCUUUGUCUAUAGUGUGAGUACCCCAUGCUACACACAGUUAAGGAUUAUUUGAAUCUAUAUACAUAUAUACAUUCAUCCCUAUAUAUACCAUGAUUUAAAGAGAUUUUAUCAAGCAGUAAGAAGUGUGUAAAGUCUUUGCAAUCUAAACUGGUUAUGUGUUCUGCAAUUUAUAAAUAUAAAUAUUCAGUUUUUCAAAUACUUUACUCUUUUCUCAAAAUUCUUUCACAAUUCCCUUGUUCCGCCAAGUUCAGCUUAGUGAGAAUAGGCUGGGUAAAAAAUGUUGUUUAAGAGUUUGUAUGCAUCCAUAAAGUAACUAAUUUUGUGAGUUUCCUUAGAGUUCUUCUUAUUAAUAAGUCCCCACUUACUUCUAUAAAGGAUAACUAUGGGAGUUAUGAAUCAUUGAAAUAGGAGUUACUUUGCAUUUAAAAUGAUGUGAAUUUUGUAAAUUUUAAUACUUACAAAAAAAAUUUGUAACAUAUAAAUUUUAAAAAAUAGCAAACAUUAACAAUGAAUGUCUUUGUACAGUUGUUUUCAUUUUCUGAUACAUUUGGCCCCUUCCCCUAUUCAUAACAAGUUAUGUUUGUGAGCAAACUGUGAGCAAGCUGUGAUGAUUGGACAUAUUUAUUUAGUUCUAUUUAAGCACAGAAAAAAGAAAAUUGCACAUUUUCCAAAUGUUGAACCCACGCAUCCUUCUAUAUAGGUAGCUGAAAGAAAAAAUAUUAAAGGCUUUUGCUAGAUAUAUUUAAAAUCUUAACAAGUUAUAUGCAUUUGGUCUUUUAUUUAAUUAAACCUUUAUUCCUACAUAGAGAUUCUGCCCAGUAAAGUUUGUUACACAUUCUAUGUAUACAGGGUGAAAUAAUUGUCAAAUAAAAUAAACUCUUCACUGAAGACAAAGUGGUGACAAAUCAAUUCACAGAGCUUACUAGUCUGUGGUUACAUGUGAGAAAUAAUUGCAGUUAUUAAGUAAUAAGCACCAGUUUGUGCACAUUCUCCAACUGAGACAGAUAGACAUUUAAUAUCAAACUGCCUUUUUCUGAUCUGAUUUACCCUGAUCUGUAUCACUGAAUAAAAUAACUGUAUGUAAGUUACCAACUAGAAUAACAAUAACGUGUGAAUGCAAAUACUUUUAAAAACGCGGGGAUCCCUGUAGCUGCCUCAAAACAAGUAGACAAGUCCACCCCCAUUCUCUAAGCUAUGUGUAGCGGUAGUUGAACUUCCUUCAGACUUUUUUUUAUCAAUCCUAAUGUUCAUCAGUUGAAUAACAAGCAGCACGCGGCUUGUCUGACUUCUUAAUGCCCACUAACCAAGAAUAGGGUAUGAAGUUCUUGCAACAGAAGGGCUUCGAUGCUGGUCUUCUGUUCAUUCUCUAUUAAGAAAAGACAAUGGGGUCCUUAACCCUUCAGUGCUAAGUGACUGCAUGACAAACAUUCACUUUUCCGCAAUCUGUUAAGGAGAGUUAUCUGGCCUGCCCUCAUGAAGUGUCCUCUUUCAAAUAAGAACUCUUAUCUAUGGUAUCUAGGCUUAACUGUGACAAGAUCUAGUGAUCCUUUUACAACUCUAAAAACUCUUCUCAUAUCAUGAAGAUCACCUGUCUACAGUACCCCCAACACUACCUUUAUUUUAACUAUAAAUGGCCCUGGGGGAUCUUUAUCUUAGUAUUUGAUUUUAUUGUAAUAGAUAAAGAUAACUUUGGUAAUGGCAAUUUCUACAUCAAUGAGCUUGAAUCUAUUAGACGAUAGCCAAAAUAUCUCUGGAAAUUGGACAGCACUUUUUCUUGUGGGAUCAUGUAAUAUGUUGUAAUGUAUUGUAAUAUGUUGCUAUAACUACACAAUUGAGGUAUUUUAUAUUAAUGAUAAAAUAUAGAGACAGAGAUUUGGCCCCAUUUAGUCCCAGAACUCUUACAUUACAAUGUUUGUGCCCCCUUUCAAUCAUCCAUAUAUACUCCUGUGCAAUGUAGCCUCUAAGGGGACACUAUGGAGGACACUAAAGUAAAUUUCAGGCACAUUUAUCAAAAAUCUUAACCCUGGCAGUGGACCAUCUGAAAGAUGAAGGAGCCUUGCCAGUACCAGGAUUCCAUCGGGAUGGACAGGUUGGUGCAUGCACUGGUUAGCCAGACUGAAUCAGAGACAGAACAAUGACUGUCCAGGGAUUAUGUAGAAUGUUGAUGCUGAGCAUGAAGAUGCAAAACGUACAAUGUGUUUUUUGAGAGAAAUGUAAACACUGACUUUUUACAGAAAACUCAAAAUUGUAAUUUAGUUUAUUUAGAAUUUGUCCCUGUGAUGUUUCAGUUAGUAUACAUAUUGUCCAUGCAAUCAUUUCAUAACAACUAUUCAAACUAAAAAAAAAUGAAAAUCAGUGUUCUACAAAAUAUAAAUAUUAUGCAGGCACAUUUUCCUGCGCUUUAGUUUACCUUUCAUGUUUAUAGCUGUAAGAAGAAGUAACCGAGAGAGAGUAGAGGAUGAGGAGCAGUACCACUAUUUCCCUCUCUAUUGGUCACUUCUCACUUGUUCUGUGAAUUAAAUCAAAAUUUAGUGGCAGUGCCUAGUCAUCAAUCUUCUUUUACCAUAAGUCAUCUUUAUGUUUUGUGCCAUGGAUGGAACUCUGAAUCCAUUGACCAUUUUCUUUGUUUUGAGAUUUGGAGUUACAGAAUUAUCCAAAUAUCCAAAAUUAAGACAAAACACAAUUAGUUGGAAACCGAUUACAAACGGAUGCAGGGUCAGUCUUUUUGAACCAAAACCACUACAUUAGAUGUAAUGGCUCUACUGCAUACAGUGUUCUUUCAAUCCCUUAAAGAGCUAUGACAGUUUAUGCUGUCAUGGUUAUCUGUUAUUUAAAGAUCUUUUUCCAAAAUGUAAUGAAGAUCUCCAAUAGAUGUCAAGGCAGAGUGUGAAACAAAGCCAAAUGAAUGAUUUUGGUGAUGAAGAAAAUGAUGCACAUUAUUCAAUAAGGUAUUGUUGCUGCCCCAUCCUCAGGCUAUGCCUUCUGUGUCCAAAUCAUUUUCCAUUGUAAAUAAAUAUAUAUCACAAUUAAAAUUAACCCCUUCAUGCCAUAUCUACUGUGCCAAAUAAUGAACUAUGCACAAAAUUCAUCAGCCAUUUAACUCCUUACAAAUCAGGGGUCUUGCUGAUUGCAAUAAGACCCAUAUUGAACUCCUCGUAAGAAGGCAGUCUGACAAUGGCCAUCCUAUGCCACUACGAUUGGAUGCCAGGUGCUUUCAAAAAUUAUUGGUGGUAGAGAGCUCCUGGUACAUGCCAAUUGUGGCAUAUAUUGGGCUAUUGCUAAGCAUUUCAAACAUGAGACCUCCUGCUACCGUGUUACAGAGCCAGCCUGAAAAUUGGAUCACUGUGACUUAGUCAGAGCUAGAAAGGGUAAGUUAAGUGUAGGGUUAGAUCAGGUUAGAAAUAGUAUUAAAGUAUGAUGCACUUCAGUAAUGUGACAGAUAUAAAUACAGACACUGACAAUUACAAUAAAAAAGGUGUACAAAUAAUUAUUACGUGUAUAGUUAUACACUGGGCAUAAUAUUUUGUAAACGUGAAAAAUAACAAGAUUUAGUGUAUUACCAUACACACAAAAACAUUUCUUCAAACAAUAACCCUUAAUGGAUAAACUCACAAGGCAGGACCGACUUUGUGCCAAACAGCUAAGCACUUUGGGAAUCAAGCUCUUGACACCAUUUGAUCCAGGGAAAUACAAAAUUAGAUAUUUUCCAAGGAUGGCAGGAUCACCAGCAAUCCAGAUUCAAAUGCUUUACUUCAGAUUAACCCCUUAAGACCGGAGGGCGAACAAUUACGCCCUAUUUUAGGUGGCUCUAAACGCCGCCGGGCGUAAUUGUACGCCCUCCGGUCUUUCUGUACUUACCCGGUCACUGGCGAUCCCACGUCGGCGAUCGUGGUUUGGGGGAUUCCCAGGGAGCCCCCCGCGGCACGUCCGACCCCUGGAAGCCCCCCGGCCAUGUGAGAGUGAGGUUCUUGAGAGGACCCACAAUCACAUGGCCGGGUAGGCUGCCUGCUGCAUUGCCAGCAGGGGGGCUGCCUGUAAUGACAGGUGGUCCCCCUGCUGGCUGAAAAUAAAAAUAAAAUAAAUUAAUUAAGUGUAAAAAAAUAUAUAUAUAUACUUAGAUCAUAUAUAUAUACUAUAUAUAUAUAUGAUCUAAGUAUAUAUAUAUAUAUAUAUAUAUAUAUAUAUAUAUAUAUAUACACAUAUACAUACAAACACAUACACUGUCUAGGUGUAUUUUACUAUUAAUAUAUAUAUAAUUAUAUAUAUAUAUAUAUAUAUAUAUUAAUAUCAAAUUACACGUAGACUGAUACUGAUUAAUAUAUAUAUAAUUAUUGUUAUAUAUAUAUAUUUAUAUAUAAUAUAAAAAAUUAAAUAUGUAAAUACGUUAAAAAAUAAAAUUAAAAAAAUAAUUAAAAAUAAAUAAUUAAAAAAUAUAUAGAUGUGUGUUAUUUCAUUCUAACUGUAUUGUGAUAUUAUAUAUAUAUAUUUAUAUCAAAAUACACGUAGAACGAAAUAAUAUAUAUAUCUACAUACAUAAAUAUAUACGUAUAUAUCACUAUAUAUACCUAUAUAUAAAUAAAAAUAUUUUAAAAAAAAUUAUAUAUAUAUACACAUAUAGAUUCACAUACAUAUAUAUAUACAUAUAUUAAUUCUACAUAUAUAUUUAUGUAAUAUUUUUACAUAAUUAGGUAUUUUAAUUAAUUACAAUUAGCGGGAUCUGCCUGACAACCCAUGCCGAAAGUAAAGGGAAUUUAAUUUGCUAGCACUAUAUUUAACCCUAUAACUUUCCAUGACACCAUAAAACCUGUACAUGGGGGGUACUGUUCUACUCGGGAGACUUCGCCGAACACAAAUAUUAGUGUUUCAAAACAGUAAAAUGUAUUACAACGAUGAUAUCGCCAGUAAAAGUGCCGUUUUUUUGCAUUUUUCAUGCACAAACAGCACUUACACGGACGAUAUUAUUGCUGUGAUACUUUUUGCUGUUUUCAAACACAAAUAUUUGUGUUCAGCAAAGUCUCCCAAGUACAACAGUACCCCUCAUGUACAGGUUUUAUGGUGUUUUCAAAAGUUACAGCGUCAAAUAUAAGGCUUGCGUUUCAUUUUUUUCACAUUAAAAUUCACCAGUAUGGUUACGGUGCCUUUGAGACCCUAUGGUAGCCCAAGAAUGAAAAUUACCCCCAUGAUGGCAUACCAUUUGCAAUAGUAGACAACCCAAGGUAUUGCAAAAGGGGUAUGUCCAGUCUUUUUUAGUAGCCACUUAGUCACAAACACUGGCCAUCACAGGGUAAACCAAAUUUUGAUUAUAAGAAGGAGUGAAAAGAAAUAUGUUCAUUUAGGCCUCUUGGAGAGACUGUAUCUAACUCAUAAAUCCAGUAGGUCUCUCUAUUCAGGAGAACUUUUCCUCAAUCACCUGCCCUGUUGGAUAAUGGGAUAUGGUCAAUAGCCACAAACUUCAAUGAGGAUAGCGGAUGUUUGUAGUCCAAAAAAUGUUUAGCUACUGGUUUAUCGGAAGAUCCAUCUCUAUAUGCUAAUCUGAUACUGGAUCUAUGUCCCCUGAUUCUCUCACACAAUGCAGUGUCAGUCUUACCAAUAUAUACUAGACCACACGGACAUAUUAACUUAUAAAUAACAUGUGUUGUUUUACAUGUGAUGGUCUUUUUGAUGGAAUAUUGUUUAUUUGUAUGUGGGUGAGAGAACGUCUUUGAUGGCAUCAUGUGGCAUCAUGUGGCCUAGACAGCGAACACAGCCUCGAUUCUGGGCUGUAAUGUGCUCCAUGUAACUUGAAGUAGGGUCCGUAUGGACUAAAAGAUCUUUUAAGUUCUUAUUCCUUUUGAAACAAAUCAAUGGUUUUUCAUGGAAGACUUUAGGGAGGGUGUCGUUUUAGGUUAUAUGUUGCACGUUCAAAUCCGCACGAUCAGUUUAUUGUGCCGUCCUGUGUCUUAUCUCCAUGGCAACGCUUUAGUUAUUCGCGUCGCCAUGGUGAUGAACGGCAUGCGUCAUCACGCGGUGACGUCACUAGAGGGGGCGGAGCUUGAUGGAAUAUGCGCACUGGGCACUGUAGGACGCCGGUAACACGGCGGUCUUUUCACUUAGGGUAAGCUAUUUACUUAAUUUAUCAAUGUAUUUAAUUUGCUUAAUUGGAUUAAUAUUAGUAUGUAUAUAUAAUGAAUUUUUUGUCAUUGUAAAUCUAUGAUCCUGAUGAAAGUCUUGUGUGACUGAAACGUUGAUCAUUUGAUGUUUUAAAUCGUUUUUUCAUAAAAUUUUGGACUUUUAAACCGUGAGUGCAGCCAUACCCUUGGAUUUUUUGUAUAUCUAUAUCUAUAUAUAUAUAUAUAUAUAUAUAUAUAUAUAUAUAUAUAUAUAUAUAUAUAUAUAUAUAUAUAUAUAUAAAUAUAAAUAGGAGCACUUUCAGAACUUCUUAUGCAAACAUUUCAGGUGAAACAAACAAGGCUACAUCAGUUUGAUGUCUUGGCCCCACCUGGACAAUUUUCAUCUUGAAAAAGGCCCAUGUAGGGUUGAAACGUAUAUGAUCUGCUAAUUUAUUUAUUUUUUAAACUCUGCAGGUCAUCUGUACUACCAUUCACAUACAUCUGUACUACCGUGCACAUACAAACUUCAAACAAGGUGCUUGGUAUAUCUCACACACCACAACUAUUAUGCAUUGAAUAAAUCCCUUGUUAGUGCAAGUGAUUGACCAAUGCACCUACAUCAUAAUUCACAUUAUUUGAAAAUGGAAAAUUGACAGUAUAUAAAUGAAACUUCAAAGUAUGUCAGGUCUGAAAGAUAAACAUACCUUUUAAAAACAUUAUUUAUAGCACUGCAGAAUAUCAUCAUAACGUCAAGUAAACUUAAAUGAAUGUUUGUUUCUAGAACUUGAAACAUGUAGCCAGUUAAUCAUGCAAUAAUAUGGCACAAUGCUUAGGAUAGCGACAGGAUUUUGUUUAUCUUGAUCAGUUAAUAGGCUUUAUGUUCGAACAAUAACGUGAGAUAAAUAGGGCAGGUAUUAACUCUCCAUGAUAAAUGCACAGUAGGGAAUAAGCACAUGGUAAAAUAUCGGACCUGCCACAGAAAGAAGAAUACUUUUUAAAAUGCGGGUUAAGGUAAAGAUAUAGCAGAGAGAAGAUAACCUUGAAGAAAGGACAGUAGACAAGGGGGAGCCUCGUUGAAAAAUAGUAAUAUCAGAAAAAGCACUGUAGUCAAUAGGGAAAUGACUGGAAAUUAGCAAUGUGAUUGCAUGAGUCACUUAGCUGAUGGCAUGAAAUCCUGUUAAGUAGAGAUGCCAAGCUAUGAUAUAUGUCUUCCACCGGCACAACUGUAUAAACUUACAGAUUGAACAGUUACUCAAAACGGAACUUUAAAUAACUAUGGAUUUAGGGCAGUGUGGUUGGAGCACAUUGCAUAAUUUAAUUCUACUAAUGUUUGGUAUUAUGUGAUAUCAUCUUGAUACAGCUGAUUAAUAUUUUAUUGCUAAAGACAGGAUUUUUUUUCAGUUACGUUUAUUACUGUAUUAUCAAUUUUAUUAUAUUUCCUUUACACUAAAUCAUUUAUUCUUCAGUCACAAAUCAGAUUUGUUUUUUCAGAAAAAUGAAAAACAUAAACAUUACUAAUUCCAGGUUUUCAUUCUGAAUGCAUUUUGCAGGCACAUGCUUUGCUGUCCUUAAUGAGCACAAUUACAAUUAUUAUAACAGAUAUGCAUUUUGAGGGAAUAGACUUAUAAAACAUUAGAGGGACAAAGGUUUAAAAAUAAUAUCAGGAAGUAUUACUUUACUGAGAGGGUAGUGGAUGCAUGGAAGAGCCUUCCAGCUGAAGUGGUAGAGGUUAACACAGUAAAGGAGUUUAAGCAUGCGUGGGAUAGGCAUAAGGCUAUCCUAACUAUAAGAUAAGACUAGGGACUUAUGAAAGUAUUUAGAAAAUUGGGCAGACUAGAUGGGCCGAAUGGUUCUUAUCUGCCGUCACAUUCUAUGUUUCUAUGUUUCUAUGUUUCUAUGUUUCUAAAACAAUUGCAGGGCAAUCAGUCUGAAAUUGGAGCUUCUUUUCCAACACCCCAAAUAUGUUUCCUUGUGUCCCACAUCUGUGGACUUCAAAGAAAUGUCACCCAGCAAGCAAUGCAAAAAAAAAGCUUUAUAGUGUGUAGAUAUAAGGCAAAUACAAGAGUAAUUUAUAACUUACAAGAGUUAACCACUUUUCAGCACGUGUUAACACUUUCAGUGUAAAUUGUACACCUUUAACCUAAAGGAACAACACACCAAAUAGCAUAACAUCUACGAUGUGCUGUAAUGGCUAUGGUGCUACAAGAGUCCUGGCACCCUCUAUUGUAGGUACUAACACCAUUUUUAAAUCAUUUGACUUCUCACCUAGGGUUUGCCAGGUGCCGCUCUUUUUCUCAAUUACAGCUCAGUGAGAGGCAAAAGCUCUUUGUCCGUGUUAAGCCCAGUGAAUCAAGACUUAGCUCAUUGGUUCAGAGCGAUCAGCUGAUGUUAUCAGGCAAUGAGCAAGCACAGGGCUUAGCUCACUAGAACUAACAAAAGUUUAGGAACUACAAGGCUCUCAAUAGUGCCUGCAAGGAGUUUGGGUAACAGUGAUCAGUAAACCCAAGAUAAGUAUGCACACCUAGUAAUAUAAAAUAAAAAGUAUAUAGAAUGUAAAAAAAGCAAAACCCAUUACCAAAAUUGAAUUGUGCAUUGUUCUGCAAUGUGUUUUUAAAAAUCUCCCAGAGAAUUGUGUGAUAUUUUCAUAAACUUACAAUAAUGUGUAAUUAUACCCAGGUGAAGAAAACUGAUUUUAAAUGUGUUUGUUUAAACAGACUAAAAAAAAUAUAGAACACAUUAGGACUAGGUAGGCAGUCCAGUGUCCUAUUAUCCUGGACAAUUUUGUAUAUUUACUCUGUGUAUGAAUGUAUAAAAUAAAACAGUUUGCCUUUGGGAAGAAAAAGCUAAAACAUGGUAAUUGCUUCUAUUUUUUUUUUUUUGCUUAAUUUUACAUAAAUACCUUAAAAAGGCACAUUUUUAUUCAUUUUUUUCCCAUUUCUAUUUUUUUGUAUAUUUUAUGGGUAGUUUUAAAAUUUGUUUGUUUUUAUUAUAUAUAGAUAGGUGUUAUAGCAUCUAUAAUGAUGGCCUCAGUAUUGUCUUAUGUCUUCAAAUGAAAGGUAUGUAGCUUGUCAGUUUAGACUUUGGUCGCCCACAGCUUCCUUUAGGUUAUUUACUUACUUAUGAUGUCUAGCAAAACUUCUUUAAUCAAACUUUUCUGAUGUGAUAUGGCAAAAGCAAUAACAAUUAAAAGUCAAUUGAACUUUGUAAAUAAAACAGCAAACAGAGUGUCUAUUAAAAAUCGUGCUUUCAUUAAUAUUUGUCUUGUGUAGAUCUGUUAUUUUGCAAUGUAAUAUUUCCCGGAGUAUUCUUUUUUUUCCCCCAAGAUGUACAUCACACAAGAGUUUAGAAUUAUUACUUACGUACAAUGUCAAACAUUUUGAUGAUUUUAUUAUUUAUUUAUUUCCGUUACAUUUACCAUUCAGUUUUUACUUUGUAACAAUUCCCAUUGGUAAUGAAACUAAAAGAUGUGUGGGACGACCGACAAAGUUUGCAGCAUAUAUUUCAUUUUAAAUUAGACAAAAACUGUACUGUGUGAUAGCAGACAAAAAAAAAUAAAAAAUAUGACAAAUAAAUGAUGGCCAUUUUACAGCAUAGUAAGAUUAUUGCAAUGCUAACAUGCAUAUCCUAUUACUCUGAGCAUAAAUGCGCCCAUAGACCUCCUUAUUAUAGUCUAACUGGAGGGCUGCUGAAUAAUCUCAGCAUGGUUGAGCAGCAAAUGUUGGAGGAUAAUUGGAUCUGCAGGCUAAGGUAGUACAAAUGAAAGGAUUUUAGGUUGUAGAUUGAUCGGUAGUUAUUUUACAUUGUGGCUUGAAAACAAUUUUUUUUUGCUGCCAGUCUGCCAUAUAUCACACAAUAAAAUAGGAGAACAAUAAAGGUUUUAGGAAAUUGUAUCUACUAAACCUAGUGAUGUAAUUUUGAUGCAUGAAAAAUCAAAAUCGUAACACAUAAAUCAUCGUUAGCACUAUUUGUAGAAAUGAUUACUGCAUCGCUUAAAGUGAACUAGUCCCCUGCACUUGCCAACAGUCCUGAUCACAUCAAGAACAUUUGGCUUUUUCACAUCUUUUCUGGGUGUUUCUUUUGUGUCUAGUUUCUGAUGAUGCUAAACAAACAUGCAGCAAGUGCAUUUUUAAACAGAAUUUUUAAUACCAGGAAAAUACAUAUUUUUCUGAAGCAUUACUCCGUAUGACAGCUGACACUUUCAAUUGCCAAUUACUGCUACCUAAUCAAAUGCUUCUGCUUUAGAGACAGGUUGGACCGGCCCCUGUAGGACUGCACUGUAGUGUAAAACCAUUCAAAAAUUGAUUAAUACUUAGAUAUAAGAAGGCGACGAUGGAUUCUGGGCACCAUAAUCACUUCAGUCAUGUGAAGUGGUUUUGGUGCCUGGAAUAGAUCUUUCAAAUUCUCUCAUUUUAAAAAAUAGGAACUGUGGCGCUCACUCAGAACACACCUUUAUUAAUAGUGGUGCUAAGUUAAAUGCUUCCAUUUAUACAAAGUUUAUAUUAAAGGGGCACUAUACGCACCAAGUCAAUUUUAGCUUAAUGAAUCAGUUUUGGCAAAUCACCUUUGUUUCUGUUUAUGCAGCCCUAGCUACAGCUCACCUGUGUUUUACUCACACAACCUGUAUAUAGAUACAGCGCUAACUCCAAAGGCAUCAGAAUAGGGUGUGUUACUUGGAUAACCUAAUAAUCCUAGAGGAACAAGGAACAAAUACAGAAAAACACGGAAAAAAAUGUUUUUCUUUUUAAUCGGAUGUUAAAACGCUUUAUAAGUUUUUAUCUCUUGCUCUGUAAAGUAAAGUUUAAUAACACAGAGGAGUCUCCUGCAGGGUCUAAAAGGCCAAUAACAGUACAGGACAGGGCUUGGCGAUUUUGUUUGGAAUCUAAGAGCCAGCUAAAAAAGUUAGGAGCCAGUUUUAUUUUUUUUAAAAGGGACACUAUAGUCACCAGAACCAUUACAGGUUAAUGUAGUUGUACUGGUGUCUAUAGCUUGUUCCUGUAACCUUUUCAAUGUAAAUGUUGCAUUUUCUUGCUGCCUACUAAGAUCUCUAGUGACAGUCACUCAGACAGCCACUAGAGGGUCCUGUGUCAGUGCUCUGUAUGGAGGCUCUGAAUGUUACACAUAGAGAACACGUGCAAUAUACUCCCAAUGCUUUCCUAUGGGCAAGCAUUGGCUAAACUGAGAUUAUAAAGAUUGAUGAACUUAACUAUGGAGGCGAGACAAGCUGCGGCAAAACCGAUAUAGCAUUGGAAAAAGCUGAGUAAAAACCCCUUUCUUGCGAUCAGUAGGUACCUAAACAGACACACACAAUCUGACAGGCACACACACACACACACUAACACACUGACAGAGACAUACACACACAGUGACAGAGACAUAGAUGCACACACUGACAGAGACAUAGAGACAAAGACACACACACACUGACAGACAGACACACACACUCACUCACUCACUCACUCACAGAGACAUACACUCACAGAGACACACACAUUGACAGAGACAUGCACAAACUGACACAUUGACAGAGACAUGCACACAUUUUUUCACACUCUCACAAAUUAAUUUUUUUAAUUUUAAUCCACCUAUCCUCCCAACCUUUGGAAGAGCUGAGUGAAUCUUUCCCAGGGGUCCAUUGGGGCUGUUUUCUUCCUGCACGCGAGGGAGGAGUCUGCCUGCUCCCUUGCAUUCUCUGUAGUGAUGCCAUAUUCUAGUUCCCGGCACCACCAUACAGCGCGAGGGAGCAGAGAGGAGCUGCAGGUAGACUGCUCCAUCACGCGCUGCCUCAGCAUACUGCCUCCAUGCAGCCCAGGGCAGCAGGCUACAACACUCCAUGAGCCAGUCGCCUCCAUGCUCCCCAGAGCAAGCAAAAGUUGAUUUGGUGCCUAUUAUGUCCCUUUAAUGAGAAAGCACAUUCACAAAAUACCAAAUACACAAUUUUACAGAGCUACUUAAAAUCACGUUACAUACAUACAUAUGGGCAUUAAUUUGCACCAUGUAUAUGGAAUUGUGUUUAAAUGCACCACUGCUUUCAAUAUUGGCAAUUCCUCUUUACAUGAGAGAUAACCAUGUGCUAACUACAGGACCUAUUGCUUAUUCUGCUUCAAGAGUCUCUCAUGACAUGUAUGCCGAGGACAGAUGGACAUCUAGAUGCUUGGACUACAUGGACUUCUGCAGUCCAUAUAUUUUGGACUACAUCUCUCAUAGUGCUCUUUCAGUCAUACUGCUGGCAUGGCAUCAGGGGACAUCUGGUCCACAUCUGGAGUGCUAAAGGUUGCCUACCCAUGGCUUAGCAGAUAAACAUAUUCUCUAAUGUAUGCACUCUCUUAUCAUCUCUCUUAUCUGCUUGUAUCUCUUCUCUGCUUUUUCCCUCAAUUGACCACUCAGUGAUUUAUUUUUACUGUUUCGUAUGUAUACCACCUAGGAAAAUGUGCACAUCAUUGCUUGCAGUAACUGUAGAUCUAGUAUGUGCAAGCUCUCCUCCUUUUGUGCUGAGUGGAGGCUUCUCACAAAGAACCCGUGCUGACCUGCCAUGAACAAGGCUUUCUAGUCACUGAUUUCUCAAUAAGCUGUAAUACAGCUCAUUGACAAUUCUUUCAAAGUGUCCAUAUUUGUGUUGAAUGAAACUAAAAAGAAACCCCUCCCAACUGUAUUAUUGACAGUCACAGGGUUGUUUUAGCUUUCAGCUAUAAAAGUGCACAUUUUUCUAUUGAAAUUAACACUUUUAUAAAAUAAAACAAAGAGGACACAUUCUACACAUGUAAUGCACUCCAGCAAGCUGAAGUUUUGGAGUUUUCUUUUGUGUCUCUCUCUCUCUUCAUAACUCUCUUUUAAAUGCCUGUUUCAGUGUGCUUUUCCUUUCCUAACCUGUCACUAUUUGUCUGCUUCACUGUCUCACACUUUGUGCCUCUUUGUCAUGAUUGCAAAGUUGAUGGCGCACACAGCAAUUCGUUCCUGAUUUCUGCUCUGAGAGUGUCUUAGAAUGAAUUGGGGGAAUAGGACAGGAAGAGGUGAAAUGAGAGACAAUGUCAUUGGUAACAGUAUGGAGAAAGGGAGGCGGGCUGUUCUUGAGGUGCAGUUGGACUAUGUGAUGCAAUAAUAAGAUACAUUGUUCUUGUUUUAAACUACAUUUUAGAUGCUUAAAUUAUUAGUAAAACCUCUCAGAAUCAGCCGUGUCCCUUGCCACACUCCACUCACACCCCUAAAAUUAAAGUGUUUCUCUUUGUCCAUUUGAAAAGUUUUUCUUUUAUGUUGUAAUGAGUAUAGGAGAUGGUUUGAGAGAGUGUAAACUGAAAAUAAGGAGUUUUCAAGGAUGUGGUGCCAGCAUUAUAUCCUUGGCCCCUAGCUUGGACAUUCACUGGAUGACACUGUGUAGAGUAGUGUGGGCCAGUCAAGCAAUGUAUUUUGGUUGUAACAGACCACGUGUGAUGAUGGAGACACUCCCAGCUUAAGAGACGGAGGCACCAAUUAUAAAAGUGAACUUGAGGUAGUAGAAAGUAUAAAUGCAGCAUUGGUUAGUCAAGGAUUGUUGUACCUCCUGGACUGUGUGUCAUCCAGUUACUGAGGAGGAAAUGGAUCUCUUUAUAUUCUAAAUGGUCCCUGACCGGCGGAAGGAAGGGAAUUAGCGGAGGUAACCGGUCGGGUUGCCCUAGGUUCCAAGCUAGAAGGAAAAUAUAAAUUAAAAAAAACACCAGUUACAUUACAGGUUUUCUGCAAAUAUGCAGGGGCAUUUAUUGUGAUUUAUUGUCCUCAAACGUAACUAAAACAUAAGAAAAGAGCAAAAAACAAACACAUAAAUUAGAGAAUGAAAUUACAUACUCUGAUAGAAUAUAUAUUGCAGGUUUGUACCAUGAUAUUACGAGGACGCUACAGUCUUCUAAGGGUUGUUGAACUUCCAUCAGCUUCAGCUUUGAAAGUAGAUUGGUUUGUGAGGUGAUAUUAAGGCAUUAGAUGCAGUGCUUUGCUCGUGUAAUUUAUACAUGGUGACCAGCUGUGAAUGGGUGAGAGUUGGGAAGAUCACCAACUGAGCAUGGAAGUUUUCACUGUGAGAUGCUUUCUACGACUCCCUUGGAGGAAAUAACUGAAGCAGAGAGGCAGCAUGUUGUGAUGAAUAUCUUCUUUAAUGAGUCUGAACUUUACUCCUGAACCUGCAAAGGUCUCACAUCUUUAAUGGUCAAUUAUUUAGCUGCAGGAAAUUAUAUGGCUAUUUUUUCUGGGGUGCUCUUGCAGCCUAACAGAAAUGCACAGAAUACAAAAAUAAAUAAAUAAAUAAACGGGAACACAUCUGCACAUCUCACUGAACCUAACAAGCAAAGCAUUUCAAUUACAUAAGUGGAAUCUAGAAUCAAUUACAGUUAUAGACCAUUGGUUUAAUUUCAUUGUACAAUUAGAAGCACUACAGAAACUUAAUUAAUGUAUUAGAAUGAGAAACGUGUGGUCCACGUAACUAAACUAUUCUUGGUAAAAUGUUCAACACCAUAGUGUGUAUCUAAAAUCUUAUCUAAUAAUUCACUGUGGGAUUAUACGGCAUGUCACAUGACUAGAGAAAUAAUUAAAGCUAUAAUCAGUAAUGUGUCAUUGAUUCAUUGUUAUCCGUAAGGUGUAUCCAUAAAAUAAGACCUUUAGGACAGAUUGUAAAAACACUGGCAUAAGUAAAAUUUGGAAGAUCAUACAGAACAAAUUUAAAGGUAUUUCUUUUUAUAUAUCGUUGUACAGAAGAAACACUGCCCUAUAAGCCACAGCUUAGGGGCCUACAUUUCACAUCUGAAUGUUGCAUAUGAUUAAAUAUUGUUCCCUUCUAUAAAUGUUAGAUGAAGAAGUACUUUUUCAACAGACCCUUCUCUGUGAGCAAAUCUAUAGUUCUCAGUGUUACCUUCCAGUAGACUGGUUUAUAUUUAAGUGACUGUUUUAAACUGAGAAUGUAAAACAAGGCAUAUAAUGGUGGGAAUUAUGUGAAUUCUGUUUUAAUGAUGCAUAAUUACAAGGUAUAUGUACAAUAGAAUCAGUUAAUUUUUCUAGAUAAUGGCCCUUUUGAGUUUUUCCUUUUGUGUCCUUUAAGACUUAAAAUCAAAACACUCAACUGGGAUUUGGUUUUUUUUUGGAUAAAAUUAAUGUUCUAUUUUGCUGUAAAUGUAUGUUUCAUUUCAUCUUCAUUAGGGGAACCAGAGGAAUGGAUUAGGAUAGGCUCACCAAUUUCUGGAUGUCGCCGCUAGAUGGGCAUCAAGCUGCAUCAACUUUGCUAUUUGUUAAAAUCAAUAAUGCAAAACAAAUGUCGGAAUGUAUGCAAAUUUUUGUUGAGAGGAUCAUAGUAAAAAUUGUGUGCUUUAGAUUUUUGCUGUAAUAUUAUCCAACUCUUACUUUUGACAUUUUGUAUAUCUGGAAUGGGCCACUAGCAGUGGCCAUUUGCAUGUAUAAGUCAAGUAGGACCUUAGAGAGGGGAAGUAAGAUCAUGUAUAGGUCUAAGUCUUGGACUGAUGGUCUGCAAGACUGUAACGGCACCCCCAGGCAUAAAAGGGUUAAACCGCCGUUUAGAAGAUCUUCCCCUUCCAGAGACACAGGCAGCUACUGUAGACACCAAUACACCAAACCGGAGAACCAUAUGAAUGCUCUCAAACAUACGAAUACUGUAAACAGCUGAAUAGGAAAAACCAUACAAAUAGGUUUACACUCCUAGCAGUCGAACUGGAACAGCAUACAAUAAAUCCCCCCAAGAACGAGGCAAGGCUCCGUUUUGAGGGUCAAGCAGGAACAGACAGAGCUGUGGGUUUAUUGUUCUUAUAUACACAUUAGUACCACCCACAGGGUUGUGGAAAACAACCAAUAAACACAUACAAUACACUCAGACACUCCCACACAAAAUCCUCCCCUCUGCCUGUGAUACAAUUACCUUACACAAUGGGUAAUGUAAUUAUCACCGGCAGAGAAAUACAGUUUUUCCACAUUAUUCAUAACUUUAAAAGUAUGCAUCACAUUCACAUAAAACUUACAUUUGCAGAAUCAGCAUACUCCAAAUACAAACAUACGUCAAAAUCAUACAAAUUGGUCCAGUGGUUCAAAAGAUAGAUCGUAGUCCUUUGUGACCAAAUGAAGCAUGGCUUUUCUGCCCAAAAGCAGUUCCACAGAGUUUUCUAUCCUGGAGAUAAUUGGGAAGUAAUCCAAUUAUCUCCAAGGACAGAGGCAAAACUCCAUUAAAGGACCACUCUAGGCACCCAGACCACUUCAGCUUAAUGAGGUGGUCUGGGUGCCAGGUCCAGCUAGGGUUAACCCAUUUUUUCAUAAACAUAGCAGUUUCAGGGCACUAUGAAACUGCGUAUGUUUUCCUGGCACUAUAGUGGUCCUUUAAGCACAUGGCAGUAAAAAGACAGUAAAAUACAAUAAGAAUACACACGGUUACAUUUAUGACAUAAAAUACAGACAUGCAACAUAUCCCCAGAUAGCUUAGGUCUGAGCACACAUUAUUACUGAAUGGCGCUCAGACCACACACAUACAGUUCAAUUGCCAUGGAGCCAAAGUCUUUCCCAUAGUCUUUCAUUAUACAAAUGGUCUCCAUGGCAUAGCUAUCUGGGGUAUCACUGCUCAAACAGGGCAAGCACCGAAUGACAAGUGCUUUCAUGUCUUUGCAGGGGAAAAUCAAGCGUUUCAACAUGGGGCCAUAGUCUAAAGGCAGCAGCUGGGCAACCAGGCUCCAAUGCAUAGUGGCGAGAUUGUUCUCGUCACAAAGUCAUUAUGUAAAUGAUUGCAGCAGGUGUACAAGGGGUGCCUAUCCUAAGUAGAAAAGUCAUAAAUAUUAUGCAAUUUUCAUAUUGCUAUACAUUAUGUUGAAAUUGCAUUUUUGAUUUGUAGAGGAAGCGGCUGAGAGUUGAAUUUCCUAUGUGCCAUCUAAAUAAUUGAGAUAGCAACAGAGCCGGAAUUGUGUGUGUGUGUGUGGCAAGGAGUAUGGUGCACGAGAAAUGUGCACCUUUAGGUGUCUGAGAUGUACAUAUGUCACUGUAUAAGGCAUGCAUGGGGACACUAAUUAUAGUCACGAAAAGAACUUUUUUAGUUUGAUGAAGCUGUUUUUGUGUGUAGAUCGUGCCUCUGAAAUCUCACUGCUCAGUUCAGAGUUAAAUAAAAAAAUUUCUGUUUAUGCAGCCUUAGCCACACACAGCCUGCAUAAAAAAAAAUUGUUUAUUUUUCAAUCAGAUGUUCCUUACUUUAAAAGUUUGUAUCUCCUGCUUUGUAAAUUGAACUUUAUUACAUACAAGAGUCACCUGCAGGAUCUAGCUAGCUAAUAACAGAACAGGAGACAAGAAAUUCUAAAUUAAACAGGAUUUGUAAUAAAGGAAGUGUAAACAUUAGAUAACUCUUUACAGGAAGUGUUUAGGCUGGCUGUGUAAGUCACAUGCAGGGAGGUGUGACUACGACUGCAUAAACAAAGUGAUUAAACUCCUAAAUGGCAGAGAAAUGAACAGUGAGACUGCAGGGGCAUUAUCUAUAAACAAAAACUGAUUCAUUAUGCUAAAGUUGUUUUGGUGACUAUAGUGUCCCUUUAUGUGUAAUAACAUUUGAGAAUUGUCUUGUAGUCUACAUAUUUAUUUCAAUAUUGCAGUUAUCAAAAUUACCUUUUUAUGAGUCAUCACAUGUAGCAUAAAAUCUUGCACUCACAUUUUAGAAAUCAUUUCACUAUUAUAUACACUGUUAAUUUGUUGCAUUCCUUUUUCCCUAAUUUUGUUGUGCUUUUGAAAAGCAUGUACUUAUAAUAUAGAGUGACUUGCCAUUUAUAGCUAAGGUUGCUAAGUAAUGCCUUUUUCUUACCCUUAGAAUCUUGUGGAUUUCUAACUGAUGUGAACAAAGUAACUUGCUUUAAUGUCACACUGACCCCACAAAGACAUCACAUGAGGUUUCAAGGCCUCAGACACAGUGGGAAGGAAGUUUUUCUUUGUGAUUGUUAUUUUUGUUAUUUUUACUCACAGACAAAUUCCAAGGAAUAAUGUAGAAAAGUGUCUGUAAAAAAAAAUAAAAAAUGAAGAUAAACAGACAGGUAGGUAGAGAGACAGACAGAAAGAUAAUAACUAGUAUUUAUAUAGCUCCUCUCUCCCAGUGGGACUCAAAGCACUUUGCAGCGCAUGCUCUUGGAAUUAACCAAAUCGGCAGCUGAAUAGUAAUAGAUGUUAUUAUUACGCAUUUGAUGGUACUCAUUUCGACCUAGGAAGGAUGAAGGGUUGAGUUGACUGUGCCGGGAUUUUAACCUGUGACCUUGCAUUUUUGAACAGGCUUGGUAGUCAGGGAAUUUACCACUGGCUUGAAGAUAGAUAGAUAGAUAGAUAGAUAGAUAGAUUAAGUGGUGGAACCGCUGCUGGUUCGUGGGUUUUCCUUCUUUACAUGUUUUCCCCUACAUUUUCAUUUAUUGUUUCCACUCCCCGUUCGGGAGCACUUCCCUGAAGGGAAUUCAUUCACCUUCCGAACUUGGACCACCCCAAUACCUAAUUUAGAAUGUUAGGUUAGAAUGUUCACACCUCGCAACAUAAGUGUCAAAACCGCAAACUGUAAGGAAAACAAUUAAUGAGUGCUUCCCUGGGUGACCGCCAUUCGUACAGGUGAACGCCACCAGGGAGAGCAUUCGUGGAUUGUUUCCCGACUCGUUUGUCUCCCUAACGAGGACCUCCCGGUGCCCCAUUAGAACAUUCACACCAAUUUAUCAGAACGUUCGCCCUCGCAAUAUAGGUGUGAAACUGCAAGGGAAAUAAUUAAUUAGUGCUCCCCUGGUUGGCCGCCAUUCGUAUAGACAAACGCCAGACAGGGGGAGCAUUUAUACCCUGUAAGGAGAUGCUUCCCUUGUCUGGGUUUCACACCAGGACAUCGCGAACAGAUACUAGACGAUCAAGGGACUGAGGUGAGGGUCUCUGAGAUUGGUGUAGGCACUUUUGGGGCACUGGCGAGUUUGGCAGGCUCUCCUGAGCCUGAGGGACAAAGAGACCAGCUCUUUUCCCGCGGACGGGCUUUUCUGUGCCUGGGAGACAAAGGGUGUGUCAUCCAAUUACUGGAUAUAUUCUAAAUGAUUUCUGACCGGCGGAAGGAAGGGAAUUAGUGGAGGUAACCAGUCGGGAGGAUCUUGGGAUGUGAGCUGUGUGGUAGACCCCUUGCAUGGGGUUAUUCAUAAAAGCUAUGUGUGGCUAAUAAAGUGUUGUUGUACCUCCUGGACUGUGUGUCAUCCAGUUACUGAGGAGGAAAUGGAUCUCUUUAUAUUCUAAAUGGUCCCUGACCGGCGGAAGGAAGGGAAUUAGCGGAGGUAACCGGUCGGGUUGCCCUAGGUCCGCUACAGAGACAUAGAUAGAUAGAUAGUAUGAUAAAUAUAUAGUGGUGGAACCGCUGCCUGUUCUUUGGUUUUCCUUCUCUUUUACAUGUGUUUCCCCUGUAUUUUCUUUUCUUGUUUCCACUCCCCAUUCGACAGAUAGCCAGGUCGAUAGCUAAUGAGAUGUGAUUUUUUUUGGAACCAGAUUGAUGGAGACUGUCCCUGUGCUAAAAACCUGGAGGAGAGGAAUGACUGGAUAGUGUGAAGCUAUAGGGCAUGAUUACAUGUAGUCUUACGAUACUUCAUCACUUUUCAGCAUUUAUUGACACAUUUAGUGUUUAUUAUAACUUAUCUUAAAUCAACAACACACCAAGCUGCACAACAUCUACAGUGUGCUGUAAUGGCUAUGGUGCUAGAAGAGUCCUGUCACCCUUUAUUGUAGGUAGUAACCCCAUUUUAGAAUGAUUUGGCUUCUUACUAGGAUUUGCCAUGUGCAGCUAUUUUUCUCCAUUAAAGCUCAAUAAGAGGUGGAAGCUCUCUGUCUGUGCAAAUCCCUGUGGAUCCGCUUAGCUCAUUGGCUCAGAGCAGUUAGCUGAUGUUUUCAGCCAAUGACACAAUGACACAGCGCAGGGCUUAGCUCACUAGAGCUAUGAUAGCUCCUAACCAGAGUUUCAGGCUCUCAUUGAUGCCUGCAAGGAGGUGUGGAUUAGGGCACCGUGGACCCCAGGUAAGAUGUCAAAUUAUUCUAAAAUAGUUUGACUACUUGCAAUUCUGAAAGUGCCAGUGCACUCCUGGCACCAUAACUACUACAGUGCGCUGUAGUGGUUAUGAUACUGGGAGUGUUCCUUUAACCAUUCUCUACUUUCCUCUCUUUACCAUCUUUUACUCCACAACUCUUUAGCUGACUGCAUUUAUAUGCAUUUCUCUUGUCUUGUGUUUUUGAAAUUGAUUCAUGCCGGACGAAUAUUUCAGUAAUAUGUAUUACUUUGCAUCUGCACUUUACACCAGUGGAGGCUCGUCCACAGGGGCAGCCGGGGCAAUAUCCUACCAGUUUUCUUACAAUAAAAAAAAAAAAUAACCUAUAUAAUUCUUUUUUUUCUAUUGUGUUUUUUACUCUGUUUUUUUUUUUAAUAAACAAACGCAUUUAAUAUGUGCGUCUUUUUGAUAAAAAUGUGUUCUUUCCUAUUAAAUAUUAGUUACGGCAGGUAUUCCCCACUGCUGUUGUUAGGUAGAAUAGAAAAAAUUAAGCUUAAUCAUAUUGUAAAUCGACGUCCCAGAAACCUGAUUACACUAUAUGGGAAGGUACCUGUUUCAAGGUCUUUGGCUGUCUGGUAGUGCCCUAUUGUGUUUUAAUAGCGUCCUCUAGGGCAGCAAAUAGGUGAGACAAACUAGCCCUUAGUAUAGAGACCAGCCUACUAGUCUACAUACUGGGAUCUGAUUGUCUGUUUGCACUCUCACUGCCACACACAACCCUGACUCACACUGCCCUCUCUGCCUCACACAGUGGGAGCUCUCCUUUCCUCACACAGCCCUGCCUUACACAGCUCUCCCCGCCCCACACAAACCUGCCUGACACAUCCUUCCCUGUAUCACACAGUGGGAGCUCUCACUGCCUCACACAACCGUGCCUCACACUGAUCUCUCUGCCUCACACAGUGGGAGCUCUCCCUGCCUCAUAAAGCCUUACACAGCUCUCCCUGCCCCACACAAAACCUGCCUCACACAUCUUUUCCUGUAUCACAAAGUGGGAGCUCUCACUGCCUCACACAACCCUGCCUCACACAGCUCCCCCUGUCCCAUACAGCACUGCCUCAUACAGCCCCCUCUCUCCCUGCACUAGCAGCCACCUGCCCUGUGUAAGAAAUUGGCAGUGGCUACUAGCUCCAUUUUCAGCAGGGAGGGUGCCAGCUGGCUAUGGUGUUUUUAAUUUGCUCUAAUGGAGGCAGGUACGGCUGUAAUAUGAAGUGCCUGCCACCGAUCUGCCUCUCUGUGUGCUCCCCUGUUGGCUGCCACCCUGCCUGACUGGUCAUGCUGAGGCAGGUACCCAAUGUGAGAAGAAGUGUUUGUCUUAUUAAAGGGACACUAUUAUCAACAGAACAACUAUAGCUUAUUGUAUUUGUACUGGUAAGUAUAAGCAGUCCCUUCACACUUUUUGCUGUAAACACUGUAUUUUCAAAGAAAAGGCAAUUUUUAAAUUGCAGCCUAGGAAUACCUCCACUAGCCACUCCUCAUAUGGCAACUGGAGGUGCUUCCUGGGGCAGUGCUGCACAGUAGGCAGCACUGCCUUUCAGCAUCUCCACACUCUGCAUGGAGACACUAAACUUCCCUCAUAGAGAUGCAUUGAUUAACUACAUCUCUAUGAGGAGAUGCUGAUUGGCCAGGGCUGUGUUUUACUUGGGCUGGCAAUGCCCCUGAUCUGCCUCCUUGACAGUCUCAGCCAAACCAAUGCUUUCCUAUGGGAAAGUACUGUGAUUGUCUCAGAUCAUCAUUUCUGAUGAUGUCAGCCAAGCAGGUAGAAACGUAGCAGAGCCAGCACCAGUAGACUGGAAUAAAGGUAAGAGUUUAUUAUAUUUAGAUAGGCAAGAGGGGUCCAGAGGGGAAGAAGGGGAGGAGGGGGGUAGAUGGUGGUUUUAACACUAUAGUGUCAGGAAUACAUGUUUGUGUUCCUGACUUCAUAGUGAUCAUUUAAGCUCUACAAUCAGGCAGCACAUGAGCUGGCUGUGGAGAGCAGAGAGAGCAGACUAUUGCAUAUAACAGCUGUAGUGCAAAGUAAAACAAAGAAUUGCUGAAUCUUCCCUCUCUUCUCUGUUUUAAGGACAGACACCACACAGACAGUAGUACCUGCCAAUUAUUCACCCAGUUCCGCCUGUAUAACAAAGUAAGGCAGGCACGCAGUGUUAGAAGAGGUGUUUGCCUUACCUUAGUGUUAGAGGUCCAUCAGCCACUGCCUGCCCUAAGCCUAGCCCCCCCCAGCCACUUCAACAGCAGGUACCUGUCAUUAAUGCAACCUGGCCACUGGACGGGUAGCACAUUUACAUUAUUAAGUUAUUGUUUUAUUUUACUUAUAACAUUUUAUCCUGAGGAGAGAAUAAGAUUUAUAACUAAAAAUCUCAAUGCAUAUUCACAAAAAUGCAUACAUAUAUAAAUGUGUAUAUAUGCAAGCAUAUAUACCCACACUCACUUGUUGUUCGUUAUAAAGGAGUUAAAAUAAUUUAGAAACACAGAAGGUCACCUUAAGAAUAUUUUUUUGGAAACAAGACUAAUAGCUAAAAUGCAAAUUAUGUUGCAAGGCAUCUAGAAAUGUAAUCCACAUAUAUUGCCUGGAGGCUGACUAAUUGAAUUGCUAUUGAUAAGAUGCCACCUAAACAGACAUCCCAGCAGUGAGACAUAGGUUUAUUGUAAAUGACCUGUCAUUGGGGCAUUGGUAAUGUCCGUGUCAAGCCUGAGCAAUAGUUUUCCCUCCAGCAGUGUGUAUAGUACAACUGAAACUCCGAGUACGGAGCAUUCACUACUAAAGACUUCUGCCUCAGGUACUGUGUUAAUUUACUUACUGGCAAACAUUCAUUGAAACCAAUCAAUAAAGCCAGUCAUAAAGCGUAGGAAAUUUUACAGAAUAUUAAUUAUAGAAUGUUAUAGAUGGCUUGAGCAAUCGGUUGAUCCCAUAAUUGCUGUUUUGAAAUGCAGCAAAAUAAUGCAGACUAUUAAACUUAAGCUUUAAGACUUAAAACACAUUCAAAAUAUACACAUUUUGAAUAAUAACUUGCUAUUCACGUAACUGCUGACUUCAAAAUACUGUGGCUGGCUUGUUUUGAUGAAGCUUAAAGUUUAGCAACUUAACAAGAAUACUCGUUACCCAAACUAGUUAUUUACAUAUAUACAUGUUUUAUUUUCUUUUUUGAGAGAGACAAUGUUGAUGAAUGGUUUAAUAAUGCACUGUCUACUGUUCUUUAUUUUGAACACUCCGAAUUAGAAUGUUAAAAUAGAUUUAUUCACUGGGAAUUAUGAAUACCUCAUUAGUGAAUUUUAUAUUUUAGGAAUAGCUGACAUGGAAACAUUCACUAUGAUAAUUAUCUUAGCCUAAAAUUUGUAUUUGCAUAAACUUUUUUUUUGGUGUUAAUUUGUUUUGCAAAACGAUGAGGAAUAAUGUGCACAAAUAUAUGCAAUGGACGAAAACUGAGUUUUAGGGAGUUUCCAGUGAACAUAAUAGGUCAGAGCAUCAUUUUUUGCCAAAUAGGGUGUUUUGUUUUGGAUCUGCAUGGUAAGAAUAUUAUUAUUUAUUUUUUUUACAAAUUACUCCUUUUACCAUGUUUUACAAAGGAGGACUGAAGGAAUUCAGGGGCAAGUAAUUGCUAAGUAAUUUAAGAAUAAACAGAUAAAAUCUAUUGGUUUCUAUGAUGAUUGCUCCUUAGCAGUUUGGCACAGAAUUGCUGAAGUUUUGCAUUGAUAAAAUGGCUCAUAGACUGAUAAGGCCGCAACACAAAUGUCUUAUAAAGUUAAUUGAUAUGUAUCAGGAAAUUGAUGUACAGACAACCUGUGUAUGUAAAUGAAAUCAUUCAGAUAAGAGGCAGCUCUAAAAUUAUCCAGAGUGGAGAAGACAAUCAAAUUCCUAUUGUCACAAGCUAAGCAGAUGUGCCACAGUAGAAUUCCAUCUGGAACAUUAUAGUAGUGUGAUGCUUAACAUGGUUAUAGGAGUUAGGUAUAUUUUGCUAGGUAGGUUUUAUUUAUUUGCUGAAAGGAAUGGAAAUGCAACUCCAAAAAUCCAGAGAGAAUAUGAAAACAACAACAAACAACGGGAAGUAAACUAGUAGUGUUUUAUGUUCAAAUAUGUGGAUAAAUGGUAAAAAACAUAUUCACUUAAACUUUUCAGAGCUAAAGUUUAGCUCAAAAUAUAUGUGCAUAAGUGGUACAAUUAUGACUUGUGAAUAUAAUUGAACUUUUUAUCUGUAUGAAUCCUCAGCAGAUUAUGCAAUAAAAGCAGCCAAGAAAGACAUUCUCUGGUGUGUUAGAUGUUUAACGAACAAAUGCCUAAUAUGGCUCCACUGUGAAGGUGUUAAGCAGUAUAAUCCCCACUAUGUGAUAAUAUUCUUACCUGUGGUUUUUAUCUCCACCAAGGAUGCAGCAAAGUAAAACGAUGGUCCAGAGACAUGCCAUUAAUGCAGGAAAGUAUGAUGAAGAUCCAGGAUAAAGCCAAAAACUAUUGUAAAACAACAGCAAUAAAACAAAAAUAAAAUUUAAAAAAUAUGCAUGGAAUCCUUGGUGGGGAGAGAAACCACCUACAUCCAGUGGAUUAAGUAAUUUAUGCUUCUUCAUUAUUUAUUCACCAUCGUACACAGUGUGUACUAUAUAUGUGUUUUUUUUUUUGCAUAUAUGCUGAGGACUCCUGUAAGAAUACUAUCCCCGAAUAGGGUUUAUACCACUUCACACCAUAACAGUGGAGCCACAUUAGGCUUAUCAAUAUGUUAGUGUACAUGUACCUUAUAUUGGUAUUUGAUAAGAACCUACUACAUCAUGGAACAUCUUUUUGUCUGAUUUUAUGACAGAUUCUGCUGAGGAUUCUUACCAAGUUCAAUUACACCCACAAUUGAUGAUUGAACCACUUAUACACAUAUAUUUCAGCUAACAUUUGGCUCUGAAAAGUUUUAAUUUUAAGUGUAUUGGCUUAUUUUCCAUUUAGUCACAUAUCUGACCAUAGUACACUAACGGGUUGCUUCCUGGUGUUUGUUUUUGUUUUUUUAUAUUCUUCCUGGACGUCUUUCUUUAUCCAAAUUGGCCAACAAGAGAGACUUAUGGCUUUAUUGUUUUGCUGCCCACCCUUUUGUGCCAAUAACUUUUACAAUCACUUAGCCAUCUACUCUAUUUUUUUUCUUCAUUCAUGCUGCUAGUUUAUGUUUGUACAUGACAGGAACAAAAAAGAAGUGGGAGAUAGUUUGAAAUUGUUAAAUUGUUUCAAAUCUGGGCACAGAGUUUACAUAUCAUGCAAUAGAUGAGAGCACACACCACACACAAUGGAUACUACCACUUUAAGUCUUGAGAGUAGUAGGUAUUUUCACUUAUAAUAAUCUGUAACAUAAACAUAGACCAUAGUGUAGUAUGUACACUAUAAAUAGUAAUGGAUAACACCAAAUUGGUCAAACUCACAUUUUGCUGAGCCUAAUAAUUACCAGGCUCAGGAUGUCAGAGCUCUUUACAGGUUAUUAACCUCUGGAUCUCUGCUCCCAAUACAGGUUUCCUUUCCAGGUUCUUUUUGAGCAGCCAAAUAAUUUCGGUCCAUUCAAGGUCAAAUAUAUAACAAUUUAUUGGGGAAAUUCCAAACAAGCUUAAAAAGAUAUCAAAUAUAUACAAACAGCAGCACUAACGCGUUUCAACCUAAACAGGUGAUUCUCAAAAUGCAUAGAGUUCGUAUGUGAAUGUCCAGUUUUAUAAGGUGAUUGGUGCAGUUUUUCAUUUAUUUUCACGUAACCUGUAUUGGGAAUAGAGAUCUAUAGGCUAAUAACCUGUAAAGAGCGCUGACAUUCUGAGCCUGGUAAUUAAUAGGCUCAGCAAAAUGUGAGUUUGACCAAAUUGGUCUUAUCCAUUACUAUUUAAAAUGUACAUACUACACUAUGGUCUAUGUUUUAUGUUUAUGUUAAGACUAUAAGUGAAAAUACCUACUAGUCUCAAGACCUAAAGUUGUAGUAUCCAUUGUGUGUGGUGUGUGCUCUCACCUAUUGUAUGAUAUGUUCUAAUGGUUUAGUGUGUUAAUUUAGAGUGACUUAACACUGGAGAUAGUACUUACACCUAUUACAAUAAUAGCACUUUAUUCCGGCACUGUACUUGCACAUUUUGACAGAACUUUACAAUCUGGGUUCAGAUACCAGCUGUUCUGAAGUGUUCCAUCUUGAUGAAAUCCAGACUAUAUUGCGGCUCAUUUGGAGGCUAGUUUUCAAAAUCUGGAUAUUGUCACAUAGUGUGAACACUCUGGAUUUUGUAUUCCGAAUUGUACCGUACAGCACCGUAUGGUUUUACUCCACUCAGUACAGGGCUCUUUAGAGUUUAGCAAAUAACAAUGUUAGUUUUCAGUUCACCACAAUAUAAUAUUUCAUAAAUAAAUGCCUAUGUUCUCAGAUUUUUUCAGAUUUAAUUUUCAAUUAACCAAUUCACCAUCAAUCCAUUAUUAUACGCCUAUAUAUUUUUUAUAUUUAUGAAAUUCAACACAAUCUUGAACAAUGUAUUCCUUCAAUAUACCUUACCAAUGUAGAGAACUUAAAAUUCAUGUUAUAUGCAGAUUUUUAUAUUUUUAAAGUAUAUGAUGGCAGACAGUUUCACACACUAUAACAGUUUAAGUGCAGUGGUAAUUUCAAAACAUCUUUAAUGCACUGUGAUAUACUUUUCUAAAUUUUUGCUGCUAGACUUUUGGCUAGGUGUGAAAAUCACCAGGGUCCCUUCAAUUAAAUCUAUUUUUUUCAAAUUACUGUAAUACAACCUCACAUCUUUUACAAAGGCAGGCGAAUGUGAAAAAAAAUUAAAAGGAGGGGAAUCAUCCCAUCACACUUGCUCAGAUUAGCAACAUUGUAUACUAAUGUUGUAUUUUAUGGUUAUUUUCCCCUUGUGAUAUUUAGCAUCUCCAAUUUAAAAGAUAAAUGCCGUAAAAAGCUUUUCUACAAUGACGCUGUGAAAAUGUGCUUUUAAUAGAUUUCUUUUUUUUUCUGGGUAAUACAAAAAAUACUGAAUUGCCCUUUGGUCUUUGUAAAGGGUAUAUUAUUUACAGAAUUUAAAAUGCCAUAAAACAGCUUGAAAAACUAUAGGGAGUCUUGCCAUAAUUGUUGGGAAAAAUACAUUUUUAUAAGCCAGUCAUGUUUGAGAUGGAGUUUCCGCAUUUUUAUUUUGUACUCAUAAUUAUAGCAUUGUUCACAAAAGUUAUUCAAAUCAGUCUGUUAAAUGACAUUUUAAUGUACUUAAAUAGAAGGUGGCUGUGUGCUCAUUAUGGCAGUUAAUUUUUAUACAAUGCAUAUUGUUAUUAUAGCAACACUGUUCUUGAUUCUAUAUGUUACCAUUAAAGACUGCAUAUUUGCCAAAAGAAAAUAGUUGUUUGGUAUGUCGUUGUGCACUUUCCUAGUAUUUUUUUUUUUAAAUACAAUUUCUGGAAAAAAAAUAUUGGUUUUGUCAUUUUAUAUAUGGACUUGGCAUACAUUUAUGUUAUAUUAGUGAAAUGUUAAAACAUAGUAUACCAGAGUCAUCCUAAUAGUUUGCCUUACUGUACGCAGCCAUUUUAGAAUAGCUAACAUAAAUGUUCAUCAAAUUAAUUGAUUUACCCUUCUUAUCAUUUGAUGGAAUGUGAUUUGCAUUUGGGGAAAGACAAACAAAGACAUAGGAUAGAGCCAAAAAUGAGACAUCAGUUAUUACUGCCCCCUGGGGGUGGAGAUAAGGUGCUGGGACAUUAACUGAUGCCUGUCUAUUCAUUAACUCAUCAAUCCAAGGGAUAGCAAGAAUGUAAAGAGAAGAUUACAUAUUUAGAGAUUCUAAAAUUGUUAUAACUUUGUCAGGAAAAGGCCCACUUUGUAAGGCCUUUCUGUUUUCUGUGAGUUCUGGGGAUCUCUACUCCAGUUUUUUUUUUAACAAAGGGAAUCUGUUACGGGGCCCCAUAGCUUUUAUAGUAUCCUGCUUGUUAUACUUUAAAUGGCAAGCAAGUUGUUUUGUUAGUCAGCUCACGCUUUCAGCAAGCUGCCCAGUUUAAACUGAUUGCUAUAGGCCAUGGGAUGGCAACCUUCGGUACUACAGAUGUUGUGGAUUGCAUCUCCCCUGAUGCUUUGCCAAACAUUGCUUCAAACUUUGUUAAUAUACCCUUAGGUUAUUUGCCUCGAUCUGACCAUUAAAGACUGCAGCCCAAUUUCUGUCCGUAGAAAAAAACUCAUAGAUUGUGUACAGAGGUUACAUGUUGAUUUUGUGUGAGUAUUUUAUUUUUUGAGUGGGAAAUAUUGUAUUUAUAGUCAGUUGUUUUUUUUCUGGGCCAUACAACAUAUUGCAAAAGUAUGACCAUCAUUUUGUUGCCUCAAUUUGGAAGUAUUUGUUUGUUUAAUGUAUGGAUUAAUCAGAUCCCUUACUCUCAGUAAUGAAAAUGCACAAAGGUAGUUUAAAUCACAACACAAUCUCUUAGAGCUCAGGGCUGUAGGACAAUUUGAGGAUUAUAUGUACGUGCAUCCAUGUCUUAUACCAUUGUGGCCAGCAAGGAUGUCCUGGCUUACAAAUAAUGUUAACAUACUUAUUUGCAUAGCUAUGUUUGACAAAAAACCUAGUUCUAACACCAUUAUGGCAUCUCUCCAAUUCAAAGCCACAUGUCCAUUUUUCCCCUAUACAUUGACACCUUCCUCUUCACUGUUUUGUUUUUUAAGAGAACCCAGUAUAACCAAUAAGUGUGCCAUGGCUUGCAAUUUAUAGCCAUAUAUUAAUUCUCACUUAUGUUAUGAUUAUUUUCUAGAGAAUCUAUCGUGGUUCAGCAAAUAUUCCCCUUUUUUAUAUGCAUACCAACCACAUAGCACACCACAUUACAAUAUUGUUUCAUUGUCAUUGCGAGCACGCAUCAUUGAAGUAAAACUCAUGGACAAUUUUUCAGUGAACUUCUCACUGUAAAGUCAUGGACUUUUCACAAAAAUGCACUGCUUAAGAAAACAAAUUCGAAGUCAGUGCCAGCUCUAAAUAGCGUGUGAAGUGCAUACACACUUAAAAUUUAUGCUGAACUCAUACAGCUUGGCUCUUCCUCUGCAAAAGUAAAUUAUUUCAAUACCCUCAUAACCACACUCUCCUGCGAACCCAAAUGACUAUUUCACACAUUUAACUCUCUUCUUUGCCCUACUGGUCCUCCUCCACCUACUAACUUGACCGCACCUCCCACUCCUCACCCUUCUGUCAGUCCCUACAUUGGCUUCCUGUAACAUAUAGGGCUCAAUUUAAUAUUCUGGUUCUUGGUUUCAAAUCUCUACAUAAUGCUGCUCCCACCUAUCUAUCCUCCCUUAUACACAAGUAUGCCCCGUUUAGGCCCUUACAAUCUGCUGAAGACUUAUGUCUAUCUUCGGUCAGUGCUCCCACCUCUGAUGCUCGUCUUCAAGACUUCUCGAGGGCUGCACCGUUCCUGUGGAAUUCACUUCUCUACUCUGUUAGAUGCUGACCCAGUCUCCACUCCUUCAAAAAAAUCAUUAAAAACCCACUUCUUCAUAAAAGCGUAUCAAUUAAACUGUUAGUAGCUCCCAACUGAUUCCUCUUUCAACUGUCACUAGUCUAAUACUAUCCUUACCUUUUGUGUCACUUUACCCCACUCGCUCUAACAUGUAAGCUCAUUGAGCAGGGCCCUCAACCCGUCUGUUCCUGUGUGUCCAACUUGUCUGGUUACAACUACAUGUCCGUUCGUUCAUCCACUGUAAAGCGCUGUGGAAUUUGAUGGCGCUAUAUAAAUAAUAACAUAAUAAUAAUAAUAAUAAUAAAAUAAGAAUGGGAGAUUAAAAAAAUAUCCAUGUUUUAUACUAGUACUAUAAAUCUCCUGAUGGUGUAAUAAAAGUUUACUUUAACCACCUCAGUCUGUAAUAUAUCGUUUAAAAAAAAAAAGAAAUGUCCGCAUAUGUAUUCUAAAGCUUCACGUAUAUGUUAUUUCUACUAAUAUUUUGUGACAUUUAUGAUGGCACAUACAUUGAGAUGGCACUCAUAUACUAACUUUAAAUCCUCAACUGUACUACACAACAUAUGUCCCCAAUUUUAUAAUGUAGAAGAAAGGUCUGGUCGUCAACAGUGCAAGAAAAUACUUUAUUCCAAAUACUUUUCCAUUCUACUAGUAAUUUUUCAAGUUGACAAAUGCUUGUUAGAGUAAACAUUUUGAGCGGCGCAAAUAUAGAUGACCAUGCAUCACAUAUAUCCAUAAAUACUAGCAAGUGAAGUUUAGCAUGAGAGUUACACUCAUUCAAUUUUUUUCUACUUAAAAAUUCCAAAGCACUGUAAUUCUCAAGAUAGAUUUAUGUUUAUGUUUAAGAGCUGCGUGAAUUUAAUUUAGUACAUUUAAUUUAAAAUGCUUGUACUUGGCUUGGAGACUUUUGAGCACUUGUAAUUAGUAUAAUGACUGCUAAUUUGAGCUACUUUAUUAAAAUGCUUAUAACCUGCUGUAUGAAACAAUAUAAAAUAGUUUUUUUUUUCUUUUUUGAAUUAUUAUAGUUAAAGGAUAUAGAAUGGGAAUUUAAUUAUUGUAGCAUGUAAAGAAUCUGCCAGGAAAUUAAAAGACCCCCCCCCCAAAAAAAAACUGAGAAGCAUAACAUUCUGGACUCUACUUCCCUUAAACAAUGAUAUUUUAAAGAUCGAGCAACAGGAGGUGUAACCAUUGUAAAAAUGAAAAGAAAAAAAAGUAUAUAUAUAUAUAUAUAUAUAUAUAUAAAAUAAAAUAAAAGGAAUUGUAUAGAGAUCCCCUGUCUUAUUAUUUACAGAUUGUCAGUUUGGGUCAAUACAUUAACUCCUCACACACACCACAUCAAUACCUUCCAUUUUUGCAGAGAAUCACAGAGACCAGUGGAGUCUGAAUGUGUUAGUUAUUGUACAAUUCUUCUGCUUUACAAUCACUAGACACAAGUUACAAUAUAGCCUCUUCACCUCACCCCUCGGGCUAAUAGAGGCUAGCUGCUGUGGAGGAAAUGGAAGCUUCAUCAUCAAAAACUGAGCUAGUAUACAUAACUGUGUUCAUGCGAGUGUGUCUAUAAACACGUAUGCCACUGUAUGUGUGAUUGUGUGCCUUUGUAUGUGACUGUGUGUGGUAUUGUGUGUCUAUGCAUUUAUGUGACUGUGUUUGUGAUUGCGUGUCAGUGCAUGCAUGUAUGAAUGCUCAUGUUGCUAGGUGAAUGACUAGUUGUAAAUAUAUGUAUGUGUGUGAUUGCAGUAAACGAUAUGGGGAGGGGGAACGUAGCCUUGACUGGCCUAAGGCAGACAAAACCCAAAAUACAUUACUGACUCUUAGACCUUGUGACCAACAGCUGAACCUUUGUGUGUUUCAAUUAAAAUAUUUUUCUGCUGAAUCCUAUUAAAUAUGAAGUCCUUAUCUUCCUUUACCCCAAAGCUGUCAAAUACAAAAAAAAAGCCAUCUGUUGCUCUUAAUUGAAGUUUUUCUUUUUUCAAUUUGCAUAUAUUUGCAAGGCUCAUUCCUUUCUUUUUUUUAUCCCUUUGCUUAAUUUGCACUGUAAAAUCCAGUAUAAAAUGUCAGUAAUGUAAAAAUUAAAUUAAUAAAAAUGUAAAUAAAUGAUUAUAAUUUAAAUAUGCUCAAACUUAGAAGGAUGCAAUGGACAGUACAGUAAUUAUGUACCAUUUAAUUGACUCUAUUUCUGUUACUAUUUACUGUAAUGCAAUAUAUAUUCCCUUUGUGUAUAUUUUGUUGUUAUACAUAAUAGCAUUUCAAAUUAAUGAAAAUAUAUUACACCCCUCUUACAAAGCAAAAUAGCAAGAGACAAACAAACAAAGGCAGUGAUAUAGAAAUGCAGCAUAAUGACUUUAGUGGAUGUAUUAAGUGAAUAUAUAUAUAUAUAUAUGUAUAUAUAUAUAUAUAUAUAUAUAUAUAUAUAUUAACAUAACUACAGUGCUCGCAUAAACAUUUACAAUGUCAUUGUAUUUUUGAAGAGCACAUAUUUUUACAGUGAAAAAAAAAAUUAAAAUCUUAUAUAUGCAUCUAUAUUUGUGCAUAAUUCUUUUACAGUUAACCAUUAACCCCUUCACGACCGAGAGAAUUUAAUUUGCUAGCACUGUAUUUUACCCUGUAACGUUCUACGACACCCUAAAACCUGUACAUGGGGGGUACUGUUUUACUCGGGAGACUUCGCUGAACACAAAUAUUAGUGAUUCAAAACAGUAAAACAUAUCACAGCGAUGAUAUUGUCAGUGAAAGUGACUUUUUGCAUUUUUCACACACAAACAGCACUUUUACUGAUGAUAUAAUUGUUGUGAUACGUUUUCCAGUUUUUAAACACUAAUAUUUGUGUUCAGCGAUGUCUCCCGAGUAAAACAGUACCCCCCAUGUACAGGUUUUAUAGCAUUUUUGAAAGUUACAAGGUCAAAUAUAUGGGUCAAAUAUUUUUACAUUGAAAAUGGCCAGGUUGGUUACGUUGCCUUUGAGAGCGUAUGGUAGCCCAGGAAUGAGAAUUACCCCCAUGAUGGCAUACCAUUUGCAAAAGAAGACAACCCAAGGUAUUGCAAAUGGGGUAUGUCCAGUCUUUUUAGUAACCACUUGGUCACAAACACUGGCCAAAAUUAGCGUUCAAUUUAGUUUUUUUACUUUUUUCACACACAAACAAAUAUGAAUGCUUACUUUGGCCAGUGUUUUCGACUAAGUGGCUACUAAAAAAGACUGGACAUACCCCAUAUUGAAUACCCUGGGUUGUCUACUUUAAAAAAAAUAUGUACAUGUGGGGUGUUAUUCAGAGAUUUAUGACAGAUAAUAGUGUUACAAUGUCACUAUUGAUAAAUUUUAAAAAUGUAUGUUUUGAAACCGCAAUAUCCUACUUGUACCUAUAGCCCUAUAACAUGCAAAAAAAAGCAAAAAAGCACGUAAACACUGGGUAUUUUUAAACUCAGGACAAAAUUUUGAAUCUAUUUAGCAGUUUUUUUCAUUCGCUUUUGUAGAUGAGUAAAAGAUUUUUCAAGUAAAAGUCAAAAAACAUGUAUUUUUUAAAAUUUUUCAUCAUAUUUUUUUAUUUUUUUUAUUAAAAUACAUGAGAUUAUAUAAAUAAUGGUAUGUAAAGAAAGCCCCUUUUGUCCUGAAAAAAACAAUAUAUAAUUUGUAUGGGAACAGUAAAUGAGAAAGCGGAAAAUUACAGCCAAACACAAACACCACAAAAGUGUAAAAAUAUGCCUGGUCGCAGAUGUACAACAUCGCAAAAACAGUCCAGUCCUUAAGGGGUUAAUGUUAUAUAACAUUUGUAUCUAGCAUAAAUUAUAUAAACAAUUUUGGAAAAGUGUUACACAUUGUACAUUUUGCAAAUAUGACAAGCUAUACAUAAGACGUAAUUCGGUAACAAAUAAAGAGAGAAUGUGUGCUUAAAAAAUUACACAUGUAUACAUACGUCAGAGCAAAAUAAUUUUUUUUACAUUUGCACAAGUUUAAUGGGUUUAAGGAAUUAUAACUCUGGAUGAGUACCCCCAGUACUUAGUGGCUUUCCAGGCUAAAUCAAACCAUCCUGUAUUGCCUUGCUGAGGUGACAUAUUCGGUGCUAUUAGGAGCGCUCAAAUGUCCACCUCAAAGUACUCUGAGAAAAUUUUAGUAAGAGGCAGAGCAAGAAAAGGAGACAAAGUGCAGAUGAGAUACAAUGGAACAUGAUCGAGGGAACAGGUGGUGGGGCAGGAGGAACGGAGCAGAGAAGAAACCUCUUCUGCUGUAGCGGGUGCAAAUGAGCAUAAGACAGCUGAAAGAAUGUGGUUAAGGGAAAGGUUGGUAGUGGAUGGAGAGAGAUGAGAGAUCUCAUCCCUGAUUGUAGAAAUCUUCUCAGUGAAGUGAGUUGCAAAGUUUGUGUUGGUCAAGAUGGCAGGAAGAGGAGGCACGACACGGCGCAGAAGAGAGUUAAAAGCGUGAAACAGUAAUUUGGGUUCGCGGGAGAGUGUGGUUAUGAGUGCAUUGUAGUAGUUUUCUUUUGAAGAGGAAAGAGCCAGACCUUAGGAGCACAGCAUAAAUUUAUAGUGGAGGAAGUCAGGUGCAGGGUGAGACUUUCUCCAGCAGUGUUCAGCAGUUCUGGAACAUUUUUUGGGGUAUCGGUCAGCUUGGUGUGCCAGGGUUGUAAUUGGGGGCGCUUAGUGCAUUUAAGUGUAGAAGGUGCCAUGAUCUCUAGUUGAGAGGAGAGAGUGGAGUUGUAGAGGGAGGUUGCAGUGUUAGGACAGGUGAGAUUUGAAAUGGGUGAAAGGAGACUUUGGAGGUUGGUGGAGAAUUGCAGUAGAUCAAGACAAUGGAGGUUUCUGCAAGACUGAUGAGGGUAGUGUACUUUGGGUCCAGGGUAUGCGGAUGUCAAUGGACAGCAGAUGGUGGCCAGUUAGAGGAAAUGGAACAUUGGAGAGAUUAGAGGUGGUACAAGGAUUGGUGAAGAUGAGGUCAAGAGUGUUUCCUGAUCUAUGAGUUGAUGAAUUAAACUCACUGUGUGAGUCCAACGGAAGAGGAAGAGCAGACGAGAAGCAUCAGGGCAGUUUUGAUUGGGAUAUUAAAGUACCCAAGAAUGAGGAAAGGAGUUCUAGAGAAGAGGAAAUGGGGUAGUCAGGAAGAAAAGUGUCCAAUGAAGAGCCUAGGAUGACUAGAGGGGGUGGGGGGGAGGGGGUGCAGGGAAGAUAAAUCAUGGCAAUUCUUAGAGAAGUGGGUUUAAAUAGAUGGACAGUGUGAACUUCAAAGGAAGUUCAGAGGUAUUCAGAGGUGAAAUAUAGCGAGUGAUUAUACCCCACACCAUAAGUCGAGACAUCAUGUAGGGCUUAAACAGAACUGACCUUAUUGCAGCUGUGCAGAGGGUUAUUUGCAUACAAUAGGAUAAUCAACAGUGCAUACAGUUAACCAUCAAGUCCUCUUCCUAUAACUUCUUCUUUUUCUUGCUGAAAACAACCCUCAAGAAAUAUUCAGCUCCAUUUUGUCCAAAUAAUUCAAACAACCUGAUACAAUGAAUGCACCUUGUAAAAUUCCCACCCAAGCAAGAUGAACCCUUACCCUAACAACCUGGGUCCAUGGCAAGUAUGAAUUAUGAAAUAACUUCACAUUUUCCACAUUAGGGCCAUUGUCUGGAACAAAUUUAUCUGGUCUAGACAAUGGCCCCAAAGUGGAAAAUGUUGCCAUGCAUGUAAUUCUGUGCUGUAUAGUUUAUUCCUUGCUAGAGUGUGGCUGAUUGCAUUUCCAUACUUAAACCAUGUAACUACAAGUCACACAAUAUAACAAUGAUCCAGUAUUGGUACCCACGCUAGUAGAAAAAAUGGAAUGUAUAAAUGAUAAAGUAUUUGAUCAAUUUUAGCAUGACAUAUUUUAGCCACAGAACUGCACUCUCUUUUUGAUGUUCUUUAAGUAGUAGUUAAUUAUAUUAUCUCCAGAGCUCUUCAAAAAUGCCAUUUUAUUAUAAUAUACGAUUCACUGUUACAUUUUCUCUGCCUUUUUAGUUUUCAUGUAAUAAAGCAAAAUACAGAUUUAUUUCCAAAUACACCUCAUUUCUGUCAUACGGGCUAUCUCUUUGUGAUUUGUAUGCUGCGUUCAUGCUAACGUCUGCCGUGUCCAUUAUUGGAUUACAGUUUAAUUUUAGGCUUAUAAGGAUAAAGUAUCUAUGUUAACACCAAGUGAUACAGAGGAAAUUUUCUGACGUGUAAUUAAUUUCCCUUUUCUUUAAAACCUGAUAAAUAUACAUUUAAAAAUGUAAAGCUUAUGGUCAAUGAUUAAUCUAAUAUCAGAAAACUGAGUAAAUGCAAUUUGUAGAAACUGUUUAAAUUGUCAUUUUAAAGUAACUUUAGAUUUUAUUUCUUUAACUUUUCAAAUAUUAAUAGCUCUCUUAUGUUCAUGAAAUUUCAUUAAAGAACCACUAUAGUGCCAGGAAAACAUACUCGUUUUCCUGGCACUAUAGUGCCCUGAGGGUGCCCCCACCCUCAGACACCCCCUCCCGCCGGGCUCUGGGGAGAGGAAGGGGCUAAACACUCACCUUUCUCCUGCGCCGGGCGGGGAGCUCUCCUCCUCCUCUCCGCCUCCUCUCCUCCUCUUCGGCUGCAUGCGCAUGUGCGGCAGGAGCUGCGUGCGCAUUCAGCCAGUCUCAUAGGAAAGCAUUCAUAAUAAUGCUUUCCUAUGGACGCACGCAGUGAGAAGCACGCAAACGCCUCUAGCGGCUGUCAAUGAGACAGCCACUAGAGGCUUUAGAGGCUGGAUUAACCUAUUUAUAAACAUAGCAGUUUAAAGUAUGUUUAUAAAAAAAAGGGUUAACCCUAGCUGGACCAGGCAACCAGACCACUUCAUUAAGCUGAAGUGGUCUGGGUACCUAUAGUGGUCCUUUAAGGGAUAACAAGUACAACUAGAACAGUGCAUCUAGAAUUCACAAACAAAAGAAGAAAGUAAUAUAUAAAACAUUUCUAAAAACAUUACAAGGUAGUUUGGUAUGCAUUUUGAACAGGGCCAGCCAACCCUUGGUCCCAUUGGCAUUAUGCCGCCCUGUACCUUUAACAAUUGUGCUGUGCCACCCAUUUGCAUAUAUAUAUAUAUAGAGAGAUAGAGAGAGAGAGAAAGUAACGAUAUAUAUAUAGAGAUAGAGAGAUCACUGGGACCCUGCUGCUUUAUCCUAUGAAGAGAGGGCCCAGAGAUCAUAUUUCCAUCUCCUCCAUCAGGUUCUUUUCUCUGCCAAGCCGCGGGAUACAUGCCGGAGUGUUGCGGCUCGUGAGAGGAAAGUACCUGAUGGAGGAGAUGGACAUAUGAUCUCUGGGCUCCCUCUUCACAAUAAACCUACCUGUGCCACUGUACCACCAGGGAAUCUCGUGUCCCCCCUAAGAGGGGGGGGCAUACAUUUUAUUACACAAAAAUGACAUCCCUCCCCACAGCCCACAAACACACAUACACUACAUCCAGUAUACACCACUACAAACACACAUACACUACAUCCAGUACAAACCACUACAAACAUACAUACCACUUCCACUACACACCACUACAAACUCACACUGCAUCCACUACGCAAACACGGACACUGAUAACACUACACAAACUGCAUCCAGUACAAAAGCACAGACACUGCAUCCACAACAUAAACACUACAUCCACUACACAAAUUCACACACUGCAUCCAGUAUACAGACACACACUGCAUUCACUACACAGACAUACACUGCAUCCACUACACAAACACACAUACUGCUUACAAUACACCAACACAGACACUGCAUCCACCACACAAACACACACUGCAUCCACUACACACACAGACAUUUCAUCCCCUACACAAACAAACACAUGGCAUCCACUACACACAAACACACUGCAUUCACUACACAAACAUCGACUCUGCUAGCACUACACACGCUGCAUCCAGUUCACAAACACAAACACUGCAUCCAUUACACACUCUGCAUACAAUACACAAGCUCAGACACUUCAUUAAUUACACACUGCAUAAAUUAAUGGAUGUAAGCGUGUUUUGGAGAGCGUGUUAUAUUGAUAGGGCAUUUGACAGCUUAUGAAAAACCUUGACUGGUCUAACUGUAAAACAAAUUAGAAAAAAAAUCUAACACAGUCUCUUAUUUAAACAUUUGAAUGAUGCAUAUAAGCCAUUGUCUUUAAUGUCACACCCAUAGUAUUACAGGGACUAAUUAUCCUAAUUAUUUACAACACAAUACCUUAUUGUGUUAUGAAAUAUCAAAUCUAGACUUCUGUAACUUACAAGGUAAUAGAUGUAAAAUGCAAAUAUAAGUUAAGUGCUUCCAAUAAUCUGAAAAAAAGUCAUAUAAUUCAUUUAAUCCAUUUCUUAUUCCUUCUGCUGAUGUUCUUUUGAAAUGUCCUACAUAGUGUGCAUGUUAAAAUUUCUCAUAAUCGAGCCAAAGUGCUCAGAAGUACUGAAAGUGCCACUCUUCUUGUACAAAAGACAUCUUAAAAAUUAAACACCAGAACAAACUAUCUGUGACAGUUUGUAAUCAAUGAAUAUUAUGUUUUGCUAACAGUCAUUGUCAAGGCUGAGCAAUUUCUAGAGGGUUUGAAUAGUCUGGUAAAUGACAUAUAAUAUGUUUAGUGGACAGUGUUUUCUCACGCAUUGUAACGAAUAAAUUUUUAUUUUAUUUUUCCACCUAUUUAAUAGUAUAGUAUAUUGUCUUCCUAAAUAAGAAUAAUAGUUUAUAUUAUAAUUACAUUAUUGUUAGCACAAUUGAGUUAAGAGCAAUUCGAUAUUUUCAAGCAUACAUAUAAUACAAUGUCUAAUAAUAAUAAUAAUAUAAUAAUAAUAUAAUUAAUAAGAAGAUAAAUAUCAAAUAACCUAAAUCAAGAGGAUACAUUUAGCUUGUUUUUGCUUUGAAAAAUAUAUCUUGUAUAUUAUGACACACUCCAGUUUAUUGAAGUUCUAAUUAGUAGAACCUUUCUUAUUAUAGACAUUUUUUACUAUAAAUAUUGAGUGAUACUGCAAGCACAGGCAGAGCUGAGUAAAGUACAGAAAAUAACACACAGAGCUGGGCACAAUAAAACGAUGCUCAUAAUUAUCCCACACAGCCAGGAUCAUUGUGAUAAAUUACACAGAGCAGCAAUACAGAGAUCCCCACACAUGCAUGUCUCUAAAAUGUGUUGCUUUCUCUCUAUCUUUCUAGCCCUCUCUUAGCUCUCCCUCCCAUGAUCUCAUCUUCAUUAGUUGGCUAUUAAAUAUUGCUGCUGUUAUGAAACAUGUCCGCUACUCCAUUUGCUCUCAGCACACAUUGUGCACAUGGUUAAAGCGUCAAAAUACUGAAAGAUUACAACCAUGUCAGCUACUCCUGAUUCACUAUUAGCUCUAAGCACACAGGGUUAAAGCAGCAGGAUACUGACUCAUUUUCACCAUUGCAGCUGGCAACAUAAUUAAUCUGCUGUAAUAAUAUGGAGCCAAGAAGUAGCUGACAUGGUUAAAAGAAUCAACAAUCAGAAAUAAACAAAUGACAGAUUAAAACAGAUUGAAAUCAGAAUCAGAACAGUACUCAGAGUCACAGCUCCAGUCCUUCAGUUUGAAGUUUCACAACAUUUCAGGUCUCAACUGUAGUGUGGCUGAGAACUUUAAAGAAGAUAGUGAAUAUGUGCAGUAGGAGCUAUUAAACUAUUAGUGACAGGCAGCACAACGUUGUGUGCCAGAAAUCUCCCCCUUUCAUUGUCACCCCUUCUUUGAAUUUAAUAUUUUAAUUAUAUAUUUGAGUAAUUCCCCUUGCUUAAUCAACCCCGAGGCAGUCACUAGGGCUAUUGAGAAAGAGAUAAUAUUAUACGCUUACAUUAUGCAUGGGCCAAGAGCUACUGCUGUGCAAUUUCGUUGUUACUUCCAAGAUGGCUUGUUGCUUCUUUUUUCUGUGAGCACUGUAAACCCACUCCCCUAAUAGCCAAUGACGGCCCAUGAAUAAAGAGGCCAAUAGUACACCUCCACUUGUGGGCAGCUGGCUCUGCUGCCCAAAUGGCAACUCAAUUGAAAAUUAUUUUUAAGAGACACUAGGCAUGUGCAAAAACUGCUGAAAUGGCAGAUUUCAAACCAGUCCCAUAUUUUGUUACAUGGAUAGUUGCUUUUAAGUAAAUUUGUCCAAAUAGCUGCCAAUGAAGAGGUAGGGGCCCUGCAGAAUUGAAACUUCUUUCAGAAUUAAAAAGACACUAAUGUUUUCCUAUAUUGUUUGGCUUAUCAUCCUCCCCUCCAGAAAAAAAAAUCUUAGUGUUUCUAAAAUACAUUUUUCUCCAUAUAAAUAUUGAUGUGGUGCCCAAAUGGAUGAGCCUCCACUGACCUGUAUUGAGCCAUGCAUAGCUAAAAGGAGACAUCUGAAUUCGCAUGCCUUCAAGGGGCUCAGUGGACCCAUUUAAGUUGUCAAACCAUUUUUAAAUAGUUUGACUACUUGUUUGAGAGAGUGUCACUGCAUUUCUGACACCAUAGCUACGACAUCAAGGUGUAGUUUUAUAGAGCUUGGUGUGUCCAUUUAAAAUAUCAGGAACUCUUUUUCAACAGGAUCAUGAUUGCUCUAAUGUUACCCUUAAAUACUGCUCCUGUUAAAUUUUGCUGAAUAUCAUGUUUCCAAAAAGAAAUUAUGUGAAUAAUUCAGUAGAAUUAACUCUGUGAAGGGAUUGACAAAUUCUUCUCUUUUUUAGAUGUGAAAAGAGGCACUUAUAGGCUUUCUCAGACAUUAUAAGAUUUUUUUUUAUUACAAAGGACCAGACACCAAUAUUGUAGCUGGAACUGAAAUUUUUGUCCUAUGCAAGACUUUCAUCAAGAUAUGGAAGAAAAUAUAUAUACAGAUUAAUCAGUUCAACCUGCAGGACAAAGAGUCCAAUGGUAGACAUCAACACUAUCAUGAAGAAUGGAACGUGCUCUAUUUGAUAUAUUUACAAUGUUCACUUUGAUAUAUCAGAGCUAUGGAAUUUGUUGGAGCUUUAUAAGUAAUAAUAAUUAAUAAUUGUAAUAUGUACAUGUUAAAAACUUUGAUGCUUCAUUACUUAAUGUUCGUUAAAGUAUUUGUGCAUCAAACAUCUAUAAAAUAACAGCUUUACGGAUUGUGUAGCUGAAAGAAUAACUCAGUACACUUGGGGAUCACAUAAUUAAAAAUAGUAAUGUUUACCUUUAUUUUUAUUUUUUUUAUCAAGAAUCAGUAUUAGUUACAUUUAAUGUCUGCUGUGCAAUAAAGCAUUAGGCUUACAAAUUCUCCAAAGGCCCAUAAUGAUUACUUUCAGGUAAGAAUUACUUACUUUGCAAUUAUUAUUUUUUUUGCAUGUUUUUACAAAUACAUUUUUGUCAGUUACAUUCAAUUUGUGAUUUGUAGUGCACUUGUUAAGUUAACAAAAUAUCAUUUUCAGGUAACAGACACAGAGACAGACAGACAAAUGUAAACACAUACAUGCCUUUUUCAUACAAUACAAACUAUAUUCUGUGUUAUGUCACGUGUUUAUUUUUUUACUGAUCAUGAUGAAAGUUUUAUCCAUGCAUUUUAGAUCCUACAACUACAUAUACACAAAUUCUUAAUGCGUCCCCACAGGGGCAGUUAUGGAGUUUAUUGCCUGCUUUUGCCUUGUAGAAUUUUUCGAAACGUAGCAUGAUAUUUGCAAAUAUAUUCCCGGCAUGUUCUUUUAGAACAGACUGUGAUAAAAUUUUUAGCUAUUUGAACAUGGCAGAAAUUAAAAAAAGGUUUAAGGUUUAAGUUCAGAAAUGAAAGCAUUGAGAUGUGCAGCAAUAAUUACCUGCUGUCAUUUCUGAAAAAAAAAAUGUGACUUGUGUGUUCUUCAGGAACACUGCACAUAAAACUGAUGCUUCAAACUUCACAUGAUGAUAAUUAAAUUCAUGUCCCACAGACGACAGGCUUAGAUAGGCUUUCCCUGGAGGCAAAACGAAUACUUCAGCUAGUGGUUCAUUUUCCCUCCCAAUCCUUACCAGUUAGGGACAUAAUUAGCGUAUGAUUGUCAUAUUGUGUGUAUGGUGUAUGUUUAAAUUAUCGUCUGCAUGGCAUAGAUGGAAUAUGAAAACAGCUGUGGAUCUCAUAGACUUAUCCGAUUUCUUUGGGAACUUAAAGUUUGCAAGUUAUGGACUUGUUUGAACAAAAGAAAUGAUUUCAAAGCCCUGUGUGCCUAUAGAAUGAAAAUAUAUAGAUGCAAUUUUUUUUUACUAUACAUGUGUUUCUCAAAGGAUGCAAUCAUGUGUAGUAGUUCAUACCUCUAUUGUGUUAGGUGUGACAGUGAAAAUUCAGAGUUUAUGGGAAGAUGAGAAACACGUCGGCAAUUAUUUCAAAUUCUAUGCUGUUCUUUGUUAUUUAGAAAGAAAAAUAGCAGAGUAACCCUUUAUGUGUGAUGUCCUUGAUUAAUAUACAAACAGUACCACCAGUGUAAAAAAAGUAGUUUUAUAUAGCAGCACAUAAUAUCUAGGGACUGAAAAAAAAGAUGAUUUGGUCCAUGACAUUUUCUUUUUUUUUCUUUCUAUAUGAUACAAAAAUAAUACUUUGAUAUUUAAGUUAAUCUAUUACAUACUUGAGGCAUAUUUCACUCAUUUUAGGGAAAAAAAUUUAAUUUUCGUGUUUAGUUUAGUUAUUUUGGCCUAAUAUUUGAAGUUCACUGUGGAUUCACUUUGAAUUGCUAGCAAUUAUUUAUUUAAGCUUAGAUUAAGCUGUAGUCGUUCUGGUGACUAUAGUAGUGCCAUUUAAUGAUGACAGUUUCUGGAAGUUCUUCAUUAUUAUGAUGCAUUUAUUCCCAGUAUAGUAAAGGGAAUAAUGCAUGCUUUACUUCAAUGCUGUUUAGGAACCAUAAUCUCAGGCAGAAUCAGAAAAUGCAUGUUUUGGUCUACCAAAGAUUGUUUACGGUCCCGAGCAGAAGCUGUCUCUUUUUUAAUUCUGAUUGUUCUCAAACCUAAUCAAUGUGGCAGCUUACAUAUCUGCAUCAAAGCCAUUAGUCUUGGAACUAAUAGAAAAUAUUUCCACUUAUAGUUUUUAAAAGAGGGAGCUGCUGUUUCUGCAUUUAUUACCUAGAUUUUUCACUUAUUUAAAAUUAUACUUAUAUAGUGCUUUUACUUUUCGGUUUUUGUCUCCACUUAUCACCUACACUACCCUAGCACACUAACCAAAACUCUAACACAAUCCCAUUUGCUAACACUAACACUAUCAUAAACCCUAACACACUAACCCUAGCCCAAAAUCAUCAUGUAAUAUAAAUGACAGAUAACAGCUAAUCAUGGGCAUCUAGCGAUAUUUAAAAAAAAAAACUGAAACUCUGCCUUGGUGGUUUAUACUGAACUCAUCUGGAUAUAGAAAUACCCAAACACAAAAAAAAACUAACACAAAUUAUAGAGUUUGAACCUCUUUGGUUCCAUCUGCAUGGUGUAGAUUCUAGUCCAAACGUUGAUGCAAAGCAUGGUUACUCAUUAACUGUUGCAAAUUUUAAAAUGCUGUGGUAUGCAUCUCCGAAAUGUCAAAAAUCAAGCCUUGGGAAAAGUCUGUCUUGGACAAAGCAAUGUGGGCAGGGUUAUUUACUAAACUGAGAAUUGUCAGGAAUUGAAAGUGAAUUCAAAGUGAACACAUUUAAUGCCCGAUCAGCUAAACUGGAGGCAUUGCUGAGUUGGAGCAUAUUUCCAAUUAGGCUAUUUUGGCCUUAAAUGCAGAAAGAUAAGUCCUGCGCUCACUCCAAUCACUACUGGGCGGCAGCAAUGACUACAGUACACAUCAGCCCCAAUAUAUAGUAAAAACCAAAGAAAAAAAAAGUUACCUGCGCCCUCUCCUUAAUCCCUAUGCAUUUUUAAACAAAUGGAGGUUUUCUAGUUACGUCCAAUGGCCAUGAGAGGAUAAGCCCACCUGCCAGUGCCAAGGCAGACACCCCCAGGUGGGUCCUAACUCUAACCAUUCAUCUUGCUUCCUUGAGCUUCUGGCAAAAAUCUCUAAUGAGACAGAAAGGGGUAUUUUUUUAUAUACACCCCUAUAUAUUAUUAACCCUGAAUAGGGAACACAUGCGAUGGGCGGCUGCAUUGUAACAAGGCUGAGUGAUACAAAAAAUGGAUACAAAUGCAGAAAGAUAAGUCCUGCGCUCACUCCCAUCACUGGGCAGCAGCAAUGACUACAGUACACAUCAGCCCCAAUAUAUAGUAAAAACCAAAGAAAAACAAGCAUUUUUAAACAGUUACCUCCCCAUGAGAGGAUAAGCCCACCUGCCAAUAGUAGGUCCUAACUCUAACCAAAGCAAAAAACUGAGACAGAAAGGGGUAUUUUUUAUAUACACCCCUAUAUAUUAUUAACCCUUAAUAGGGAACACAUGGGAUGGGCGGCUGCAUUGUAACAAGGCUGAGUGAUACAAAAAAUGGAUACAAAUGCAGAAAGAUAAGUCCUGCGCUCACUCCCAUCACUGGGCAGCAGCAAUGACUACAGUACACAUCAGCCCCAAUAUAUAGUAAAAACCAAAGAAAAACAAGUUACCUGUGCGCUCUUCUUAAUCCCUAUGUAUUUUUAAACAAAUGGAGGUUUUUUAGUUACCUCCAAUAGCCAUGAGAGGAUAAGCCCACCUGCCAAUGCCAAGGCAGACCCCCCCAGUUGGGUCCUAACUCUAACCAUUCACCUUGCUUCCUUGAGCUUCUAGCAAAAAUCUCUAAUGAGACAGAAAGGGGUAUUUUUUAUAUACACCCCUAUAUAUUAUUAACCCUUAAUAGGGAACACAUGCGAUGGGCGGCUGCAUUGUAACAAGGCUGAGUGAUACAAAAAAUGGAUACAAAUGCAGAAAUUUUAAAUUCACUUUGAAUAUACUUAGUAAAAACGUUAUGAGAAAAGAAGGUUCUACAAUUCUCCCAGAAUAUUCUGUUGGAUAUACAAAUGAACACAGAUAAGCAUUAUUGUUCAAACCUCAUCCUUUAUUUCUGCAGGUAACAUCAUCAAGUUUUCUUAAAUAUAUAUGGAUAUUUAAAUACAUGGAUAUUUAAAUAUAUAUGAGUUCUUGCUUAACUAAACAUAAUGCAAUACUUAGUGAACAUACUCAAAUAUGAUUUUUUUUUAUUUUAGUCUCUUCUCAAAUUGUUUAAUAAGGACUCAUUAGACAUUGAAAUAUAGAAAUGUACAACACUGUUAGUAAUACAGAAACAGCACAAUAAUUUUACUGGCUUUCAUUUUUUGUUUGCUAAUUGUUAAAGCUUUCCAAAUUGUGUUAUUGGAUUUGUGUAUAUACUGAUUCUCUGUUCUUUUAGAACUCAGAUUUAUUCAUUAAAUGGCCUUUGCAGGUGACUUGUCCAGCAAAAUUUAGAUAUUUUUCUCAUUAAUAUUGCAUUAGAAAGCUAAUGAAACAUUUGGGUGAAUAUAUUAUAAAUAAUGAAGGCAUUAUUGUUAGUUUUCAUACAUUCAAUUAUGCAAAUCAGCAUCUGUUAUUUUUGUUUUGUAUUUCAGAAGGUUACAAUACAUUGGCGAAGGAGCAGAGGCCAUUAUAUAUUUUAUAAGAUAAAAAUCUAAAACCAUUUUGUCAAAAACGGAAAAACAACAAAACUGAGCAUUUUAAUGCACCUUUUUCCUUGAAUUAAUGAGACUAAAAUAUAAUUAAGUAAUAUUUACAAUCACUCAUCCUAGAUAUUUCAUUUUCUCACUAAAUUAGUGCGAUACAAAAAUAAACCUGUGCAUAGCAAUAUUAGAUUGCUUUUUUGUUUUAGCUAAUUUCAUGAGAGCUUGAGUUUGAAAAAUGUUGGUUAUUAUAUAAAUAUUACUUGUAAAAUAGAAUAUUUACAAAGGCCUUGACAAAGAAGAUUAUAUUAUGACGUGCCUUAUGUACUCUGUUAGGUUAUGUACCUUACACACAGCAAGAUAUAUAUCAAUGCAUAUAUUAAAAAAGAUAAACAAAUUAAUUUAUGAUAUAAAAUUUAUACUUGGAGAUUCUGAAAAUAUGUAAGAAGUACACUUUAAAUUAACUAGACAACUGGGUUUCAAAAAAAAUGUACCACACUGUUGUCAAAUAGAAAUAAUUCUUUUAAUUCUACUUUAUGAUAAUGACACUAAACUAGGUUUUUAAAGGUUUAUAGGUUAGGCAUAUAGAUAGGUAUACCGGGUCAUGGAUAUGAAGAAAAUCUAAGAAAGGUUUUUAUUCUUUUAUAUCUCCCUUGCUGCCUUACGUUUGGGCAUCAGUAGUUAUUUAGGCAACCUCUUCUGAUUAAUAUUGAUCCUUUUGACUUUAUUAUUUUAUAUUAGUGCCAUUCCAUAGUUCAUAUAACUCAAUAACUCUACUGAUCUAUAUAUCCACUUUUAUUCCACUGAACAUGGAAUGAUGGAAGUAGCUGAGGCUUGCAUAUCUAUCCUUGUUAUUACCAGGACACCACACUAAUCAUCUGAAACAUGUCACGCAUGAGGUAAAGAACUCAGAUUUAAGCCCCUAAUAGCCCUUAGUAUUAACUCCUGUGUCACUAUCCAACAAUUAAUUUAAGAAGAGGAGACCCAUACCACCUUUUUUUUAAGUUAGUCCUGGUGUCUCUAUGUGGGAGAUUUAGUUAAAAUAUCUUAAAGUAUGUAUUGGCAGUUGGGGUUUAAAAUCUAUUCCACGUUAUUAAAGUAGUCUGAAAAGUGUUGCCUUUUUUUUGUUUGUGUAUUCAGACAGUUUUUUUUCUCCUCAAUGCUUUUUUACCAUACUUUAUUAAUACUGUGUGAAUAUUCUUCCCUUUUUUGGGAAAAAUAGUAAACACAUGUUAAUGCAAAUUGUAUGAGCUAAAAACAAAAAUUGUAAUAAAAAUAGGAAGAACAUAACAUAAAGGUGUAAAAGUAAUAAACACCAUCAGAAUUGACCACUCACAACAGAAACAAAUUGCAGAUUAUUCAGCUAAAGUUUGUUUGAAUUCUUCCCAUUUGUUUGUUUUUGCCACACAGUUUUCAAGUGAAUAAACACAGGGAUUGAAUUCUAUGUUUGUUAUAUAAAUUCCUAGAUAGACAUAUUGAUAGAGAAACCAAUGUAAAUGCUAAUAUGUUCCUUCUAGUUAGCUAUUAGGAGUAUGGUAGAUUGUUAAAAAUGUUUAAUAAGAUCAUGUUUCAUAAAUGACCAACUUUCUAUACAUGUCAUCUUGUAGAAGUAAUGAGGUCUUAUAUUUGUUUUCUGUGGUCAAUUAAAAUAAAAAAAGGCCAUUUUUGUUUCUUUUUAAACUUGUUCUCAUAGACUCCAGCAGUCUGGAAUGUAGGGUUUUAUUCGGAUGCGAUUCAAUGUUCAUGUUUAAAAAACCUGGACUAUUUUUACCUUUAAUAGAACUGCUACUCAGAACAUUUGCUACAAGUCAAUAUUCCUUACCUUUCUUCUCUAUCUAAAAUCAAUCACAAUCUUUGCUCUAUGUGCAAAAGCUUUUAGACCAAAUCAUUUCAGUAUCAUGUUGAAUUUUAACGUGUGAUCCAUCAUCUCUAAGAGCUGCUUGGUUCCAGAGAUACAGAAUAUAGAUUUGUUUACUUUUGAAAAGCCAUAGUUGUGGUCUAUUUCGAUCUCAGUCAAUAGUAAAGCUCUAACUAUUUCUCUCUCUAACUAAGCAUGACAAAGCAUGAGGAACUAUGAGUGAUAUGUUGCCCUUAGAUUUCCAAAGUGGUUAAGAGCAUAGGAUAAAGGUACUUAGAAAAUUACAAAAUAUAUCUUCAUGUAUAGCAUAUUUAUACACAGUUGCAUAUAAACUAUGUAUCACCAAUAUUGGUACUAUUAGGAUUAUAUUAUGUUGAGCCAUUCAUAAGCAGAUUUUGUGCAUGACAAGUACACACACCUUCAGUUGUACAUAUAUUUAAAGUAUAAAUUGGGAUGUAGAUAUCAAUGGUCUCCCACCCCAAAAUGGGGUGCUUGUGACAUCUCAGAAUUAUUAUCGUAUUCUGGCAUUUAUUUACAUCUUUUGGAGUGUCUACCUUUUUUCACACAGUAUUCCACAGAUGUGAUAUUUGUAGACUAUACUGCUAGGUACAGUGCAAGUUUUAUUUGUAAAUGUACUUAGUUUUGAUAAUACAAAAUAGAAAUAGUGCUGUGUUCCCUAUAAAGGGGCACAUAUUUGCUAUGGCAGGUGUUUGUUAAAUAAAAAUAAAAGAUGAUUUAUUUAUUUUUUUUGCUUUAAAGUCACACUACAAAUUUAUAAAGCUCUACCAAAAGUUCUAGAAAACUAAGUAAAAGAUUGUCAGUGCUCUCAGAGAAAGAGGUGGAGGGCAAAUUACACAAUCACACUGAACUUUUGUCACAUAUGAAUCGUAACUCUAUUUAUGAAGAAUUUCUGUCAUUAGGAAACAUAAUCUAUAGAAAGUAAUAUAAUCAAACUGGAAACAUGAAAUGUUGCUUUCUUAUGCUGAACCGAUGCUUGUGCUGAAUGAGAAGGUAAAAAUGGGAUUAGAAGUUGUUGGAAAGGUGGUGGACUCUGAAGUUUGUAUCUUCAGGCCUCACUUAACUCAGUGAAAGACUGCAUUUCCCAUCCUGCAGCAAAACACCUACCACUCAAAGGCCUCACUCAACUCAGUGAAAGACUGCAUUUCCCAUCCUGCAGUGAAACACCUUCCACUCUCAGGUACUGACUGAAGCUGGAAGAUACUCCACCUCCUGUAUCCCUGGAUUGCUAACAUUCCCAUGUAUUACUAUAGAUUUGUAGCCAUUUUACAUGUAGUUUGUAAUAUUGUGUGCAUGCAGUAUGUACUAUAGUCAUUUAAUGUUUCUGACCAAUAUUUCAUGUAGACAGUUAUUAAUAUUUUGGUGAUAGAAUGUGGUUGCUAAACUUUUCAAUAGUAUAUAACACAUGGAUACUCCACCCCUCCUCCCCCCCCUCCUCCUCUCUCACUCUCCUUUUCUCCUCCCCAGUUGUAAAUACCUCCAUAUAACUGCUCAAUCCAAUUCUCUGUUCUUCAGGCCUCACUCACUCAGUGAAAGACUGCAUUUUAUCAACCCCACUUCCCACCCACCCAGGCUCCCCCUAAAUAUAUAGCAUGCUCCUCCAGCUGUUUGAGAUUCUCACUCAAUUACCUCUUCAUACCCCUAACAUCUUACCAAUAGCUGCUUCUCUCGGUUAACUCUUUCCGCCAUCACCUCCAAACUUCCCCUGCUACCUCUUGUCUCAAAUCCCCAUGGUAUCCUUUAGAUUGUAAGCUCACUGGCCAUCUUGCCAAGCACUUUGUAUAAAAGGGCUCCAAUGGCUAGAUAUCAGCUUACGGGCAGGGCUCUCUCUACCUCUUGUAUUUGUCUGUGUAUAUUGUACAUUUCUCCACCAAUUGUACAGCGCUGUGGAAUCUGUUGGCGCUUUAUAAAUAGCAGUAAUAAAUAAAUAAUAAGUUUGGCUUCAUAUUUAACUAAUACAAUACGCGUAAAAUUGUACAUAUUAUGUGUAUGGUAAAUUGUAGCCUUAUAUGUUGAAUUGUACAGGAAAUUAGCAGGACUCAGUAAUUUACUUAUCCAUGAGUUUCUUUCAAAUCGGGAAGAAAACAAUCUUCGUGAUAACUUUAACUUAUUUUUCUCAAAUCACACCAUGAUUCAAACGAAAUAAAAAAAAGUGAAUGUGGGUUGUCAAGAUCAUAAUGAUAAUCUACAGUUUUUUUAACCAUUUAGAAAUCAUUGACAGCGUAUAACGCCAAGCAAUCUAUUAUUUAAGGAUACAAAUCAAAAAUGGCAAGUUCUGUUCAGUUAAAAACUAAAUGCACGGAGCUGUUAAAGUGAAAUCAGAGCACAUUUUAAGCUGGGAUAUAGUGUUUAGUAAUUAAUGUGAUUUCCGCUGUGUACAUUUCGGUCCAGAAGGAGUUAAACAUGUGAAUAAAAAUUGUAUAUAUUUAAUAUAAAUCUUUGUGCAGGUUAUGAGAAAAUUAGAAAUCUUUAUAUAAGCUAAUUAAUUAUAUAUUGGUAUUGGUAAUUAUAUAUGUUGGUAUUUAUUUAAAUAUAUUGAUAUCACAUUGGAGCUUGUAUACGUAAAAAAACAAACAAAGAGAGAAUAACUUUAUUUCUUAGGAACCUCAAUACAUUGUAUCCAGUGUUGACAUAUUUUGGACAUACACGGUUAUUUACAAAAGUGAUAUUUCAAAGGGAAUGUCUUUCCUAAUGCUGUCUACUCCAUUCAUGCCAUUGAGGAUGAACUCCAAUAAUGAUGCAAUUUAUAGUGAUGGUCUUCAGAGCACUGUAAGAGUGGCAUUGAUUACAGUAUUACAGGAGGGGUGUGUACCGCAGACCCCUAUAAAUGAUAUUGAAGCUGUAACACAUGUAAAAAGCAGGUUAAUAGCAAUAGUUUUUGAAUCUACUACUCAAAUAUUCCUGGCCAGUAAUAUAAACUAAAUAGGUGAGUUCUUAGCAAUCUAGCAAGCAGAAUGAAUUUAUGGGUAAAUUAUUUAGCAAAUUAUUUUCCUACUAUUUAUUAUGAAUUUACUUAUGGCUUCAGUAUCAUUCAUAGGAAUUAUUAAUUUACAAUAGAAUCAAUCAUUUACUCCAACGAUUAAAUCAUGUACAAUGGAAUUAUGUUGUUUUUAUACAAGUUAUUUUAAGAAGUUCAGAAAUAAUAAAAUGGAAAGUUUUUACCUUAAAAGAUGUAUUCCUGAAAAAUAUAUUCCUACUAAAACGUAGAUAGUAAUAGAUAUGGAUUGUUGGCACACGUCGUUUGUGAAGUGUAGCAGGUGUACUGUAUUUUACACUCCUUGGAUACCAAAUUAAAUAGCAUGAAGCACACAGAAGGGGGUUUUACAGCAAACUGCAUGUCAAGGUAAUAAAACAGCUCUAUUUAUAGAGACAUUUUAAACACGUUGCAAAAAUACAAACAAAACAAUGUUCCAAUUGUACCCGCUAUUAAUAUUAGUUUUUGUAAAUGGAAAGUUGUUAUCAUGCACCCUGACUGAACAGUUUUUAUGCCAAUUACAUAUGUAGUUAGAAUUGCCAAACAAAGGCUUGUACGGAUAUAAUAUUUGUACAGUGUGUUUGUAUUGAAAAACACUUUACUUCUGAUUUGAAAUGUAAAAAGUAAGUUAAGCUAAACAAAUAUAGACCUACAGGUAUAAUGGACUAUGCUGGCUAAACCAUUUAAUUUAAUAAAAUUCACAAUGCUAAAAACAGGUUUUACCUUAUAAUAAUAGAAGGCAUACAACACUUGACAAUGUAUAAAAAAAAAAAAAAUAUAUAUAAUUCCGAAACAUAUAUCGCCUUAUUAAUUAUAAUAGUCCAAAAUAGGUCCUUAUGAAGAUACAGUUCCUUAUAGGAUGGAGAGUUCUGGUAACAGUCUGAUAUCCUCAAUGGGUCAGCGAAUGGGAUAUGUAACAAAAAAAUACACAAAAAAGGCAUAUCAUAGUAUUAUUAUAAAAAGUGGUAUACUAAUAUAAAACAGUGGAAAUACACUCACAAAAAAUGAGCUAUCAACUAGCUCAUGAGCAACAGAAUGUAUUGGUAUAAUCCUUAUCAAGGAUGUAGCAGAUGGGUAAACAAGUAGGACAUGCAACGUGUGUGGGUGUAGUCUCGACCACAGUCUGAUGGGGUAUAUAUGAAGUAUGAACAUAAGUAUAUAAAAGAAAUACUAAUAGUAUAGCAUUUUUGGUCUCAGGUGGUAUAAAUGAUAAAAGUCAAAAACACACGCAGAGCUUCACACUUAGUUUUAAAAAAAUUGCUUUGAGAGUUACAAUCCCUGCUCUGGGAUAUAAAUAUAUAGCUUUCUUCCAAAAUCGUCAGUAGGGCAUAUGGUGCAAACAUAAAAAGAGAAAAUAUAAUUUAGUGCUUUCAUCUGGGAUAUUAUUCUUCUUCCUAAACAUGUCUAUGUUUCACUCCGCCUGUUACCAGCUUUCUGAGUCCUUUGAGAUUUAUGUAUCUAUUUAGUGAAAUCCUUUUAUUACUUACAUCUAGCAAUAUAAACACCGCAGCGUAGUUAUAAUGUUUUUGGCAUUUAAGCAUCACUAGUGUUAUUUUAAUAUUUAUAUUACACACCACCGCCCAUUUAAGCGUUUCUUUUUGCAUUCAUAUUUUACUUCCUUAUAUUUUGUAAAAUUUCCAUGAAUUGAAUGCCAGGCAGAUGUCAUCUUUAAGAGUUUUUUUUUUAAAUAAAGUGACCAAGAUGUAAACCAAAAUUCCUAGAAUUAUUUAUUAUAAAAUGUCAAAGCUGAAGAGCUAUGGAUAGUGCAUCAUAUAAAAUAUAUUACAGCCUGGAAGACUGAACCUUCUGUUUGUUUGACAGAGCCCAGAAAACACCUUCAGCUUUCUGUCAGUGACCUUUUCAAAGCUGUAUAUCAUUUCCUAGGACCCUUGGCUUGUUUUUUUUAUCUCCCACAGGGUUACAAAUGACAGUUCAGCAAUACCUUCUGCAGCUGUGUGUCACUUGUAAUGCACCAUUUUGCACCUCCAUUCAGAACUUGCUGUGCUGUUCCAUAGCAACAUUACGUUACAUGCUGUGCAGGGGUCUGGUGUAGUUGCAUCCACUGGGAUCUAUUAGUAUGUUGUGCCAUGUCUGCGGAUAAACUUAUAUUGUAUGUCAGACAUAUAUAGAUGAGAUUUACAGAAAUAAUAUCACUGUUUUAUUCAGAAAUACACCCAAAUAUGCUCUUUGUAACCUUUAAUAAUUCAACAACUGUAGAAUUUUUUUGAUGUAUCAACUAUUGAUGAACUACUGAAUUUUGAUUUGCAUUUUAUUUCUUAAAUCCUGAAGCAUUAACAUAAAUAAUUAAUACGUAUUUUAAUCAUCUUAACCUUCUAAUGAGCCUAUAAUUAAUCUGAGCAAUGUGUCUGUGGACUAAACAGUGACUCGUCGUGGGUUGAAGAUUGAUUUGGGCCAAAAUAGUCAACAUAUUCAGGUUUAACCCGUCUGUCCUAAAUUCUGCAUAUCAGUCGUUGUCUCACCAUUUAUGAAUAGACACCAGUAUUUUACUUGUGAUCGUGGAUUUUUGGAAUUAUGCAAGAUUAAGGGAAACGUGCUGUAAUGGAUCACUGAAGUAAUCAGUGGAGCUAAACUCAGAGGCAGGCAGUCACCCAGAGCACCUGCCUUGCAAAGACUUCUUAUUGAGCUACAUUGGGAAGUCUGUAAUUGGACAGCCACAGCAAGUCUGGGCGGGGUUAGAAGGGGAGGGCUUGCAAAGGCUUCAGAUAAGAGAUCUGCACCUUUUGCAAACUGUUUGUAGAUAUACCACCAAUGACAAAAUAAAUGCAUAAACUACAUUCAUGUUUUCAUUGUUGUUCUAUCUGCUAAACACUAGGGGAGGUUUUGGGGGGUGGGAGGGGGGAAGUGGAAUAUCCCUUUAACCCCUUAAGGACACAUGACGUGUGUGACAUGUCAUGAUUCCCUUUUAUUCCAGAAGUUUGGUCCUUAAGGGGUUAACCAUAAACAUUUCCUUCUUAAAGAUUACUGCCAUCACACCACCUAUGGUUACAGAGAAUACAUCUAAUAAUCUCUCUCAAAAUAGGUAAUUUUGCAUUGACUUUAUGUAAAAAGCAAAUUAAAACCUUGCCACCUGAGAUUCAUUACAUUGCUCUUUAGAUCUACUUAGUGCAGUGAGAAUCAGUAUAAAACACAAUUAACAACUGACUAAAUCCCAAUCAGUCAUCUCAUAUUCAAUCAGAGCUUAAAUUGUAUUCUAAAUUUUAAUGAUUUCCACUGCAGUUAUAUUGUAACUUUGAGAUUGUCAAAUAACAUCUGUGAUUAUUUCACAUUCAUUUCAAUAGAUUACCAUUAUUAUUUGAGAGUAAUACUAAAUUCUGUCAAAGUAUCAUCUUAUUAUAAAUCAUUCACUGUGUGUGUUAUACUCAUAUAUUCAUUUCAUAGCACUGAAAUCCAUGUUCAUUGUUUCACUAUGGCUGAACUGUAAUGCUUGUAUGUGAUUAUAUAAGGUGUUUUCCUGCCAAAAAAAAACCAAAACACUUUAUCAUUGAUUUAAAUGGAGUAUUGCUGUAGGCAUAAACUACUGUAUCUCAUUUUAAAUCAUUUGUUCAUUUCAAGCUGUGUAACUGUAUUUCAGUAGCAAGUUUAGAGGAUUAGAAACCACAGUCAAAUACUUGUAAGAAUGGCUGAAAAGACAACAUUUCUAAAUAGAAAAAUAAAUAGUGUCCAAAUAUUAUUUAAAGAGAAACAUUCACUUCCUUGGAUUUUUUUAUAUUAUAUUUAACUAUCCAUGCAUCAUCCAUAUACAUACAGAUAUGUAUUUGUGAGGUGUAAAAAAUACAAUUAAAUGUUGACAGCCCACCACUUUAUUCUACAACUAACCACCUCCAUCUUAGCUCUCUGUCAACCAUUGUUUUAAGCUCUAUCAUUUGCACUUGGCAUUCAGCAUAGAGAUAGCAUACAGAGUAGAAGUGAAAUAAAACUAUUAUUUUCUAAAUCUUUAAAUGGACACUGCAGGCACAGACUACUUCAGCUCACUGACGUGGUUUGGAUGAAGUGCCCCUGUCCCAUUAACCCUACAAUCUAAUGUCUAAAUUGAAGGGUUUUAGACAACCAUAUUGGCAGUCUUUCAGACAGCCACUAGAGGUGCUUCUUGGAAACCUUUGAAUUGACUUUGGACAUCCUCACACAUUCCAUGAGGUUGUUCAAUGUCUUUAAAAUCCUAAUAGGAAAAUACUGAUUCAAUGCUUUCCUAUGGGGAAGCCCUAAUAUGUACACGGAACAUACCACGCAUGCACAUUAGGUUCCACCAGCGAGGGGAUGCCGCUAGAGGAGUUGGUUACCACAGCUGAAUUUGUAACUGACUUUCCUUUAGUGAAUACCUUUUUAUCCUAGACAUCUUUUUCACUCAACAUUUUCCAUAGGGUCACAUAUUUGGAGCAACUUAACUUUUAGUUGAUAGUCCUCUGAAAUUCAUAAUUAUUUUAUAGUCUUUUAAGACAUGGUAUGGUAGGAUUGGUGCAAAGCCUUUUUUAUUCAAGAAAUACACUUAUAAACACUGUAAAAGAAAGUACUUAAAUUUAAAAGAAACUCUGAGAACCAAAACAAGUUUAGCUUAGUGAAGUAGUUUUGGUGCAUCAAUCAAGCCUCUAUAGUCUCACUGUUCAGUUCCCUGCCAUUUAAACACACAUAGAAUGUGACGGCAGAUAAGAACCAUUCGGCCCAUCUAGUCUGCCCAAUCCUCCAAACACUUUCACUAGUUCCUUGCCCUAUAGCCUUAUGCCUAGCCCACGCAUGCUUAAACUCCUUUACUGUGUUAACCUCUACCACUUCAGCUGGAAGGCUAUUCCAUGCAUCCACUACCCUCUCAGUAAAGUAAUACUUCCUGAUAUUAUUUUUAAACCUUUGUCCCUCUAAUUUAAGACUAUGUCCUCUUGUUGUGGUAGUUUUUCUUCUUUUAAAUAUAGUCUCCUCCUUUACUGUGUUGAUUCCCUUUAUAUAUUUAAAUGUUUCUAUCAUAUCCCCCCUGUCUCGUCUUUCCUCCAAGCUAUACAUGUUAAGAUCCUUUAACCUUUCCUGGUAAGUUUUAUCCCGCAAUCCAUGAACCAGUUUAGUAGCCCUUCUCUGAACCCUCUCUAAGGUAUCAAUAUCCUUCUGAAGAUACGGUCUCCAGUACUGUGUACAAUACUCCAAGUGAGGUCUCACCAGUGUUCUGUACAAUGGCAUGAGCACUUCCCUCUUUCUACUGCUAAUACCUCUCCCUAUACAACCAAGCAUUCUGCUAGCAUUUCCUGCUGCUCUAUUACAUUGUCUGCCUACCUUUAAGUCAUCAGAAAUAAUCACCCCUAAAUCCCUUUCCUCAUAUGUUGAGGUUAGGACUCUAUCAAAUAUUCUGUACUCUGCCCUUGGGUUUUUACGUCCAAGAUGCAUUACCUUGCACUUAUCCACAUUAAAUGUCAGUUGCCACAAUUCUGACCAUUUUUCUAGUUUACCUAAAUCAUUUGCCAUUUGGCUUAUCCCUCCUGGAACAUCAACCCUGUUACAUAUCUUAGUAUCAUCAGCAAAAAGACAUACCUUACCAUCAAGACCUUCUGCAAUAUCACUAAUAAAAAUAUUAAAAAGAAUGGGUCCAAGUACAGAUCCCUGAGGUACACCACUGGUGUUAAAUCAGUUUGUUUAUGCAGCCCAUGCCACACAUCCCCUGGCUGUGACUCAUACUGCCUCCCUACACACUUUCUGAAAAAGAUCUGACAUUUUUAAACAUUCUUUGUUGCAUAGAUUUUUUAACUGAUAAUUUCUUAAUAUCCUGCUCUGAUAGAGCCUUAUUUCCUGGUCUGGUCUGAUAGAGCCUAUUCAGCCUCCUUUGUGUGAUUAUAUUUUAAUUAACAGAGUGUCAGGAUGAGAUAGGAUCCUCAGAAAGCUAUAAGACCAGCUAUACUAUCAAAAAGCACGGAGCAGAUGGAUACAUAGGCGUAUUAGCGGACCUCGGAGUGGUUGGGGUUAAUGCGUAAAUGCGGUUAGAAGUUGGAAGUAUCAAAACUAACCUAACAGACCUGCAGAAGAACAUAAAAAUAAUAAAUCAAAAGACAAAUUCAAGGUCAGGUAAAUAGUUGGGUCUGGAAUACUGGAGACAGGAAUAUAACUAGAGUCAGUAAUUUAGCUGGGUCUGGAACACAUAAACUGGAGAGGAAUAACUUGUGGUUAAUAUUGUAACCAGGUCAGGAGCUCUGGAAGCCAGACAGGAACAACUCAAAUUCAUUAUUCAUAGUCGGGUCAGGAACAGAAGUCAGAAGCAAUAGCAAAUGCACUUACAGGAUAUCAGAAACCACAUAGGGGCACUGGACCAGGUAUUACACCAUUUUAUACAUAGCCUCACCAUUGCAUCAAUUUUGUGUCGUUGGUGCAUGCACAGUGCUUCAGUCAUGACACAGAUAGCUAAACUAUAUAAACAAGCAUGAAGACUGGGGCCAGCAUCAAUUAUAGGUGUCUGAAGAAUGACACAAACUUGACCUAGUGGAAAUUACGCUGUUUCCAAACUAACACCACCGUGGUUUCUGAAUUGACACAGCUGUCUCAAUAUUGGAGCAAAGAGUUUAGGAUCAUGACUGAACUGACAAGGAUGCACCAAAACUGUAAUGAGGGCCCAUAUGAGGGCAUCUGAAUUGACACAGAAGUGUAAAGAAUUGUAAUAUUCCCAAAAAAUAGCAGGAAAUAUGAACAUCUAAAGUUAACAUACUGUGCUGUAAAACUUAUACCCUUUUUAAUGGAGGCUGUGUGAAUCACAGCCAGGGGAGGUGUGGCUAAGGCUGCAUAAACAAAGUGAUUUAACCGAAAAAAAUGCAAAGAAGCAGUGAGACUGCAGGUGCCUGAGCUAUACACCAAACUUGCUUUAUUAAGCUAAAGUUAUUUUGGUGCUCAGAGUAUCCCCUAAACAGUGCAAAUAUAUCUUCAUUUUUGUGCUAAAAAAUUUACUUUAUUUUUCUUUUGUUUCAACAAAAGCAUUCAGACUUUUAUCAUAAAUGAGUAAUAUUUUAGUUUUCAAGGUAAUCAAUGCUAAAGUAUUGCUAUAUACAAAAGAAAGCCAUCUCCCUAUUUAUAUAUUUGUUAAAUUUGGUAAAAUAUGCAUUUUUGUCCAACCUAACUAUAUAAAUAACAAUUCAAGCAUACAUUUUUCAUUUUUCUUCCAAUGUAUGCACUGUGGAAAAAAUAAAACCAUCUCUGUGAUUUCCUUUUCUUUUCGAUAUAUCAACAAAAUAGUUUCUAAAUUUUACCUUAAAUUGCUAAACAACGGUUCACUGAACACUAUCUCCUUAUGGCAAUCAUGCCUCUGCAGGUUCUAUUAAGCUGUCGAGAAAGUAAGUUUUGAUAUAGUCUAGAUUUUUGUUAUUUAAGUAUGCACUGAAUAGUAAGUUGUGAUGAUACAAUCUAAAAGGGAAAAAAAAAUAAUAAAUGUACUUCGCUAUUCAUUCUUUAAACAGACCAAGUAUUUGGGAGUUUUAAAAUAUCUAUUUUUUUAUCAGGCUCUAACUAGUCAUUGUGUUUUUCUUUAUUCCCCUUUAAAAGGUAUAUUUAAAAUUAAGUUAAAGCUACUUUGUCUUCUGUCUAUAUUACUUCUGAUGGCAUUAAAUGGCUUAACUAGUCUUUAUGGCUUUUAAACCUUCCCAUUUGCAUCAGCCAUCAGGUAUUUCUGGUUCCAGUGCCCUGGAUAUUCUUGUUCAAGAUGAAUUACAUACUAAGCAACUUCAAGGAAUAUGUUCAUGAAGUCUCUGGUGAUCAUAUGUGCAGGAACAAUCCAGAAGAUAUCAGCCUCUUUUUGUGAUCUACCACCAGUUGUCACAUGCCACAGGAUGACGAAAAUAAGACUUCUAAAUGCAUAACUGUAUUUUAUGGAAGCAUAUGAAACAAGCUUAGGGGUCCUCUUAAACCCAGUCAAUGUUCUUCUAUAUCAAGCAGCAGCUCACUUCGUUAAUCAAUCAAUUCUGGUGAAUUGGCAGCAAUUUUUAGCUCAAAAUAGGCAAACAUAAACAUGUACAAUAUCCAAGUCUUGCAUUUUGGAAGGUAAAAUUAUGCAGUGAGAUUGGGAUUUUACCAAAAUGUUAUGAUUGCGGAAUAAAUCCAUUAUUACUCAAUUAAUAAUUUAAAAAAAAGGUCAGAAAAACCUUUUAAAAUGCUUUUGUUUUGUUCUAUAUUCAUUAUCUUAGAUGUAUACUGUUCUUGUCCAUAUUUUUUGCACACUGUUUUCUCCAUACCUUUUGUCUGUCUGUCUAGACAUUGUAUAAUACGAAAGAUGCUUCUGUAUAUUUUAAUUUUAAUACAUUUUUGUUUGGUACCGAAAGAGUUACAAAACCUUUGAAAUUGGGCUUUGUAUCUAAGACAUCCAAAAGUCAGCAGUACUCCUUCCUUUGUGUGUUCUGUCGGAGGCAAGGGAGAUGAACAGCAUUUUCUAGGCUAAGAGGUUGUUCAAUAAGGUCAAAUGAAUCCCCAGAGCCCUGCUCACGCUGGCAUUAUAUUCUGCAAAUGCUGACACAAAUGAAGCAAAACAGUCAUUUAUAUUCUUAUUUAUAUUAUUAUGGUAAUGUGGCUAUUGAUAGUAAUAUCAGUAUGGUAAUUCAGAUAAAAUAUACAUUUAAACUGAUAAUCAAGUUAGAUUAAUAUGCAAGCUUGAGCCACAAAUGUACCAUUAAAAUGCAUUCAAUGUUUUUAUACCUGUGAAAGCUUUCCUAGUCAGGAGGGCUCGAAGGUAAACUAAUAAUUCUUUUUAAAAAAAGUACUAAUGUGUAUACUCUCACAAGUGUGUAUUUUUUCUGAACAUAUUUUGAUGGAUGUCUUGAGAGACUGGUAACACAAUGGACAAAGAGAGUUCUAUAAAGAUAGAUAGAUAGAUAGAUAGAUAGACAGACAGACAUAAUUGUUUUUUAUUUUUAUUCAGUUUUAAAAUCAUGACACUAAAAUAUUUAAUUUUUGUGGGUCUUGAAUUUACUACAUUUUAACCAGGACAUACUAUUUUCUAUUUGUAAGGUUCCUUAAAUUACCUCUCACCCACUACAUUGUUGAGUAUCUUCAACUCUGCAUUAUUCAUUUUAUAAUUCUAAAUCUAAUCUUCCGCAAUGAGAAGGCAGUUUUUGUUUUGCUGUGGUUCUGAGGUUUUUCUAAUUUUAUUAAAGGUUUUUUUUUUCAUUCCAAGGGUUUUUAUUGAGCAUGCAUGAAUAUUUUACAAACAUGUUAAAAAGGUUUUUUCGGUUAUUACAGAAUUUUCAUAGCAUAUAUAAAACAUGAAUAUUUUACAAACAUGUUUAAGUGUCUCUUCGGUUAUUACAGAAUUUUCGUAACAUACAUAAAACAUAUUAGUCCAGUGUUAAUCGUUAGAUUAGAGGAACAUGUCGUUAUAGAAUCGCUAUGUUCUUUUGUAGUAGUGUGUCAUUGGAGAGGGCUCCACAUUCCCAAGAGUCUUGUGCAUAGCACCUCUGAAAGCUUGAUUACUAUGGAGUUUUAUGAGGAGCGCACCAUUUGUUUAAAGGUCUCAGGUGAUCAUCAGUGUCUCAGCUCUUUAAAUGCUCAGUGGGGUAGUAAGGCUUUUGGGUUGUGCCUACUUUUAGUGUGCUCAUACCUCUUUUCUCGUCUGGGGGUUAGUGUCCCAUUCUCUGGCUUGGUCUCUCUUGUUGUUGUCUCUCCGAAUGUCUAGUGUGCUAGUGUCUAGUGCGUCCUAAAUUCCCUUUUUCAUGUUUCUUCUGGUGUCAUGUAUGUUGUCUUGCCAGAAAGUGUUGUGUUGCCUAUCUAGCUAUAUGCUCCAGUCAAUCAUCUCCAGUUGUGGGUUUGCUUAGGCCCCUUUGUCCCCUCUGUCGUUAUUCUUUCAUUUCCCUGCUUGGGGUUGCUCCCUGUUCCAGGGAUGCGUGUGCUGUUAGUGGGUUGGCAGGGCGAAUGAUGUGGCUAUGUGGAGAUGUCUUGGGUAUUAUUGUCGUAUUUCUCUUUGUGUUAGGGAGAGCUGUCCCUUGUUUGGGUUUGUGGUGGGAUAGUGGGGCACUGUGGUGGGCAUCAGGGUUGUUCGGGGUCGAGCUGUGUUUCUUCCCGUACGUGUGUGGUGUGUGAGUCUCUGAACUUUGGCUGCGAGCAUGUGUGGGAGCGGUGUGUGUCAGCUCGUUGUUGCGAGGGUUUCCUGUGGUGGGGACAAAGCUGGAGUUGGUCACGCUAGGUUAUGUGGACGUUAUUGGGUACAGACGAUGAGUUCAGGGACCAAGGCCGUAGAGAGGGGAGUGGAGGCACCCGAGGGUACCUGUCCCCACAUCCCGCCCACGACCUCGUCCCCUGGCCCGCCCCCCGCAGGCCCACGGAGACUUCCCCCUGUUUCCCCUGUUAUUGGUCGAUGAGAUCUUUGUGUCCAGCUCCAUUCGUGUCCCUGAGUUUCUCCCUGGGUUCUCAGGGUUGCUUAUCCUUUGUUCCCCCUCUUCUUGACCUAUGCUUUCUAUUCUUCAAGAAUGGGUACUUUAUGGUUGUCUGUUCGUUAGCCAUUGGAGCCAAUGGAACCAUAUCUUCUGGUAUCUCUGGGUUUGUCCUCUGGCUAUUAGGAUUAGCUCUUCUUUUUCCAAUUUGUACUUUUAUUGAGUUUUUCAUAACAGGUGGGGUACAGAAAGGAAGAGGGGUAGGUGGGUAAAGGGUAAAAGAGAAGCGAUACCACAAUACAGUUCAAUUUACAGUUUCAGCAUGUUUCAGAACUGGCAAAUCCUGAGUCUGUAUGCAAAGCAUUCUAGUAAUAUAUAUACCGUACCCAACAAUGUACAGUUACAGGUGCGUGUGCUUAUCUAUGGAUGACUCCUGGUCAAGGUGCGCCUCUGCAGAAUUGCCCGGUGUGUUUUCCACCGUCUAGGGUUGGGCCUUUUUGACCCUACAAUCUAGGGUGAGCACUGGUGGUCGUUCUUUGGUCAUUGUUGUUGCUGAUUAUACAUAAGUUGCUGCUGAACAUGCAUAUGCCUACGUGACUUGCCCCCUAUUAUCCUGAGGUUAGCUAUACUGUUCCUCCCUUCUGCUUGGUUGUCCAGUGUUUGUGUGGGGUGUAAGUCUAUAAUUAUAAUACUGACUAUGGUAAGUUCAAAGCUAUAAUACCGCCUAUGGUACUGCUAGUGGAUCAAAAGUUAUCCAUUUAUGCCAGUUAUUGUUUGUGGCAGUCUUAUGUUUGGGUGUGGCUGUGGACAAUAGUUCAUACCUAAGGUACUGUCGUAUUUUACUAUAUAAUAGCUGUGACGAUGGGCAUUCCUUCUGCUUCCAGUGGUAUGCUAGGAGAUUACGUGCUGCCAUGAUUACCAUAAUUAUUAGUUGUCUAUCUUGAUAAGGGGUGGUUAUGGGUAUCAGAAGAAAUAGACCUAUCUCAGGUGUGAUCUUACCCCGGAGAACUCCUAAGGAAUUACAGAUUGUCUGGACCUCCGUCCAUAAUGGUUGUAUGUUCGGGCAGUGCCACCAUAUGUGGCUCAUUGUGCCCCUGUCCUGUUCGCACCUCCAACAUUGUGCUGAUGAUAGUGGGUAUAUUUUGUUAAGUUUGUCGGGUGUGAGGUACCAUCUAUAGAUCAAUUUUUUUGUGUGCUUCUACAUGUGAGUAGCAGGAUGUGAUACCUUUAAGCGCUAGGAUUGAUCGUAGCCACUGAUCUUUAGGAAAGCGAAUAGUUUGUUCCCUAUUCCACUGUGCCAUAAAGGAAAAGUCUGGCAUCGUGUUAGUGUGUCUUAGGGCUGCAUAGCUGAGGGACAGGGAGCGGGCUCUGAUUGGGGCCGUACGGCAUCUGUCAUACAGUGCCAAUCUUUCUGUGUUGGGGUUGUCUGUAGUUUGUGUUGUGAGCAGUACUCGUUCUUGGAUAAUGCUUUUUAGUUGGACAUAUGGGAAGAUGAAGGAUGGUGGGAGGUUGUAUGUGGUCUGUAAAUCUGGGAAGGGGAUGAUGUCCCUUUGUGAACAUAGGUUAGUAAUAUGGGUAAUUCCCAGUGCUGACCAUUUUUUGAACGAUAACCACGGAGAUAUAGACUGUAGUGCCUCUAUGGGUGCCCAUUUUAGGAAUUUGUUGUCAGUCGCUUGCAAGCGGUGUAAUUGGUCCCAGACUUGUAUGGUGGUCCUAGUAAGGGGCAAUAAUGCUUGUGAUUUGUCUCGUAGUUGUUUGGGUGUCCACAUAUAGUGUAUUGCUGAGCUUCCUGUACCGUAUUCAUUUUCCAUGUCGACCCACUGAAGUGUAUUUUUUGGGGCGGGUAAUUUGAUAGCUGCUUCUAGUACUGCUGCUUUGUGGUACAUUAGGACAUUAGGGAAGCCCAAUCCUCCCAACUUAACCGGGGUUUGCAGCAAGGAUAGGGGAAUGCGGGGUUUUUUGUUUUCCCACACAAAAACCGAUAACAAUUUUUGGAUUUGGGCGCUUAGCGAGAGAGAGAGAGGUAGUGGUAACAUUCUGAAGACGUAUAAUAUUUUCGGUAGUAUCAUCAUUUUAACAGUAUUUAUCCUGCCUAACCAUGUGAUUUGCACAUCUUUCCAUUUAUGUAAAAGUUGUUUACACAUUUGAGGGAGUGUGGAUAUGUUAUGCAUGGCUGUUCUCCUAGGAGAAGUAGCAAUUUUGACCCCUAGGUAUGUGAUGUGAGAGUGUCUCCAGUCGAAGGGGAACUGGGCUUGCAAUGUAGUUACAGUCGUGGUUGGCAGUCGGAUUGGGAGUGCUUGGGUCUUAGCUUGGUUCAGUUUGUAAUACGAGAUUUGUCCAAAGUCGUGUAACGUGCGCAUGAGGUGCGGCAGGGAUUGUGUGGGCUGAGUCAGGGAUACUAGGACAUCAUCCACAAACAUGGCCAGUUUGUAUUCCCUUUGCUGUAUCUGUAUGCCCCUGACGUCCGUGUGCUUGCGAAUUGUGCAUGCUAGCGGUUCCAAAGAUAACACAAACAACAGGGGGGAUAGCGGGCACCCCUGGCGUGUGCCGUUUGUGAUCUUGAAGGGGCUCGAUAGGAAACCGCCACUGGAGACUUUGGCUGCUGGGCUGGAAUACAGGGCCAAGACGCCUUUAAUAAAUGGUGCGGGGAAGCCAAAUUUUAGGAGAACUUGCUCCAUGUAUCUCCAAUUCAGUCUGUCGAAGGCCUUCUCGGCGUCCAACGCCAGCAGAAGACCCUCCAUGUUAUUAUUUUCCAUAUGUGCCAAAAUGUUGAGGAUUUUCCUCGUGUUGUCCGACCCCUGUCUAUUUUUAACAAAACCCGAUUGAUCAUUAUGCGUUAUUCGGGUGAGAAUGUCUUUCAGGCGUUCGGCUAGGGCUUUAGCGUAGAUUUUCGUAUCGCUAUUGAGGAGGGAGAUUGGGCGGAAAUUUUGGCAUUGGUUCGCUGGUUUUCCAGGCUUGGGCAGUGUGGAGAUAUGUGCUAGUAGCAUGUCCUGGGGCAUAGACCCUGUGUCAAAACAAUGAUUGCAGAGGUUUGUUAAGUGAGGUAACAGCAGGUCGGAAAAGGUCUGAUAAUAUACAUUUGUAAAGCCAUCCGGACCUGGGGAUUUGUGAGCUGGUAGUUUUGUUAUGAUGCUCAAUAUUUCUGCGUUAGUGAAGGGGCGAGUAAGGGCUUCUAUUUCUGCAUCUGUAAGUGUAGGUAAGUCAAUAUUUGCUAGGAAGCGCUGAAUUUGAUCUUCUGAGGGGACGUGAGUAGACUCUUGGUUCUCUAAGUUGUAAAGGGAGCUAUAAUAGGUUGCGAAUUCUUCCACAAUAUCUUGUGGGUUCAACAAUUUGCGCUUAUCUGAGGAUAAAAGAAAUUCCACUCGUGAGUGGGUAGUACGCGCUUUUAGCUUGGAGGCGAGGAUUUUCCCUGAUUUGUUGCCUUGCGCAAAAAAUUUGUGUCUGUAUCUGUGUAAGAUAUGAUUGGUUUUGUUUAGUUCCACCUCAUUGAGCUGGGUUUGUAGUGUUCGAAGCUUGUCAUACUGUGGUUGUGUGGGGUUUUGUUUAUUGGCGUGCGUGAUGGCCAUAAUUUGUUGGAGAAGGGUAUCGUACGUGGCCUUUCUUAGCUUUUUGGCAUAGCAGCCAUGUUUGAUCAGCGAGCCCCUGACGACCGCCUUAUGGGCUUGCCAUAUCGUGUCAGCGGUUACAUCUCCUGAGCAGUUUAUGUCAAAGUACAUUUUAAUGUCGUCCCUAAUAUGUUGGGUAAUCUGUGGAUCUUUUAAUAAGGAUUCAUUGAGUCUCCAGGACCCUUGGCCUUUAUGUGGAAAUUUCUCUGUUAUCGUCAGGGUUAUGGGUGCAUGGUCUGACCACGUGAUCUGUCCAAUGCUCGUUCCUUGUACUGUCGGAAUUAGGGAUUGAGGGAUCAAGAAUCUAUCGAUCCUAGAGUAGGAGUUGUGCGCCUGGGAGUGGAAGGUGAAGUCUUUUUCAGAAGGAUGUAGCACUCUCCAGAUGUCUAAUAGGCCUGCUUUGUGUAUGUGAUGUCUAACCUGGUGUGUGAUGGCGGAUCUCUUCUUAGCGGUGGCGUGUGACACCGUGGUGUUUGAUGUAGUGUCUAGAUUGCUAUCUAGCAGGAAGUUUGUGUCACCCCCUAUAAUCAAUUUACCAUAUGUAUAUGUUUGGGUGAGCGUAAUUAUCUUGUCUAGGUAUAUACCUUGAUUAUCGUGAGGGCCAUAAACAUUUAGAAGCGUGUACGGUUCAUUAUUAAUCUGACAUUGUAUUAAAAGAUAUCUCCCUUCUUUGUCCCUUACUUUCUUAUGAAGCGUGAAGGAGAUAUCCUUACUGAUUAAUAUAGAUACGCCUCUCUUCUUUUUACUGUAUCCUACAUGAUACCCAGUAGGGUAGAAUUUAGAUGAGAAUCUAGGCAUUUUGUUUCUGAGAAAAUGGGUUUCUUGGUAGAAAGCUACAUGUGCUCUUAGUUUCUUUGUUUCGGCUAGAGCUAAUCUCCGUUUAUGGGGUGAAUUAAGCCCUUUGGUAUUGAGCGAUAAAAUGGUCAGGGCCAUCUGCAUGCUACAAUGAUGCUAUCUUGAAUUCUGUCAUGUGCAUAUCGCACCCAAUUGUAAAUUUUUAGUGCAAAGUGAUAUCCUUGUCUUGGGACUUGUACAAUAAGAGGUGAGGUGUAUUGUCUUAGCUUUUUGUUUGUUUUUACUCUAUUAAUCAGGGAUGUUCCUGGUGGGCACCCUGCUAUAAGUGAGCUCGGAGGGUGGGAAGGAGGGGGGAGGGUAGAUAGCCAAGUGGCAACUAUAUACAACAUGGAGUACAGACGUGUUCCGUCUGUGAACGAGAGCUGAUCUCACGGCUUAAUAAAGCCAAAGUGGGGGAGGGUGUUCAUAGGACUUGAGAAACUGCCCUUUACACUUAUAACAUCUUACAUUCCUUUAACAGUUUGAUGGUGGGAAUGGUAUACUAGUGGGCUACAUGAGAUGUCACGCCUGCUCAUAACAUUCCCGUUCAAUAAGCUUGCAUUAAAGUAAAAAAAUGAAUGAAAAUGAAAAUGGGGAACUAAAAGAACAAAAAACAAAGAAAUGACAUAAUUGCUACAUAUAACAAUUCAACAGUUGCAAUCAUGUAUGGUUAUGCUCACGCAUCCCUAGGACUGUGAACCAGGUCCAUGGUAGAGAGAGCGGCAGUCCUAAAGGUGUUUGGUUUUCGUGACUCAGUCCUUGUCACUUGUGCUUAGACAUCGACAUCCAUUCCUUGGAUACUUUCGUAGGCGACUUGCGUUGUUUGUUGGGUGGGUCUGCGAUAUCUUGGGGUGCCACAGGCAUGUUCCAAUCUUUGAGCAUUUGGAUUCCUUCCCUGACAGUGUGGAUUUGAUGCUCCACUCCGUUCUUCCUGACAAUAAUUUGUGUCGGGUAGCCCCAUUUGUAGGGCAUAUCAGCGUUCCUCAGCGUUUUGGUGAUCGGUGCCAGCUCUUUGCGUUUAGCUAGCGUCGCCGCCGACAGAUCGGUGAAGAGUUGGAUGCCACUAUAUUCCUCUGGGAUGUUAUCCCUGUGCCUUGCUGCUUUCAUGACACUUUCUUUAGAAGUGAAAAAGUGUACUCUAGUGAGUACGUCUCUUGGUAUGGAGGCUGCAAGGAAGCGCGGUUUGGGGAGCCUGUGUAUACGAUCUAGGCGUAGAUCUGCCUCCUCAAGCUCUGGGCACAGUGCUUUAAAUAGUUUUAUAGCGAAACCUUGUAAGUCCACUGGCUUAAUAUCCUCCGAUAUGCCCCGCAGGCGUAUAUUAUUCCUUCUGUUGCGAUCCUCAUGGUCCGCCACUUUUGCAAUCAAAGUGUCGAUUUUAGCACCAAAGGAGUCAUAGGCCUCUACCAGGUUGUUAUGGGCCUCUAUGAUUUCUUCAGUUUUUUCUUCUAAUAUAGACGUACGCUCCCCUAUUGCUUGGACAUCAGCCCUAACAUCUCGGGCAAGUUUGCGGAAUUCAUUUUGCAGAUUGUGCUGCAGUUCCUGCAGCAUUCUGUGCAUUGAGGAUUCAGAGGCAGGUGCUGAAUUCCCCUGGGAGAUGGAAGUGCUGUCGCUCCGAUCAGAGCAUGCUGCUGGGGAUGUAUGGCCUCCGCCGCCAUCUUGGGCCCUGUUCCUAGGCGGCGUGAGCGAUGUUAUCUGUAGCUCUGCCGGGCGUAUUUUUGUUUUUUUUGCUGUCCGUAAGGACAUGGUCGGUCUGUGAGGCUUACCGCUCAGUUUUCGAGCCGGUAGGGCAGUUUAUGCUCUGCUAUUUGCGGUAUAGGUAUUCACCCUCGUCGGAGCUGGGAGCUUACGCGUCCAUGUUCGCGCGCUGCCAGGCCAUGCCCCCCCAGGAUUAGCUCUUCUAUGGUUCUCAUGUCUUCUACCCUCGUUAUCCAGUCCGUCGUGGAUGGGGUUGCGGUCUUUUUCCAAAUUGCUGGGAUCAGGCUGCGUGCUGCAUUGAUUAGGUACGGUGUGAUUGUUUUUUUUGUAUGUAGCUAAUGGUAGGGGUGUCAGGUGUAGCAGGUAAUUUUCCGGUGUGAGUUCGACCGCGUUGUCUGUUAUCAUGGUGACUGCUUGAUGGAUCUCCCUCCAGAAAGGCUGGAUCCGGGGGCAUGUCCACCAGAUAUGGUAUAGUGUGCCCAAUUCGGUUCCGCAUUCCAGUGUGCUUGUUGAGUGCAUGGUCACGAGUUUCUCAGGGGUUUUAUACCAGUGUGAUAUCAUCUUGUACCCCGAAUCCUGGUAUUUAGUGCUUAUGGAGGUUUUGUGAGCAUUGUGGUCCAUUGGUCCUAGGUUAGUGGGUGUCCAAGAUCUCUCUCCCAGUAUCUGACAAAGUAUGGCAGUUGGGCAUCUCCCUUCAGUGCGUUCAGUAGCAGGUAUAGUAGUGAUAUGGCGUGUGGCGUGGGUGCAGGUUGGGUGCAUAAGUUCUCGAACAGGGUUGGUGGUCUUGCAGCAGUUUGGAGGUCAGGUAUUGUUUUUAGUGUGCUUACUAGUUGGUAGUACCUGAAUUUAGUCAGUGGGUUUCGGGGUUCGAGUGUGGGUAGGUCCGUUAGUGGGGGGAUGUUCCCGGUUGCCAGGAGAUGUUGUAGCCUGCAUGGGGUCGGUAGGCCCAGGCUUGUCAUGAUUUGGUUGCUGUUGAUUAUGUGAAAUCUAGGGUUGUCUGUGAUAUUGUACAAGGGGAAUAUCGGGGGGGUAUAUUAGGGUGAUAUUAUGGAAUGUCUCCUUUCGUGUCUCUUUAUCUGUUGUGUCUCUUUUGGGGGCAUCCAUGGUAGUGUGUGGAGUGGGAAUUGGGUGAAGCUUGCUUCUAUAGCGAUUCAGAGCUUAUCUUCUGUCCCUAAGGUCCAUUCGGCGAUUCGUUGUAGGUGGAUGGUUUGGUGAUAUUUAUUAAGAUCAGGGAGUCCCAGGCCCCCAUGCGGUUUGGGUUUUGUGAGGAUGUUGUAUUUUAUUCUGGCCGUUCGGUUCCCGCCAGACAUAUUUCGUGAAAGCUGUGCGUAUUUGGGCUAGGAAGGUCUGGGGGAUGAAGACUGGGAGUGUUUGUAUCAGGUAUAGGAAGCCUGGUAGGGCGUUCAUUUUGAGAACGUUCACUCGUCCCAGCCAGGUGAUAUGCAGUAUAUCCCAUUCUGCUAGGUCUUUAAGUAUUCGGUCAAGGAGGGGGGGGAAAUUGUGGCUGAACAUGUGGUGUGGGUCGGCAGUGAGCCAUAUGCCUAAAUAUUUUAUCUCUGCUUUACACCAGUGAAGCGGGUAGCGCGCUUUUAGGUUCGUGGUCAGGGCGCGUUCGCAGCCGAGGUUUAGUAUCUCCGAUUUUGUAUAGUUGAUACUGAGAUUGGAGAGGGCGUUGUAGUCCUCAAAUUCUUGCAUGAUGGCUGAGAGUGAGGAUUGUGAACAGUAAGUCAUCGACGUAAGCCGAUAUUUUGCUUUCUCCCCACCGUCCUCGUAUGCCUCUAAUGUCUGGUCUGCUGCAUACCACAUUCAGGAAUGGUUCCAGGCUGAGUACAAAGAGUAGGGGCGAGAGGGGGCAUCCUUGUUGGGUGCCGUUGUGUAUCUGGAAUGGUUUUGAUAGUGUGCUGUUGACAUAGACACAUGCCGUCGGUUUGUUGUAGAGAGCUGAGAUCCAUGUUCUCAUGUUGGGGCCAAACCCUAGGUGUUGUAGCAUCGUGAAGAGAAAGGUCCAGUCUACCCUAUCGAACGCUUUUUCUGGGUCGGUGGAGAUUAGAAGUGCUGGUGUUGUCCCUAUCCUGACCGCAUACAUCAGGUUGAUUACUUUGGUGGUGUUGUCUCUGGCCUCUCUAUAUUUGAGAAAUCCUACCUGGUCCGGAUGCAUCCGCUUUGGCAGGAUGGGUUGUAUGCUGAGUGCCAGGAUUUUGGCGAAUAGUUUCAGGUCAGCAUUCAACAAGCAGAUCAGUUGGUAACUUGGACAUGCUGUAGGGUCUUUGCCUUCUUUGGGUAUCACUACUAUGUGCGCCUUUAGGGUAUUCUGGUAAAGGCUCCUUCCUACUUUGAUGGCAUUUAGCAUACUAAGUAAGUGUGGAGCACUUUAUAGUAAGUUCUGUAGUAUUUGAUGGUGUAGCCAUCGGGGCCCGGGCUCUUCCCAUUCUUGGUUGUUUUCAUUGCCAGAGCUAGUUCCUCGAGUGUUAUUGGUUCUUCCAGUGUUUGAGCUGUUUCUGCGUCGAUCUUGGUCAUGAGGUGUUUGGCGAGGUAUGUGUUUUGUCUGUCGGGUUGGGCCUCCUGUCUCUUCUUCCUGGCUGCGGAGGUGGUAAAGGGAUUUGUAGUACAGUUGGAAGCCUUCCGCUAUCUCCUUUGGAGUGUGGCGGGUAGUUCCGUUGAGUUUGAUUUCUGAGAUAAAGAAUUUUUGUCUGGCUUUCCUUAGGGCCUUCGCCAGGAGUUUGCUGCUCUUGUUGCCAAAUUCAUAGAAGGUAUUCUGGGCUUGUCUGUAUUGGAAGGCGAUCCGUUGGGAGAGGUGGGAGUUCAGUGCUGCUCUCAUCGCGACUAGUUGCGCGUAGGUGUUGUCAUUGAGCGUGGCUUUGUGCUGUUUUUCUAAGUCCACCACUUUCCGCAAAAGGUUUGCUGUUUCUUGUGCGCGUUGUUUUUUGCGUUGUGCGCCAUGUCGAAUCAGGAUGCCGCGUAUCACACAUUUGUGUGCUUCCCACACCUUGUCCAGAGUGAAUUCUGGUGUGCUGUUUGUUCGAAAGAAGUGGUCUAUGUGGGAUUGUACCUCAGUCUGGAUUAGGGUGUCUUCUAACAGCGACUCAUUUAGUCUCUAGCUCCAUUGUUUCUGGUAUUGGGUUGGCGAGGUUAUCGUAAUAAUGACUGGGCAUGGUCCGACCAAGACAUGGGGGCUAUUGUCAUGGAGAGGAGGUCAUCUAGGUGGCGGUGGCAGUGGAAGAAGUAGUCUAUGCGUGAGUACAAAUUGUGAGGUGGGGAGUAGUACGUGUAAUCUUUCUCUGUGUGGUGCAGGGUGCGCCAGCAAUCUGACAUUUGGAAUUCAUGCAAGGUGGCUCACAUGCCUCUGGGUACAUGGUCUGGAAGGGUUGAGUGGCCUGCGGAUGUGUCUAGUCUCGGAUCCAGUGGUGCGUUAAAGUCUCUGCCAAAAAUUAGUAUUCCAUCCCUGAAGAGGUCUAGGGUUUUCUUUAGAAAAGGUUUUUGUCCCUUGUUAGGGAGGUAUAAAUUGGCGAAGGUAAAGCGUUUUGGGAUUGUGCCCUUCAGGAAGAGGUAUCUAUCAUUGGGGUCUGAAAGUUCUUCUUCCAUUUGGAACGGUACUUCUACUGAAAAAAGUAUCGUCGUCCCUUUGGUUUUUGAGUCCGGGUUGGUGGCAUGGAAACUAAGCGGGAAGUGUUUGUUCGAGAACUUGGGCCGCUUGUCAAUUUUGAAGUGGAUUUCCUGGAAGAACACUAUGGAUACAUGUAGGGCUUUCAGUUCUCUCAAUGCCCUCGCUCGCUUCUGUGGGGAGUUGAGUCCCUUAGCGUUGAUCGUGAGGAGUUUGAGGGCCGGUUAGGGUCGCCCCUGGUGCCCGACGAAGGUGCUGGGCCGGCAGGACACCAUCUUGGCACGGGCGGCUGAGCGGGGAGGGGAGGGCUCGGGAGAGAGAAAAAAAGAGGGGGGAGGGCGGAAAGCGGGAAAGGCGGCUAUGGGGGUACACGGGGGAGCUAUAUAUGCUGUGGCUGAUCUUCUGCGGUCGUGAAGUGUUUGUGUAGGGUGUUGGUUGGUGUCGGGAGCAUUUCGUCUCUCCUUGCCUAUAGUGGGUACGGCUCUGUGUGUGGGUGUUUGUUGUUCCUCUUUGGUUGCUAUCUCCCUUGAAAUUGAGGGUGGAGGCCGUGUGGAUAGCAAUAAGGGGCAGUCUGCCUCUUGGGUGUGGUCUCACGUGUAGAGCGAGUUCUCAGUGAGCCUGUCUCAGUGAGCCUGUCCAGUGGUCUGGCAGUAAACCAGUGGGGAGGUGGGUGGCAGUUCUUUGCUCUCUAGCAAAGUUUGUUGGGUGGCUUGUUUGGUCAGAUGGCAGGGUCGUCCGAGCCCUGCUGCUAGAGCAUAUGUGUUAUGUGGUAAGACCGUGGGUUAAAUUGCGGUGCAGUAGCGUCAACAUGCAAUGUUCACAUUCAACAAGUUUAAAACAUUUGUAUAACAAGUUUAAAACAUUUGUAUAGCUGGUUAAUAGAGUAGAAUUUCAACCUUAUAACGUUUAGAGACAUUUCAUGGAGGCUGCCAGCAUCAAUCUCUCUGCAAAGUCACUCAUUCUGUUUCCCCAUUCCAUGGUGUGAGUCGUUGGGGGUUGUGUCCUGUCUGUGUGUGGGGGUGGUGUGUCUUAGUGAUUGUGGGUGGUGUGUCAGUGUGUGUACGGGCGGCUUGUCCUUCUGUGGAGGUAGUGUGGUUGUGUUCGUCAUUGGCAUGGGGGGGCACUUUCGUGUGGGAUUGGUAUCGUCUUAUGUGUGCGGUCCGUCGUAGUUUGUCACCGGGUCUGGUCGCUUUCCAUCUUUGGUUCUGCAUCCGUGGUGAGGGGGGUGGAGUUAUCCUGCCGUUUGUGUGUGGAUUUGAAUGCGUGUCGGGUUAUGGGUUCUGUUAGCGGGGAGUUGUGUUUCCUGUCCGUUUUGGGGAGUCGUAGCUUCUUGUUCGUGUCUUGUCCGGGGGUGUUGUCGUCCGUGGAGUCUAUGCAUGUGGGUCCCCCCCUCCCAGCCCUCCUCCCAAAUACCCAUCUCCCCCAUCCUUCCCACCCAUCCCCCCAUCCCUCCCAGCCCGCCCCCAUCACCCUCAGCUCCGUGUUCUGAGCCCUAGUGUGCUAGUGCGUUAAGCACCACGCAGUCCAUGGUUCCCACUUGGGUGGUGUUAGUGGCUCUAACAAUACAGUGUGGCAUCACUUAUUACAAGCCUUGUUAUAUAUACGACACCAGGUAUUCGUGGGCUGGACCUUCUGGGUGUGUCCGUGAGGAGGUUGUGGUACAGCAAGGGUAGUCUUGGUAUCCAAAAAGAGAAAAAAAAAAUUCACACAAAGUCUCUGUUUGUCCUUGCUCAUUGUAUGUGCUGGGUUCCCCGGUCAGUCUCUUCCUCAGCUGCGGCGUGUUGAGGUGUCAUAUGUCUUGAGGGGCGAGCUGGGUAUGGGUUCCAUCUUCUGAGGGGGAGGCAGGUUACGUGUGGAAGUUAGUCCACAGUAGAGUCUUUGUGGGCUUCUUUCCUUGAACAAGUUACGGCACUUUGGGGGAGUCAUGUCCAUUCUAGGGUGACACCGUGGGGUCUACUUGAGUUCUGUCACUGGUCAGGUCUCCAUUGUCUCCAGGCUUUAUUCUUCAUGUGCUAUUUGGUGGGGCAGGACAGUGCCCAUGUCCACUCGGUCUGUUCCGAGAGGGUGGGUGACUGAUCUGCCUAGGUUUCUCUCGUUGAGGGGGCAAUCUGUCCAGUCUCUUACUGGGGUGGCUGGUAAACCCAGCGUAUCCAGGAAGAUGGGAACAUCUGCUGGUAGUUAUAUUGUGGCCUCUAUGUUGUCCUUCCUUGCUGUAAGUGCUAACGUGAAGUGCUAUUGGUAUCUUAAAUGGUGUUCCUGGAGGAUAGAUGUGACCAGUCUGAGGGCUCAGCACAUUUGCAGGGUGAGGUGGGAGAGGUCAUUGUAGAGUUCCACAUUUUGGCCUUUGUACCGCCAUGUUCUUUCUGUGCGUGCUCCCUUCAUGAUGUCUUCCUUCAGCUGGACCUCUUGUAUAUAGCAGAUGACGUCUCUUGGCUGUACUGCUGGUGGCGGUUUCGGGCGGAGUGCUCUGACAAUAUACAGGCGUACUUCAGGGGGUCUGUUCAGUAUGAUGUUAAAGGGUGGGGUUAGAGUCUCUCUCAGAUUUUCUGGGCCUGCUGUUUCGUGUAGCCUUCUCACUCUGAUUUUAUUGCUGCUGCUCCUGUUGUCUAAAUCUUCAACAUGGAGCCGCAGGUCCAUAAGCUGCCUGUCAUGGUUGUGUGUUUGCUGGGGUACUGGUCCUGCAGAUUCCAAUGCGGUCACUCUUCCCUCCAAGUCUGACAGGGAGGUGCGCAGUGAGGCUAUCUCCAUUCGGAGAGUUGAUUUUACCUCCUGGACUAUGGUGUACAGGUCUUCAUUGGGAGGGAGUCAAAUAAGGCAUACCAGUUUUGUGAGGGUGCCUCUGUGUCGCGGGUGCCGGCGGUGGUGUGCAGGCUGUCUUCCGACACUGUGGAUCCCGGGGAGGCAGGCGCCAUGUUGGAAGCCUCGUGUUGCGAGGAGAGGAUCCCCUGGGUAUGCAGGUAGGCGCGGAUGGAUGCGGAUGGUCUGUCCCCCUGUGUCCUUGGUGUAGACUGGGUCAUUUGUACACGUUUCGUGCGGCCCAUCAGGUUUCUGGGGGUGCUGAUUGUUGCGGGAUUGGGCUGCAGGGCUCGGAGCUGUGAAUUUAAGCCGCCAUUCUCUUUCAGCGCCAAGCCAUGCCACCUAUGAAAGAUUUUUUAAUGAAUGUAAAGCUUUGGGGGCCUCAUACAAGGUUUUACAAGCAAAGAAUUCUGUUGACAAGGAUCAAGUAAGUCUUGGAGGUGAGAGUGUGAAAUGUGGACAUGGCAUUAAAUUAAUGGCAUCAACAUAUAUUUGAAGAUGCAGUAUCAGAAGUAUGUGUCAAAAUUAAAAACUAUGGAAUCCAGUGACCCAAGCUGAAUGAAUCACAAAUCCAGAUCAUUUGUUUCCUUAUGCUCCCCUAGUCUUUAUUUAUUUUUUCUACAUUUGUUGCUUUUUAUUCUUUGAAGUGUGGAAACAUAUUACCUGUAACGCACCUGGAGUAAAAACUUGGAUGCUGCUUCUACCUCUUAUUGAGUUGUCUUUCAUUACCAAUUAUGUCUUCAGCAUUCAUUAUGGACAUUAUCAUUUGCUAUUGAUUAUUUUGUAUUAUCGUGGUCCCCAAAGAAUGUACUUUAGUGUUUAAUUUAAACAUUAAUUAUCUUAGAGCACAAUUGAUUAUAUAUUCUCUGCACGUGGUAUGAUGCUCAUAUAGAUUCUCCUUGCAAUUGAUACAAAAUAAUUUCCAAAGGAAAGCUAACUUUAAAUGGAAACUUUAAUUUUCAUGACUAUAUAUAGUUUUUAAGGCUGCCUGUAGGCAUACAGGCACCCUGUACCCAACUGACAAUUAAUUGUUAUCCUGUAAGGUAAAAAAAAAGAUACAAUGUAGUGGCAAUCUAUUUAAGAGUGACUGUUUGUUAUUGUUUACAUGAUAACUUUGUUUUAAUAAACAUGAACAAAUUGCAAAUGUAUUGUAUUGGUACAUUCUUAUAAAAUUCUAAUAGAGGUAGUAGUGGCUCAUGUCUGGCAGUUCAUUACAUGAACAUAAAAGGAUUAAAGCAAAAUGGUAAUAAUAGGUAUGUUCCCAAAAUACCCAAAGUAUUAACCUUCAAAAACAAUACAACAGUACACCAACAUAGAUAAAAACUGUGAUCUUUGCUCAUUCAAUACCAAACACAAACACACACACACACACACAAAACACUUGUAAUUGCACCCUUGAAAAAAACAAGUAUCUGAAAUGUUGGGGGCAGAAAAAAAUCUUCCCAGGCCUAUUAUCUAUCUAUCUAUCUGUAAUUGGUAAUAUUAUCUCCUGUGGUCAUAGAUACCCUUUAAUUUAAUCAAUAGCUGUUUUUUUGUAUAAUUCGCGUAUUUGUUUUAAACAAAUGUAUUUAAAGUUGUAAAGUGGUGUAAGUGAAAAACCUACAUAAAAACCUAUAAGUGAAGCGCUGAAUUAUGGAUGAUGUAAACUUACCCUGCGUGGCUUAAUAAUGACUGUGGGAGAUAAUAUAUGUAUUAUAUAAUGUAAUAUAUAUAUUUUAUUUUUUAUUUUUAAAAACCAAAGGAAAAAAAAGGUUAACAAGUAUAUAGGGGUGUACAUAAAAAAUACCUCUUUCUGUCUCACUAGAGAUAUUUUUGCCAGAAGCUCAAGGAAGCAAGGUAAAGGGUCAGAGUAGGACCCAACUAGGGGGGUCUGCCUUGACGUUGGCAGGCGGGCAUUCCCUCCAGUGGCCAUUGGAGUAACUAAAUUACCUAAGGAGAGAGCGCAGGUAACUUUUUUUUUCCCUUUGGUUUUUACUGUAUGUAUUAGCUGAUGUGUACUGUAGUCAUUGCUGCUGUCCAGGAGUGAUGGGAGUGAGCGCAGGACUUUUCUUUUUUGUACUUGUAUCUAUUUUUUGUAUCACUCAGCCUUGUUAAAAUGCUGCCACCCAUCUCAUGUGUUCCCUAUUAAGGGUUAAUAAAUAUAUAGGGGUGUACAUAAAAAAAUACCCCUCUCUGUCUCACUAGAGAUAUUUUUGCCAGAAGCUCAAGGAAGCAAGGUAAAGGGUCAGAGUAGGACCCGUCUAGGGGCGACUGCCUUGACGUUGGCAGGCGGGUAUUCCCUCCAGUGGCCAUUGGAGUAACUAAAUGACCUCUGUUGUUUAAAUAUACAUAGGGAUUAAGGAGAGAGCGCAGGAAACUUUUUUUUUUCCUUUGGUUUUUCUGUAUGUAUUAGCCGAUGUGUACUCUAGACAUUGCUGCCAACCAGGAGUGAUGGGAGUGAGCGCAGGACUUUUCUUUUUGUAUUUGUUAAAACAUUUAAAACUGUAUUUUUAUGUAUGCUCUGUUCCUUAAUCUAGAAAUUAUAUCUCUGGCACGUCCACCGUAUUGGCUGCAUUCCUUCAUAAGAAUACAUUACUAGCUUCAGCCUAGUAUUACCACUUUCACAUCAUGUUCGACCUAUCAAAUAGCUGAAACGUGUUCUUCUGCAAAAUAGACAUUGCGCAUGCCAAUGUCUAACAAGGGAUUAAAUUGGUAAUUGUUUUAAACACCUAGCCAAGUUCAUUAGGUAGUAUAUAGUCCAAUCUAAGUAGUAUCUAAUGCCAUAUGAGGACCCUUGUCACUUUUACUGGAUGGAUCCACAGUUGGGGGGACAGAUGGUAAGAUUCCCCUACUCCACUUAUGGAUCUGCCUCAAUCUGUUUGUCUUCACCCAUGUUAAGGCUGUCAUCGUCUCUCUUGCAUGGACACCUGGCAUGUGGCAUGUACACAUUUUGCCUGUUACUAUCUCAUUUGAAACUGCAUGGAAAAAGAAAAAUGGAUAGUUAUAGGUCGUUUCCAAAUAUGCCUAGGUAAUUCCAUAUUUUCUUAUUAAUGUGGUUGUAUUUUGGGUAAAUAAUUGUACGCCUCUUUAAUCUUUAGUCGUUUGUAUUUAUAUAUAAUCAUUUUUUAAAAUAAAUUUCGUUUCAUAUUUUUAGAGUUACUCAUGAAAUAAACAUUCACUAAAAUGUUUAAAAUACUUUCUGUUUGCUAAUGUGUGGCCUUUUUUUUGUGCCUUUUUUCUUCUUUUCAUAAAAGCAUUGUUGUUCCAUGGUUUUAAAUAAAUUAGUUCUCUUUGUUCUGAAUGUUUGUUACCAUAAUUUCUGUUAUGUUAUUAAGAAAAAAAAACGCACAAUUUGUUAAUAUAAUAACAUGCAAUGUGUAAUUAUUUCUUGGCUGUCAAAAAACUGCACAUUUGCUGUCUGUCAGGGAUUUGAAAAAUGAACUGUGUCACAACAGGUUAAAAAUGCAAUAAAGACAUAAUAUAGAUUUGCAAUAUAUCAGUAGUAUUAUACAGUUAUAAAUAAGAAAAAAUGUUAUUUUCAGAAAUAUUCUUUAAGUCCAUUAAGGAAAUGAACAUGGCACCAGUGUCCCAGCAGACACAAUGAUUUCUUGCUUGAUAUCAGCAGAAACGACUCCAAUAAAGUAAAUGUAGUCAUCAACGACCUCCAAACACUUGCCCGUCCAUGUCAUUGCCUUUGUAUGUUGUAUGAAAAAGACACUUUGGGGAACAUACAGAGAAAUAUGCUGAUCUCACGAGUAUGCCUCACUAAAUUCUUAAUCCCUCUUACUCUUCUUCUGACCUUGUUCUCUGUGCUCAGUAGCUUUUGUAUAGCUGUGGAGAAAAUUGCACACCCAUGCUGACAUUUGGAAUUACAUUUUAUUUACCACCUGCUUACAAAUCACUUAGUCUAUUGCUAAAAAAAUCUGCAAUCAAUAUUCCAAUCUAACCUCCACCCCACAAUGUUGGUCAAUUCUAACCUUAUUUUUUUGCGCUUUGACAAUUUAGUAGAGAAAUUUGUUUCAUGCAAAAAAAAAAAUUUUUUUCAACAAAGAAUUGUUUUUGAAUUUUUACAGAUAUGAAACAUCUUAGUUACAUUGUUAGUAAUCUAGGCUGAAAUAAGCCCAUCAAAUUCAACCUUCAAAACCUAUUCUAUAAUGCUGUUGAACCAAACGAAGGCAAAAAAAAACCACAACUAAUUGUAAAGAUUUCCAAUAAUGCCAAAAAAGGGGAAAUAAUGUAUUCUUGUCUCCCUAAUGACAACCAGACUUCUCCAUGGAUCAGCAUUCUGUUCACAUACAUGCACAGUUGUGCUCAAAUGUUUUUUGCCCUUGGAGAAUUGGUAAUAUAUGUACCAUUUUUAAAGAAAACAUGAGUGAGUAGGCAAAACACAUUUCUGUUAUUUCUUAUGGGAUUCAUAUUCAACUGUAGGUUAUAACAGAAUGGCACAAUUAUAAAACAAAACAUGGCAAGAAAGAAAGAAAUGAAAUGAUCCCUGUUCAAAAGUCUGCAUACCCUUAGUUCUUAAUACUGUGCAUUGCCCCCAUUUAGCAUCAAUAACAGCAUGCAGUCUUUUUGUAAUAGUUAUCUAUGAGGCCCUUAAUUCUUGCAGGUGGUAUAGCUACCCAUUCGACUUGGCAAAAUGCCUCCAGGUCAUGUAAAGUAUUUGGUCGUGUUGCAUGAACCGCGCGUUUGAGAUCUCCCCAGAGUGGCUCAAUGAUAUUAAGCUCUGUGAAACUGUGAUGGCCACUAAAGAACCUUCACCUUUUUUCUGUUGUAAGCACUGGAGGGUCAACUUGGCCUUGUGCUUAGGGUCUUUGUCAUGCUGGAAAGACCAAGAGCAUCCCAUGUGCAGCCUUCGUGCAGAAGAAUGCAAAUUGUCUGCCAGUAUUUUCUGAUAACAUGCUGCAUUCAUCUUGCCUUCAAUUUUCACAAGCUUCCCAUGCCUUUAGAGCUUACACAAUCCCUAAAAAUCAGUGAGCCACCAUGCUUCAAAGUGGGGAUUGUAUUCUUUUCACAUAUGGUUGUGACCAUUAAGCUCUAUUUUGGUCUUGCCUGUCCAAAUUACAGUGUGCCAGAAGAUGUAAUGCAUGUCAAGGUGUUGUUGGGCAUAUUGUAACCAGACUCUUUUGUGGCAUUGGCACAGUAAAGGCUUCUCUCUGACAACUCAACCAUACAGCUCAUAUUUGUUCAAGUAUCGUCAUAUUGUGCUCCUUGAAACAACCACACCAUCUUUUUCCAGAGCAGCCUGUAUUUCUCUUGAGGUUACAAGUGGGUUUUUCUUUGUAUCCCAAACAAUUAUUUUGGCAGUUGUGGCUGAAAUCUUUCUCUGUCUACCUGACCUUGGCUUGGUAUCAAGAGAUCCCAGAAUUUUCUACUUCUUAAUAAGUGAUUAAACAGUACCAACUGGCAUUUUCAAGGCUUUGGUUAUCUUUUUAUAUCCUUUUUCAUUUUUAUAAAGUUCCAUUACCUUGUUACGUAGGUCUUUUGACAGUUCUUUUCUGCUCCCCACGGCUCAGUAUCUAGCCUGCUCAGUGCAGCCACGUGAGUGCUAACAAACUCUGAUUAUUUAUACACAGAUACUAAUUGCAAUUUAAAAAACCAUAGAUGUGGAAAAUUAACCUUUAAUUGCCAUUUUAACCUGUGUGUGUCACCUUGUGUGUCUGUAACAGGGCCAAACAUUCAAGGGUAUGUAAUUUUUUGAUCAGGCCCAUUUUGGUGAUUUCUGUUAUCAUUAUGAAUUAAAAAGGAGCCAAACAACCAUAUGAUAAUAAAUGGCUUCAUAUGAUCACUAUCCUUCAAUAAAAUAUUUUUUUUGGCCUGAUUAGUCAUAUUUUAGAAUUCAAUGCCAAAAUGUAACAAUUUCUGCCAGAGUAUGCAAGCUUUUGAGCACAACUGUAAAUAGAACAUGAAGAUCUAGUGUGUCAACUCAUACUUUCUAUCUAUGUUAAGUAAAAUUAAAACAUAUUUUGGGAUGCAUUCUGUAAAAUAAGGCAGUGUGGUUUGUGUUUGCUAAAAAUGUAGCUCAGCUCCUCAAAAAAUGAAUUCUACGUCCACUCUAGUUUAAAUCUUCAUACAAAUAUGUUGUUGAUACCAAAAACAUUGGUUAAAUAAUUUAAUAUGAAACAACUGAAUAAAAUAAGACAAUAAAAUCCAAGAAUAUGUGAUGCAUUCAAAUGAUAGAAGGCUCAUUCUCUAACCACACUUGUCGAAUGUCAAUUCUGCUGUUCAGGUUGUCUGAAAUUUUGCAUCAAGGAUAUUGUCUAACGUGUUAAUAAAUCAUUGAAAUAAAAUGUUUUACCUGGAGUUUAUUUUUCCAUGGUCGAUUCCGCCGAUCAAUAUGGAAAACAAAAUAGAGUUUAUUGACAGCAUGUAGGACAAGUGCGAUGAAUGAACUGGUGAAGAAUUGUUUUUGUCCCUACCACUGUGAUGAGCUGCCAGCUGCAAUGCUAACAUGUACAAUCUUGAGAAGCUGAAGUCAGAAACAUUUGUAAAAUACACAAGAGAAAUGCUACUUUUCAUCCAGAAAUAGUGGGGUACCUAAGAGCGAUCGACAUCUUCAUCCUCAUUCCGGCAUAUGAAUUAAUAUUACUAGCACAGGAAGAAACCCCACAGGCCAUUAAGUUAUCUUUGUUAAAACAGGGAAAGCAACUACACAGCCCCCAAACCACUAGUUUUAAGUAUCACUAAACACAGAACUAAAGUGAAUUGAAAAUGGAACUGAGAAAUUUAGCAAACAACAAACUUUUUUUCUCUGCAAAUCCACUAUUGUUGCCAAAAUUAUGUGGUUUCUGCAACUAUUCAAUACAACCACCAUUAGUUUGUUCAUUAUGCCAUGUAGAUGGAGUAAAAUAGUUUAGAAUAGUGAUGGUAGAACUCUUUGUCUGUUGGAAGACAGAAAAGAAAGGUCUAACAAUUCAAUAUUCUUCUAGUUGAUCAAACCUCAGAGGAAGAGCCUUCAACUCAAACCUGUCCACUUUGGUUUUCCUCCAAAAUAUAACAUGAAAUUGCAAACAUGUAGAGGUAGAAUGGGUUGGAUAGCACUCCUCUAAAAUGUGGGUCUAAAAUCCUUGCAGUUUUACAAAUACAGUAACAUUUAUUUUGUUUUUUUAGAAAUGUAUAUGGCAUGCUUUUGGGUAAAGAAAUAACAAGGCUGAUUGACGGGUGUAGUAGCUUUAGUUAAGCAGUUACUUAUCAAGUAAAAUUUAAGUAUAAUAUUAUUCGAUAGAGUUUUGGAAUAAGUGAAACUGAAAUAACUGCAAAGGUAAUGUUAAGAUUAUAUAUUUAUACAAAUUACAGUGUUAAAUGUAGAAAUCGAUUACACAUUGUCAUUUCGGAUGUUAAGGAACAAUAAUAAAAAAGGAUUAAUAUUGUGUUAUAUAUAUAUAUAACUCAUUGUUCUCAUGUUGUUAAUUUAUAAAUACAUGCAACAACUGGCUGUUCUAUUACCAUUGAUUAUGGGUUAUUAUUUUUAACAAUGUUUUAAUGUGCAUCUGUGGCUAGAGUCAUAUAUUUCCUGCCUUGUGAUCUUAUUUGAUAGAUAUUAAUAUUGGUGGUUUAAUGACUCAAUAAAUCAGCAAUUUUGACAUUUUCCUCCUGUGAUUGAUUUUUUUCUCCAUCUUGUCUGAUGGAAGUGUACUCUGCAUGGCUCACCUCCUAGAUGUUUCCUCUUUUCCCCUGGCCAUGAUGGUAUUCACCAGGUCUUCUAUCAUGUGUGUGGCCCUGUGUCUCUGCUGAUGCAUUAAAGAUCUGUCUUGGAUUCGUGAGGACAUUGAAAGGUAAAUGUGUAGGGUAGUGUAGUGAUACCAGAAAAGGAGGUGUAAUAUUUUUCACCAUCAGUUAUAUAUUACAAACCAACAGGUAUUUGUAUGUGAAUGUGAAGAUGUAUUCUGUCCCAUUUCCCUGGGUGUUAAUUGGUCUGCAUUGACAUUCCUGAUUAAACGUUAAUGUUAAAUCCUGUCUGAGAACCAUUAACUCAACCUUCUCAGUUUUAAAACAUAAAUAUUGCCAACUCCAAUUUUAUAACAUGUUCAUGCCCCAGUCGGCCCUGACUAUGCAUACCUCCUGUCCUUUUUGGAUAACAAGAUGAUGAUUUACCCAGUCCUUGUCUAUUAAUAUACCCAGUCAUUGUCUUUGAAUAACACGUUUCUGUAACGUAAUGCUGAGCUUGCUUUUUGGCUUCUGAUUUUUUUUUCUGAGUUUAAGAGUUUGGCCAAUCCAUAUUAUUUGUUCCUGAGCUUGUUUCUGUCUUAUCCAUUGGCUAUCACAUAUGUGGUAUAUUUGUUGGUCAUUAGCAAAUUCAUGAGUCCAAAGGCUAAAUCUACAUAGUGACUGUUAAGGCUCAGUUAGGCUUCAGUCAAUUUUCUGCUUUAUUUAAACUGUACAGGUCCGCCCUUAAAACAAAAUACAAAUGUAGUUUUAAACAAUUAGUUUUUUUGUCAAUACAUUUUUUUUAAUUAUUUUUUUUAAAGGAAACUCCAUGCACCAAUACAACUUGAAUGCAUUUGAUAGUUUUUGAUGCUGUAUUUUUUUGCAUGGUCAAAUCUUUAUCGUUUAUGCACAAAAUAAAUAAAUGCACACAGUCUCAGCCUUAAGUGAGCUGCUUCUAAUUCAUAGCCAGAGGUACUGCAAACAUGUAGUGAUAUCCUUACACUACUUCUCCCUGGGUGUCCUCUCCUCAUGUAAUUUGUUUUCUAGUUCAGAUCAUUCAGUGCUGUCAGUGUUUAAAAUGUGUGUAUACCUUUUUGAUAAGGAAGUUUUUUUUCUGCAUGGUCCCUGAGGAAAUCUUAAUCUGAAGGACGAAACGCAUAGGACCGACCAUACAUGUAUUUUUAUCUUAAUUGAUUUGAAAGAUUUUACUUUACCUACUAUAUACAAUAAAAGCUACUAUUUUUCAACUUACCAUCUGGAGUCCUGUAUCUUAGUGGUGAACACUGAUUAAGAAGGUGGAUUACAGCCCCCCGCUGCCAACUGGGGAGGUACCCUAUGAAUGCCCAUUUUCACUACAUUCUCGUGAGUGCAUCUAAUUACAGUGCACAUAAUGUUUGUCAUACAGAUUCACACUAUGUUAUCAGCUGUUUCCCAUUCUGUUGUGUAUAUACAUGUAGUGGAGCUCCAAUACCUAGCAUAGGUAUCCCCGCUGUUCAGUCCUCGUAGCUAGAAGAAACAGUAUAACAAUCCAAGACCUUUUACCCCCAGCAACUAGACGACACAUAGUUCUGUGAGUCAACUGAGUUUAUUUUGGCCACACACAGCUUUUAUGCGCAGAUCCCUACAUGGGGUCUCUCACACAAAAAUACAGGGCUUUUCCUUCCAAGAUCCCCUGUGUCUGAGACAUAAUUGCAUGAGAACAAACUAUAACUCAAUUGUCUCUCAGGUACAGAAAAAUCUACAACAAUUUAAAACACAGCAAAAGUGCAUUUUAAAACAUCAGAACCCCACAAAAGUCACACCAAAUAGCUUGCAUCUGAGCACACACUUUGGAGAAAUAUUCAGAUCCCUUUGGUGUUUCGGGAACCCCAUACAAAUGAAGUUUUGACCUUUUGGCCACGAGGUGAUGCCCCACAACAGUUCCAGAGAAAACAAGGCAACGACCAGUCAUCUUUCGGGGGUUCUCGCACGAACACCGAUGAAUUCUCCCCUUAGUGUACGAAUGUUGGAGGGGCAGCCGUACCAGUUUACCGGAUGUUCGCAGGAUUGUGUAGCCAAAAAUAGAUCCACGCCAUCAAUGACCAUGUACUGCUGCCCGCGUUCAGGAGACAAAAUGGCCGCCAUUGGUUUGCACACGUGCGUUCGGUUAUACAAGCGGCAGCCACAUAGGGGAAACACUUUCUUUAGCGAGCAAUUCAUGGUUAACAGCCAUUGGUUGUUGGCUGUUAAAAGGUGUGAACAAGGGGACCACACAGAUGGGGGUCCAGUAAACAAACAGGGGUGUACGGAUAACCGAACAACAGGGAAUAAAAGUAUAUAAAGAGCAUCCAUUCCGCUACAGUACAUUUUGGUUGUUGUACUGGGAAGUUUCUAAGGGAGGCUGACUAUUUACGUAUUGGAUGAGUAUAAUUUGAUUAUCACCAUUAUAUUGUGUUUUUUGGUGAAUGUAUAGAGACCAUAUCUCUAGUUGCCUUAACAAUAAAGGAGGCUUGGUAACUGAUUUGAUAUACUCAAUUUGGAUCCAAGUGCUUAAGUUUCUUUUUAUUUUAUUAAGAUAAAUAUUACCCAUAGUCUAGCACACAUACAGUUGUCUAGUUGUAAGACAUUACAAGUACUCAAUAAUCUAUAAUAUUAGCUUGAGAACAACAUAAAACCCUGAUUUUAUAUUUUAUAUAUAGUUUGUAUGAAAAGCGUUUCCAAAGGCUGUUACUUCCCAUAAACAUUUCUUUUUUUGCUAAUUUCACUAUUAGAUGAGAUUGAAAUAUGAAUAUAUGUUUCAAACAUAUUUUGCUGUGAAAAAUGUGCUCUUGCUAAAUUUUCUAAAUUUCACAUUCUUACAAUAUUCACACAUUUAAGGAGCUGUAACUUUUUCAAAAUAAUCAGGAAGUUCCACUCUGUUAUCUUGGCUCCUAGGGAGAUGCAGCAAAAAAUGAAAGGCCCGUUUAUAUUUGUACAAAUAAUCCAACAUGCAAUAUUUAUGAGCAGUCAGAUAUUUAUAUCUAAAAAACAUUUUUUGCCAUGUUCAGAUGGUUUCCAAAUUAGUGUCUCUGUUUCCUGGGACUUCAAAGGUAUUUGGUGUUCCUUAGCAAACAUAAUUCACGACAGUUGUCAUCCUGGUGGCCUAGUAUAUUAACAGACAUUAAACAUUAACAAUAGUAAAAUCCUCAUUUCAUGUUCUUUUUACAUUUAUGUCAUCAUGCUGUUCUAAACUAAAUAUAGAGAUCAGCAUUUUCCUAUUCUUAUUUUUUGUGUAACGAAAAGUCACAAGGUUGUUCGGCAAACUGGGAGAUGUUGACAAUUGUCAAGGGAAUUGUAAAUUUUAGGUCAAAACAACUGAGCUGUAAAAAUAGAUGAGUUUAGGAGUAUUUUGAACUAAAAUUUGAAAUUCCCUUGUCAGUUCUUCAGUUCUCUACUAAUCCUGGUUUAGUGUAAAUAUUGAAAGUAAUUUUAAACUAGGAGCUCAUGUAAGAUAGUUUUAUUCCCUGAUCUAAAAAUCUGAAAUGGACAAAGAACAACUGAACCUGUCUUCAGCAGAAGAACUCUUUAUAAGAAAGCAAAGAGAGUGAGAGAGUGUGUGUGUAUCUUGGUUUAUAUUGCCAAAGUUAUCAGUGAGCUGAGUGGCAAAAUGAAGGGACAUUUCUCCUCCAUUUGGAUGAUACUAAGGGAUGACUACUUGAACAAGCAAGUAGCAAUACAUUUUAUGUAAGUGGGAUGUUCCUUAAUUUCACUCCAAUUUGUAGGCACUAACCUGACAAUCAAAUGAUCAUGAAAAGAAAACUCUUGGUACAAUGGCUCAAAGAGGGUUAAAAAAAAACAAGAAAACCUCUACAUUGUUAUUUCAAAGUAUUUGACUAAAUUUUAGUUACUCACAUCCUUUUUCUUAUUAUUUAUUAUAUUUUUUUUUUAUUAUCCUUAUUUAUUUAUUGUAUAGUUGAGGAAAUCAGUGUUUCUCAACUUUUUCAGCUAAAGUACACCUGUAUGUCCAAAAAAUAGAGUUCAAGUAUUUAAGUACUCCUCUGGACAGGUGCAAGGAUUUUUACUGCUCUUCGCAAGUAUACAAUUUGCCACCCUCUCAUGUAACCCACAUCUGCCUUCAGUCUAUUUUUACUCAUUUUUGCCAGUCUCUUUUUCUUCUUCCUCAAGUCUCUGUUUCUUAAAUUCAUUCUCUCUGAUUUAUGUUGGGCAUGGCUGUGUUCUUCCAUUUCUUACCCCUUACCCACUAUUACGUACCCCUUACCCACAAGUUAUUGCAGUCUCUCUGUGCCAUUUCAUCCUAACUAGCAAAAGACCCCCAACGGUGACAUCACUGCUGGGAGUCCAGUGGCCACAGGAGGCAGGGGAAGUUAUGUUAUAUUUACCAAAAACUGUCCCUCACAGGCGCCACCAUGAUCUUCUGCCCAGUCCGCUUCAGCAUCUGACACUUCAGCUGCUAUGAGUCAAAGUCGGAACUCUACUUUCAUGCAUGUGAUCAAUGGAGGUUCCCAGGAAAUUGCGUUAUCCACCAUUGAUAAAACUUUUUUUCCCCUACAGCAGGGUGACAGAGCCUCUUUAAGACAGCAUUUAUAUAUUAAGAUAGCACUGUACAUAUGUAUAACAGAAAGUUUAUAGUUUCCAUGGGAGGUUUUAGUACAAUCACUUAUUACUUGGAUUGCAGGGUAAGUCACUAAAGUGAGAAUUUUAUAAUUAAUCACAGUUAUUGCACACGCUAGUGUCUUGGAGAGUAGGCUAGUCUUUGAAUUCAUGUUAGUUAAAGGACUAAAACCAGGAGUCUGUUGACAGUAGUACAGCAUGGGGUCAUACGUGAGCAUGUCACAAGUCUCUCAGGAAAUGCCAUUGGCAGAAAAUGUGCAAAGCAUAUGCUUUUGGGUGACAUGUUAGACUUGUCGUGUUUUAUUUCAAUUAUUAAAUAAAGGUAUAAUUUUUAAACAUGCUAAUUGAGGAGUUUUUUUCCCCUCCCUGAGAUAUACAACUGUUUUUAUUUUUGGAGUCUACAAAACAAUGACCUGUUUUGUAAAUCAACUGCACAGAGCGUUAAGCAAUUAAAUUGUUCUAAAUUAUUGCAUUUUAAAUAAUGUUUCUCCAGUAAAUUGUGGGUGGUAUGUUCAGUUCUACCCAAGAUAUGUUGCAUUUAGACUCCUGGGUAAAAGCUACUAUUUGUCUACGAGUUAUUAAUUAAGCUCCUCUAUUGAUAUUAUAGUAGAUAGUUUAUAUUAUCAGUGAGCUGAGUGGCAAAAUGAAGGGACAUUGCUCCUCCAUUUGGAUGAUACUAAGGGAUGACUACUUGAACAAGCAAGUAGCAAUACAUUUUAUGUAAGUGGGAUGUUCCUUAAUUUCACUCCAAUUUGUAGGCACUAACCUGACAAUCAAAUGAUCAUGAAAAGAAAACUCUUGGUACAAUGGCUCAAAGAGGGUUAAAAAAAAACAAGAAAACCUCUACAUUGUUAUUUCAAAGUAUUUGACUAAAUUUUAGUUACUCACAUCCUUUUUCUUAUUAUUUAUUAUAAUUUUUUUUUAUUAUCCUUAUUUAUUUAUUGUAUAGUUGAGGAAAUCAGUGUUUCUCAACUUUUUCAGCUAAAGUACACCUGUAUGUCCAAAAAAUAGAGUUCAAGUGUUUAAGUACUCCUCUGGACAGGUGCAAGGAUUUUUACUGCUCUUCGCAAGUAUACAAUUUGCCACCCUCUCAUGUAACCCACAUCUGCCUUCAGUCUAUUUUUACUCAUUUUUGCCAGUCUCUUUUUCUUCUUCCUCAAGUCUCUGUUUCUUAAAUUCAUUCUCUCUGAUUUAUGUUGGGCAUGGCUGUGUUCUUCCAUUUCUUACCCCUUACCCACUAUUACGUACCCCUUACCCACAAGUUAUUGCAGUCUCUCUGUGCCAUUUCAUCCUAACUAGCAAAAGACCCCCAACGGUGACAUCACUGCUGGGAGUCCAGUGGCCACAGGAGGCAGGGGAAGUUAUGUUAUAUUUACCAAAAACUGUCCCUCACAGGCGCCACCAUGAUCUUCUGCCCAGUCCGCUUCAGCAUCUGACACUUCAGCUGCUAUGAGUCAAAGUCGGAACUCUACUUUCAUGCAUGUGAUCAAUGGAGGUUCCCAGGAAAUUGCGUUAUCCACCAUUGAUAAAACUUUUUUUCCCCUACAGCAGGGUGACAGAGCCUCUUUAAGACAGCAUUUAUAUAUUAAGAUAGCACUGUACAUAUGUAUAACAGAAAGUUUAUAGUUUCCAUGGGAGGUUUUAGUACAAUCACUUAUUACUUGGAUUGCAGGGUAAGUCACUAAAGUGAGAAUUUUAUAAUUAAUCACAGUUAUUGCACACGCUAGUGUCUUGGAGAGUAGGCUAGUCUUUGAAUUCAUGUUAGUUAAAGGACUAAAACCAGGAGUCUGUUGACAGUAGUACAGCAUGGGGUCAUACGUGAGCAUGUCACAAGUCUCUCAGGAAAUGCCAUUGGCAGAAAAUGUGCAAAGCAUAUGCUUUUGGGUGACAUGUUAGACUUGUCGUGUUUUAUUUCAAUUAUUAAAUAAAGGUAUAAUUUUUAAACAUGCUAAUUGAGGAGUUUUUUUCCCCUCCCUGAGAUAUACAACUGUUUUUAUUUUUGGAGUCUACAAAACAAUGACCUGUUUUGUAAAUCAACUGCACAGAGCGUUAAGCAAUUAAAUUGUUCUAAAUUAUUGCAUUUUAAAUAAUGUUUCUCCAGUAAAUUGUGGGUGGUAUGUUCAGUUCUACCCAAGAUAUGUUGCAUUUAGACUCCUGGGUAAAAGCUACUAUUUGUCUACGAGUUAUUAAUUAAGCUCCUCUAUUGAUAUUAUAGUAGAUAGUUUAUAUUAUAGUAAUAUGCUAGCUGCGUUGCUGGGGGUGCAAAACUAAAAAUAAUGUAUCCAUCAGAUAUGUAAAUGAUAAAUGCAUUGCCUUUGAAAUGUUUUUGGAAUUUUCAUUUUCCUCUGAUUUUCAUUUACUUUUACUCUUUGAAUCGUAGCCAAAUAUCUUCUCGCCGGUAAUUUGUGGAUGCAUUUGGUAUGUUAUUUUAAAAGGGUCUUUCAGGCUCAGCUUUUGUUCUGCUUUGUAAAGAACAUGCUGGGACUUGUGUAGUUUUUGAUCACUGUGGGUUCCAAGACUUCAAUUCUAAAAGAUCUGAAAAAGAUUGAGAUAAUGUUGCAAAAGCGACAGCAGCCAUUAAAAACAGUAAUGCACAAUAAAACUAUUCUGUAAAAAGUCACGUUUAUAGGCUAUUAGGGCAGUGCACAAUGCCUUGCCACCAGGUUGAUACUUAGACUGCAGUGCCAUAAAUACCAAUCAGAAAGUGCUUAAUGUGUACGAAGGGAUUUGUAUAGUUUUGGGUUUGUGUGUGCAUAUAACUAUAAUCUGAAAAUCCUCCAUAAAGCUGUCUGAAUAUGCAGAUAUCAUUUCUCAAGAAUAAAGAAUAAAAGAUUUCAUCAGUUCAGGCAAAAAGAUUAGUGAGUUUUUUCCCAUUAAUUAAAUAUUGCUCUUUUCGUACAGCUAUCAUCAUACGCAAAAAGCUAUCAUAUUCGAGCUGUGAUCACAUCUACUUUGUAGAAUUUUGAUGAUCAAAUAUCUUCUAGGGUUUGUUGGAAAUUCCUAAUUAAAAUGAUUGCAUUACAAAUAAAAUGUAUGAUAAUUGCAUGUCUAAGUAAUAUGCAAAAAUUAUCCUGGGGGAUGUAAACUAUUUUAGGGAUUUUAGUUAAAGCUAAAUCACCGUAAGGGAGGGAAUGGUCCCUUCAGUAAAAAAAAUAAAUUAAAUAAAAAUAAAAUAAUAUAAUUAUAUAUAUAACAUACAAAAUACUCACACUUGCUCAUUCACUAAACAGCGAUUUCAAAUCUUACAGAAUGUAACACCUCACCUAGGCAAACAAUAAUGGGGGUUUAGUUACAUUAUAUGAUCAUACAUAAUCCUGCCACAAUGUCCAUGUACCCCAUUCUUGGCAGGUCCUACUCUAGCAGCCUAAUUUUGCUAGGUCAUUUUGCUAGGUUUUUGUGGUGGUGGCAUAAAAGUACUUUCAAAUUCGACCAAAAAAGAUGUUGAAUUUUUUUACGGUGUUCGGGAAGCAAAGUUAUGGUUCAAAUCUUAAAGGGUUAUGCCUCUUAUAACUUAUGCUCUUUUGAAAGAGCAAACAUUUCUAGCAGUUUUUCUAGCAAAUGUAUAGUUUUGGAGAAAACACCUAUUUAAAAACAGGUCUUUCUCCCACCAGUCAGUCAAAUCCUCAGCAUAUACCCUAUCUUGAAGAAUUGACUGACAAGGAAAAGCAGAAAAGACCUUCCAGAGGUGCAUGUGUGGUGCAAAUUACAGAGCUGGAUUGGUGGUAUGGUGAUCCUAUCUUGAAAUUUUACAUAUAAUACAUCAUGUAUAUGUGAUUCAUGAUGUAUUUUAUGCAUGUGGAAGGAAUGCAUCUUAACUUUAAUUACCCAUGGCAGGUAUAGUUUAAGCCAGCCACAUAAGCUAUUCUGAAUGAUUAACACAUUGAAUUUGUAGGUAGCGGCAUAUCAUGAUAGGUAAACAAUGUACACAGGAACAUUAUUUUACCUGCUUCACAGGUGUGAAAAGAGGUCACCAUUAAUGGCUUUAUUGAUUUAGCUGUGGUUUAGGGACAUUUGCAAGGGAAAUUCAAAUAUUAGUCCAACAUAUCUAAAUUAUAAAAAUUCUCUAAAUCUGUUAUUUUUUCUGGUUGGCUGUUUUGACGUAACAUUUGCAGUUCCUUUGACAAUCCCAACUUGGUUUUUUUUACAAAUAAUUUUAAUAUUAUAAUCUUCUCUAUUAGGGCAAUAACAGUUUAGUUUUUAUGUAAUACAUCUAAAAACAAACAAACAAAAAAACAGAAAAUAUAUUUGAAACUUUAAAUGGAGACACUUUAUCUUUGCUUGUAGAAUCAGUAGCAAUUCAUGUUAAAUCAGGUCAUGGUAAAUGGCACAUAGACUGGCAACAUCUAAAUGUUAAUUGUGAUGCAGUGAGUUAUGGCCUUAUGGCAUUUGAAUUUCUCCACUUCAUUUCUGCUAGCAUUACAUUUUGCCAUCCCAUUUCAUUCUAUACACUUCUCUUCUGAUGACUGAAUUGCAAUUUCUUAAAUUUUAUGAUUUUUCCAGACCCUUUGCUUUUUCACUCCAAUGUUUGCCUUUUUACAUCUCCUCUACCUCUCCCCUCUUCCUUAACAAGAUUAUCUCCCCCAGCUGUGCCUGUCACUACAGAGCCUCAAGUAAUUGACACAGCAUAACAGAGCACACCCAAUGACUAAUUGAGAUACUGCUGAUACCAGAAUAUGUAAAGUAAUUGGCAUCUAAAACUACCAAGUAUAUAUGCCAUGGGACUGGUUUUGCAUGUGUGAUGUCUAAUUUGAAAACAAGUUUACACUUCAGUUUUUCUAAUUGUCUGUGCCUCUGCAUAAUGCAAUAUUAAAUUGUUCAGAGGGAAAACUUAAAUUAGUACAUUUGGUGCAAAGAAAGAAAAAUUCAAAUCCUCCAUAUUAUUCAUGCUCAGGUAUUCUCUAAAGUGAACACAUUUAUUUUGCAUAAAUUUAUAAAAGAAGGGCUGAAAAUGUAUUUAUUUAUAUAUAUAUAUAUAUGUCAUCACGUAGACCGUUUUCAACCCUUUCUGCUUAUCUAUGUAUCAGUGUUUUAUUUCAUCUAUUUUUCAUGGAAUAAGUAUCUUUGUCUCUGUGCUUCUUGUCCCUUUAUCUCCUUCUGUUUGCAUGCCACUAAUCUCCCAUUUUUAUGUCUUUUAUCCUAUAUCUUUCUUAUUUUAUCUUUCACUGUGCUGUGCUGCCAGGCCUUUAAAAGGACACUAGAGGCACCCAGAUCACUUCAUCUCGUUGAAGUGGUCUGGGUGUAAUAAUCUGAGAAACUGCAAUAAUUACCUCCACUGCAUGGUUAAUAUUACCUCCAGUGGCUGUCAAUCAGCCAGCCACUAGAGACACUUCUUGCUUGUUAGGCGACCUUUGGUCGCCUAACUGAUGCUGGAUGUCCUCAUGCUCUGCACCUCCUCCAAGGUCACUUGAUGGGAGGUGGAGCGCCAACCCAGCUCUGAAAAGAUCAGCGCUGGAAUCAGGUAAGUGCAGUAAGGGUUUAUUAACAAGGGGAGGCGCAAAAGAGCCACUGUGCUAGGAAUACAAUUAUGUAUUUCUAGCACUAUAGUAUCCCUUUAAGUGUAAAGAAGGGUGCAGGGAGGUAGUGCCUCCCAGUAGUGUUGUUCUCAGUUCCAAGGCAGUAUAGGGAAUAAGAAGAGAGAACGUUAUAUAGUGUAAUAUAUUACAAAUUCCAGUUAAACGCAGAAAAAUGAAAUGCACUUACAAUUUUCUUAAGCUUAUAUUCAGCUUCAGAUUUAUGCGUGUGGACAGAACAAUCCCUGUCUAUGGAUAUAGUGGUGAUCCUUGUGCUUGUUUGCAGAUGUUUUUCCACAGUGUUCUUAGUUGUUGUACCGCAGUCUGGCAGUCAGAUGUCCUCAGUAUACAGGAGAGGGAAUAAACACAGAACAGAGUUCCCUCUGUAUGUAUUUUAAACGAUAAAAGCAAAUUAAAAAGAGGUAUACUCAGAAACGAAGAGCAAAUAUAGGUAUUGCUCAAUCCAAUAGGCAGAGGUGGUAUAAUCCCCACCAAGGAUAUCGCUGCAUGAGUACACCCAUUAAAGGACCUCUAUAGGCACCCAGACCACUUCAGCUCAAUUAAGUGGUCUGGGUGCCAGGUCCCUCUAGUGUUAAAUAUAUUAACAAUAGGUGUGGAAUAUGUGGCGCUGAGUAAUUAAUGUGAACAGUAUAUUUUAGCUGCUGUUUACACUCUAUGGGUACUCCUAAAAGCCCACCAUACAAAGAUAAACACCAAAAGACGAAAAAGAUUUCAGAUCUAAUGGGUGUUACCACCCCUCAGGUCUUCUAUCUUUAAUAAUUUUAAAGCUUGCAAUAAUUUGUUCUUAUCCAAUUUUUUAUUUUCUAGAAAGAUAUUUUUAUACUGUUUUUAUAUAUAUUGUAAUAAAUUCCCUUAUUUUAUACUAUCCACUAUAUCCAGCACCAGUGAUUCCAGGGAAGGGGCAGUGUCACCCCACAAACUGACACUAGGCCUAUACACUUAGAGCCAGUUACCAAAAGGCUCUAAAUAAGGUGAGCACUUCAAUUUGUUAUUUAUAAGAAAAUAUCAUAGAGGAUGCUACACUUAGUUGGAUAAUUCUGUGUCUUUCAUAUAUACGCUGGGGAGAGAAAAAAUACACACUUAACCUGGAGAGAGGGGUCGUGUGAUCUACCCUUAAAGACACAGAUGCACGAAAGUUUAGAGCCUAAUUCACUUGAAAAGGCUCUAAAAAAUGUGAGUGGAGAUAUAUAUGUUACCCACUAAACACUUCACUAAAGUAAUAGAUAUACUGCACAAUUAUCUGUAUAUAUUUCUGUUUCCUUUUGUAUAUGUAUUACAUUGGAGAAUAUAAAGGAUAAUUGCCUUUGAAUCACAGGUAAUUCACUGUGUUUUCACACACUACACAGCGCUGCACUCAUAAAGAUAGAAGACCUGAGGGGUGGUAACACCCAUUAGAUCUGAAAUCUUUUUCGUCUUUUGGUGUUUACCCUCUAGUGUUAAACCUGCAGAUGUAAAUAUAGCAGUUUCAGAGAAACUGCUUUGUUUACAUUAGGGUUAAUCCAGCCUCUAGUGGCUGUCUAAUCGAUUUUCACAGUGAGAAGAUGCUGACAUCCAUAGGAAAGCAUUGAUAUAUGCUUUCCUAUGGACUGAUUGAAUACUUGCGUGGCUCUUGCCACGCAUGCGCAUUUGGCGGAUGACAUCGGAAGAGGGAGGAAAGUCACCAGCGCAGAGGGAGCCCGGCGCUGGAGAAAUGUAAGCAUUUAACCCCUUCCUCCCCCUUUAGCCCGGCGGGAGGGGGGCCAUGAGGGUGGCGAGUUUGUUUUCCUGGCACUAUAGUGGUCCCUUAAGUGUGAUUGCACUAGAAUAUUUAAUCACUCAUAUCCCAGGGUAAUCUACAAUGAUUCCCUGCAGCACAGAUUGACCCAGAAAUCAUUCAACAUCUAUAGUUCUUCUGCAAUUCUUAUCAACUCCAGGCUUGAGCACACAGUUCAAAUGCCCACCUGACAUACAGAUCCAGCAGUGGGAAGUGUGGGAAUACUGCAUUUACAGAUGGUGGAUCAGAUAUGCAAGACUAGCGAGUGAUAUAUUUGACCCUCCCGUCUAAUGUAUAUUGGUCAUGUGUAAAUGUAGUUCUAUAGGUUAAAUGAUUGUGCCAUUAUUCAGUUCCUCUCUAUAUGUAUAUGGUCUGUAUAUGUUUAUUUAAUAUGAUAAACAAAAUGUUAUGCUAAGAUGUGCUAGACUCCAUAAGGACCUUCUAUGGUCCUUAAGUCUUUAAUUGGACAGCCAUUUGCCAUUUAGUAUGCAUUAUUUUAAAAUGUGGUACUGUUUUGACCACCUUGAGUCUGUUCACUCCUUUAUCUGAAGAUGUCAGGAAAUAUCAGCUAUGAACAAGACAGCAGGAAUGUAUUAAUACGGAUGAAUAAUCAUGUAGGUCAAGUCUGUCCUCAGUGAAACAAGAUUUGGAAAGGUGACAGGUCAAUUAAAAAAACAACAACACACCAUUCAAUCUCAUUAGCCACUUUAUUCAAUGAAGCUAUUUAAUAAAGAGUAGGAACCACUUUGGCCCCCAGAACUGACUGAAAUUUGUCAUAUAUAGGUUAGAUUUUGGCAGUAUUCCUCAGUAAUGUUAGCUCAUUUUGACAGCAUUAUACAAUUCUUGCAUGUGUUUUGUUACACUUUCAUGCUGAAACCCUCAUCCAAAAUGUGUACUAUUUAUCCCUAGGUGAUGCUGGAUUGUUCAUUACUUGAAGUGAACACUAGCUCACACCAACAAUACUGUGGACUACCACAGUAUUGAUACUUAUUGUUGAAUUGGAUUGUAUGCUCUAUAUAAUGUAUAUAAAUAUGUAAUAAAAAAAAGUUGUUUUGUAAUUUUGAUAUAUUUAAAGAUUGCUACUUGGAAUUUAAAAAAAAAGAGAGAGAGAGAGAGAGAGAGAGAUGCACUCUCAGGACUUUUAAAUAGUUCAAUGAGAAUUUAUUCCAAAUAAAGGUAUUGCAUCAAAUACGAUCGAUGUUUCAACCCAUUCGGGUCUUUCUCAAUAUAUACAGUAUGUAUAUAUAUAUAUAUAUAUGUAUAUAUAUAUAUAUAUAUAUAUAUAUAUAUAUAGAGAGAGAGAGAGAGAGAGAGUAGAUUGGAUAAGCCGUAUCGAUCCAGUAGACAAAAUGCCAAAAUACCAGAGUAUUUGCAAUGAUACCUUUUUUAUUGGACUAACAUAAUAUUUCAAAGACAAGCUUUCAAGAGUUUUUCUAUCUUCUUCAGGUCUGAAGCAAUACUGAUAGAAAUCUGAUAGUGAAAGGUGCAGGUUGGCUGAGAAUAGCCAAAAUAAAAGUAAAUAAACACAGUCAAUAAGCUAGUUGGAAAAAAAAAGACAAAAAAGAGAGAAGAAAAACAAGAAAACAGCAGAACAGGGCAUUCAGGUAAGUAGCUGCAUAGAUGUAUGUAUACAGGGAGUGCAGAAUUAUUAGGCAAGUUGUAUUUUUGAGGAUUAAUUUUAUUAUUGGACAACAACCAUGUUCUCAAUGAACCCAAAAAACUCAUUAAUAUCAAAGCUGAAUAUUUUUGGAAGUAGUUUUUAGUUUGUUUUUAGUUUUAGCUAUGUUAGGGGGAUAUCUGUGUGUGCAGGUGACUAUUACUGUGCAUAAUUAUUAGGCAACUUAACAAAAACAAAUAUAUACCCAUUUCAAUUAUUUAUUAUUACCAGUGAAACCAAUAUAACAUCUCAAUAUUCACAAAUAUACAUUUCUGACAUUCAAAAACAAAACAAAAACAAAUCAGUGACCAAUAUAGCCACCUUUCUUUGCAAGGACACUCAAAAGCCUACCAUCCAUGGAUUCUGUCAGUGUUUUGAUCUGUUCACCAUCAACAUUGUGUGCAGCAGCAACCACAGCCUCCCAGACACUGUUCAGAGAGGUGUACUGUUUUCCCUCCUUGUAAAUCUCACAUUUGAUGAUGGACCACAGGUUCUCAAUGGGGUUCAGAUCAGGUGAACAAGGAGGCCAUGUCAUUAGAUUUUCUUCUUUUAUACCCUUUCUUGCCAGCCACGCUGUGGAGUACUUGGACGCGUGUGAUGGAGCAUUGUCCUGCAUGAAAAUCAUGUUUUUCUUGAAGGAUGCAGACUUCUUCCUGUACCACUGCUUGAAGAAGGUGUCUUCCAGGAACUGGCAGUAGGACUGGGAGUUGAGCUUGACUCCAUCCUCAACCCGAAAAGGCCCCACAAGCUCAUCUUUGAUGAUACCAGCCCAAACCAGUACUCCACCUCCACCUUGCUGGCGUCUGAGUAGGACUGGAGCUCUCUGCCCUUUACCAAUCCAGCCACGGGCCCAUCCAUCUGGCUCAUCAAGACUCACUCUCAUUUCAUCAGUCCAUAAAACCUUAGAAAAAUCAGUCUUGAGAUAUUUCUUGGCCCAGUCUUGACGUUUCAGCUUGUGUGUCUUGUUCAGUGGUGGUCGUCUUUCAGCCUUUUCUUACCUUGGCCAUGUCUCUGAGUAUUGCACACCUUGUGCUUUUGGGCACUCCAGUGAUGUUGCAGCUCUGAAAUAUGGCCAAACUGGUAGCAAGUGGCAUUGUGGCAGCUGCACGCUUGACUUUUCUCAGUUCAUGGGCAGUUAUUUUGCGCCUUGGUUUUUCCACACGCUUCUUGCGACCCUGUUGACUAUUUUGAAUGAAGCGCUUGAUUGUUCGAUGAUCACGCUUCAGAAGCUUUGCAAUUUUAAGAGUGCUGCAUCCCUCUGCGAGAUAUCUCACUAUUUUUGACUUUUCUGAGCCUGUCAAGUCCUUCUUUUGACCCAUUUUGCCAAAGGAAAGGAAGUUGCCUAAUAAUUAUGCACACCCUGAUAUAGGGUGUUGAUGUCAUUAGACCACACCCCUUCUCAUUACAGAGAUGCACAUCACCUAAUAUGCUUAAUUGGUAGUAGGCUUUCGAGCCUAUACAGCUUGGAGUAAGACAACAUGCAUAAAGAGGAUGAUGUGGUCAAAAUACUCAUUUGCCUAAUAAUUCUGCACUCCCUGUAUACAUUGAUCCAAUAAAGAACUAUAUAAGACAUUAAGAUGUGUGUUUUUAUAAAGUUUUGGUAGUGUGCGAGAAAGCCAUUGUCUACAUUAAGCCCUUCAUUUCUGGUGUUGAAAUGUGUGAUCAUUUUCAUCUCAAAUGUCUUUCGUUCGUGAGAGUUAUGAGUUCCCUUUAAGAACUUUAAUCCUGAGGUUUUGGAUGGAGUGACCAGUCUGGGUGUAGUGAUGACCAACAGGGGUACAUUAUCCGUUUUCCUUGUGGUUUUUGAUAGAGUGUCUGUAUAGAACCAUUCUGAGAUGUAGCUUAAGGCCAGUUUCUCCAACGUAGCAACCUUUGUCACACAUUGUACACUGUAUCAUGUGCACCACAUUUGCAGAUGUGCACGAAUAUGAUCCCUUAAUGUUGUAUGAUUUGUUACUGUGUCUGGCUGUGUUAUUGCCACAUAUAUGUUGACACACUUUGCAGAGUGAUUUGUUGCAUCGUACAGUGCCAUUCUGUGUGAGCUCCUGUUCUGUGGUCAAUUUGCUUCGGAACAAUCUCUGUCUCAGGUUAGGUGUUUGUUUGAAUGCUGGUAUGGGGGGUUCAGGAAAUAUUUCUCUGAAAUGAAUGGUUGUAGCACUUUAAUAAUUUUACAUACUCCUUCUAGAGCUGGGUUGUAUGUAACUACUAGAGGGAUUCUUGUUUUGUUUUCCUUUUCUUUGUAUUGUAGGACCCUUUCCCAUGGUGUUUUUAAGGCAGAUUUUAUUUUAUUUUUUUAGAUAUUUUCCUUUCCUUGUAGCUCUUUUGCCUAAAUGACUCUGACAGGGUACUCAGGUGCUGAUCUCUGUCUUUUGUGUCAGAGCAAAUAUCUGAUAGCCUGGCUGUAGAUGCAGGAAGGUAGUGACGACAAAUAACAAUACAGGACUCAUUAGAGGCCCUGUAAUUGUAAUGGGUCCACUUGAAAUCCUUUAACUCUGAUCUAUUGGAGGGAGGUCUUGUGCAGAGCCACUGACCCGUGGGUGCUGCAGCUGAAACUCCACUAUCUCCUGCUGCUGCUCGCAUAGUCUCAUGAGGCAGUGAGCGGGAAGGCCAAAGUUAUGCUGCAGCGCAGACAAGUGAGCAGCAGCAGGGUGAGAAUGCCAAAAGCACGCACAGCUGCUCAGUGAAUGUCACAUCCUGUUCCAAGUUGCGGGUCAGUCUGGUGAUGGCUUCUGCUAUCCAGUACUCUUUCUACUGAAGCUGCAUCAGGGUCCUGGUAUGUGGCCGCACAAACGCUGGUGCUCAACACCAGGAGGCAUGCGGUUACCCUGCACCAGACCCUGCUAAUCCAUUCCACAUUGUGACUCCUAACUUCAACAUCAGGCAUCAGGCAUACUGGGUCCCAGUCACCGGACUGCCCACCUGACUGUGAAACUAUGAAUGGAUCGUUAAAUCUGGUACGAACCCGAACUUUGCGGGUUCGCUCAACUCUAUCAUGGAUUCUUUGAUCGCUACAUGUAUUACUUGAAUAACUGGUAAUUCGCAAGCUAAAACAUGCCGAUGAGUGCUAUGGUACGUCCGAUCUGCUUUUGCACCCUGCUCCCUCUUAUGCUGCGCUGGUGCCUCUGUGCGACCAGCGCCUCUUCCUCCAAACUGCAUGUCACUCGCAUGACCUUGAUUCCAUGUGGGGUCUAGGACCUCAUCAUCCUCCACCCACGCCUCAACCCUGCCCUCUUUGCUGGUAUGCACACUGCAGAAAGCCACAGCAGUUGGCACCUGUGUUUUUCUAGCAUGUAAAGUCUGCAAAGGACAUAUGGAAAUUGCUUUAGAAUUGUAUCCAGGCAACAGUUUUCCCUAUAAACUGACCUCUCAGUUUGACUUGUGAGGGUAUUGCCUCAGAAUUACAAUAUUGUUUACCUCUUAGCUAUUGAUUAGAAUGUUUACCACUGCACUGUAAGCACACUAUUAGAAGGCUUCUAUUUGACUCUCAGAUAUGAAGUGCACUCCCCAAAAUGUACUAUUUAGCAGAUUAGCACCCAGAAAAUAAGAAUGUUUACCACUGCGCUGUAAGCACACUAUUAGACGCUUCAAAUGUACUAUUUAGCAGAUUAGCAGCAAAACAAUUAGAAUGUUUACCACUGCGCUGUAAGCACACUUUUAGACGCUUCUAUUUGACUCUCAGAUAUGAAGUGCACCCCACUAAAAUACUAUUUAGUAGUUUAGCACCCAAAAAAUUUAAAGUUUUAAAACUGCAAUGUGACAGCAGUAGCUGACGAUUCUAUUUGACUCUCAGAUAUGAAGUGCACCCCACUAAUGUACUAUCCCACUAAUGUUCUAUUUCGCACCAAACAAAAUUGACUUUUUAAAACUCCGAUGUAACCGUGGUAUUUGAAGCUUCUAUUUGACUCACAAAUGUGAAGUGCACCCCACUAAUGUACUAGUUUGCAGAAUUCUUUCCUAAGCUGUCCCUCACAGCUGCAGCAUCCUCUCCCUAUAAGACCUCAUGUACGUGCGGCACUCCAGCUUAUAUAUAGAGGGUCACAUGCUGCACUGGCCAAUCACAGCCAUGCCAUUAGUAGGCAUGGCUGUAAUGGCUUCUAAGGGCACACGAAUCAAAUGAUUGUUGAUUGGCUGCCCUGCACCCUUUGAAAAUGCGCCAUUAAAUCACCGAACACCGAACUCCAACCCGAACAUACAGUGAUAUGUCCGUGUUCGGGUCCGGGGUCCAAAAAAAACGUAAUGUUCGGUACAAACCCAACUUUACAGACCGGGUUCGCCCAACUCUAGUUAAUGGCCAUUUGUCUUGUUCCAGUAUCAUAUACAAAGGAAAAAACAUUAAUAUUUACCCAUAGAAUAAUAAUUAAGCCUCAUUUUUGUUUUAUUUGGAAUGUGACAAGCGCCCUCUUCUAAACAAGCCCAAACAUGAUUGUCAUAACUUCCCCAUUGGGGAAGGAAUUGUGAUGUCUGCCAUAUUGGAUCGCAAGUACGGCGUGCAACAUAUCUUUAGAAUGGGAAAAUAAUAACAAAUCUGUAGAUGCAAUUAUUAUUUCUGUGGCAGGUACAUAAGAAAAUAUAGAACAAAAUGUUUCCAUUUGGAUUGAUGUUGGUCUGGAACACGAGGGGGUGGUCACUCAUUAUCUCCAUAGAUACUCCUUAACUCCACCUCUAGACCAGGCAUGGUAAUGCACAGGGUAUAUAUUAAAUGAUACUGAAAUGUCUUAGUACUUGUUUGAGGCCAAAAUCUAAUUUUGAGUAAGUCACCAUCUUCCUUGCCGGAGACCCCCAUGGCAGAAAUUUUACUUUUAAAACCUAAGUGAGUAAGUGUUUAGGACUCUCUCUCUCUCUCUCUCUCUAUAUAUAUAUAUAUAUAUAUAUAUAUAUAUAUAUAUAGAUAUAUGUAUUACAGUUAAUUUGUUUAUAUGCUUGGGAAUACAAAUAGAUUGUUUUAUAAGAAAGUACAAGUAAGAAUAAUUGGUACACUCUGACCAGAUUCAUCUGGGCUGGUAAUGUUUCAUCCGACUUCAGUUUUGGAAUUGUUGGCAUAAUUUUACCAAUGUAGCAUUAUCAUCAUGUUUUAUAAUCAAACUCUGUGUGGUCUUCUAUUGCAGUAGCCCAUCUACUUCAAGGUUCAGUGCAUUGUGUGUUCAUUGAUGCCGUUCUACACACCAGUGUUGUAGAACGUGGUUUAAUGCCUUUCCUGCAGCUUGAAUGACUUUGGCCUUUCUCAUUAACAUAGUGUUUUGCCCAGAGAACCACUGAUCACUGGACUGAACUGCUGAUCACACCAUUUUCUCUAAAUGAUAGAAACUGCAGUAUGUGAAGAUCACAGGAGGUCAAUUGUUUUUGUGAUGCUGGAACCACUUAAUGUGUAUUUCCCAGUCUAUUGCUUGCCUGAACAACUACCAAAAGCUCUUUACAAUAUCCUUCUUGCAUCAUAUGCUGAGUUUCAAAAACAUCAUUCCCUGAUUUCACUGAUAGUGCUAUUAAAUAUUCCUUCAGUUUGCACCAGCCUAAUGACACAAAAACACCUUCAGUGACAAUGUUACUUUUACCUUAAAAAAAUAAUUUAUUCUGGAACUGUGUAUUGUGUUAUUUCUUUGUAAUGCCUUUUUGUAUGUUACAUAGAAAUGUUUAUAAGAGAACAGUUUGAUAAAGUUUGAUAUAGACCCGGUAGGGUCGAAACGUUGCUUUGGCCCCAAUAAAGCUGGAAAGCUGCUAUUUUUGUUAUCACUGAGUGUCUGAACCAUUAUUUAUUCUGCAUAUCUUGUAAGGGAGGCAUGGCCAGCCCUGGCUUCAGAGCACCUAGGCUAUUUGGUGGGUACGUCUCUACUAUAAGAGAACGAGUGGCAUAUUAUUAUCACUGUUAUUAUUAUUAUUGUUCUAGUAAUCUUAUUUGCAUAUUUAUAUGUUAUCCAUUUUUAAGUGCAAGUCAUGUUCCUGUCUUACUAUAGUAGUAUGUUUACAGUCUGUCUUAAAUAAUGGAUAUAUAUUUAAAAAAAUAAAAAUGUGUAUAUAUAUAUAUAACCAUCCACAAAGUCCUUGCACUCCAGCUCCAAAAGUCACUCAAACCGGGUGCUCAAAAUCAGGGGAAAUGUUACAUACCAGUAUAUGGUGAUUAGCACUCACGGAUUUCCAAAAAUCAGAUUAAAAAAGAAAGUUUAUUAAUCCAUAUAUAAAAAGGCUAUUUCGACGUUUCAGUCCUCUAGUGGGACUUUCUUCCUGAAUUCUAACAACAUGCAUGCACAUUGAGAUUAGUCUAUAAAGUACAAUUCUGGAAAUAUUUUAAAAGUUAAUCAAUCAGCAAGAACAUCCCAUUAUUUUCCGUGGAGGUUGGCUCACUUUAAAAACAUUACAUUUUGUGUUACAAUCUUUUUCACGCUUACCUCACUCAGGAUGGAUCAAGUUUGCUUUUCUACAGAUGAAUUCCUUACAUUAUUCUAUAUUAUUCCCCCUCACAUCCCACAGCUUUUAAGGUACACUAUAGUCACCAGAACAAAGAACUACAGCUUAUUGUAUUUGUUCUGGUGAGUAAAGUCUAGCCCUGCAAGCCUUUUGCUGUAAACACUGUCUUUUCAGAGAAAAAGCAGUGUUCACAUUACACCCUAGGGACACCUCCAGUGGGCACUGAACAUUCCUCAUAGAGAUGCAUUGAUUCAAUGCAUCUGUAUGAGGAGAUGCUGAUUGGCCAGGGAGGCAUUUGGUACUGCCCCUGGCCUGCCUCCUUAGCUGAGAUCAUCAGAAUUGGCAAUCUCAACCAAUCCAAUGAUUUCCUAUGUAAAAGCAUUAUGAUUGGCUGAGAUCAUCACUUCUAUGCCAGCACCAGCAGACUGGACUAAAGAUAAGAUUUUACUAUAUUUAAGGGGACAAAGGGGAGCCAGGGGGGCUAGAUAGUGCUUUAACACUAUAGGGUCAGGGAUACAUGUUUGUGUUCUUGACCCUAUAGUGUUCCUUUAAAUACAAAAACUCACCUAUUCAUAGACACAGACCACCCUUCUAAUUGCCAAUAUAGAAUCCUAUAGUCAUAAUAAUGUUUUUCAUCCAUCCUCUAUGUUAGCCAUAACUUCCUACCAUAUAUUACCCAUCUCUUUUUGUCCUUAUCACUCUAUCAUCCUUCUAGAUUGCAAUCUCACAAGAACAAAGCCCGUUAUCCUUCUGUACCAGUAUAUGUGUAUGUUAAAUGUUUAAGUAUUAUCUGUUAAAUACUGACUUUCCGGUAACCCUGUUAUAUCGUACAUCAAUAUAGAACCUGCUGGCACUCUAUAAAUAAUAAUAAUAUCGUAAUGUUACAAAUUUUUCAUAAGUACUAUAAUUCUCAGGCUUUAUUAUACUUUUUAAAUUCAUGUACAUUUAUGUUUAUUUCAAAUAAAAAAUAGCUGUUUAUUUUAAACAAGCAUAUAUCUUUAAUAAGAAACUGACAACGGUGACUUUGUUAAUAUAACAUUUUUGUCAGCAUAAAAUAAAAUCAAUAAAAUACACAUACGUGUUCUAAUUGAAGCUAUAAAAUUGCAUGAAGAAAUGGUUUACCUUAUAUAUGUAUUCUGAUUUUAACAUAUUAUUUAUAAAAAAAUAUUGACAAGCUAUCUGACAAGUAAUAAAAAAGAUGAUUGAGGAGUCUUUGAGAGCAUAUACAAAAUUGAAAGUCUCUGCAGUUUUACAUUUAAAAGCUACAUUAGUAAAUUAGCCAUAAAGCUUUCUAAAUUGCUAACACUGACAAAUAUUUAAAUUUUUGUUCCUGGAAAACCAUUCAACAGAGAAUAACUUUGUCAUCUACUUAAUGCAAUGUCCACUAAUCAUGUACAACACCGUAUACAGUAUUAGGCUCUUUGUUCUUUUAAUUACUGCUUAUACAAUUUAUUCUACAUGUCUCAAUCUAAAGUUAUACCAUCAGAUGUGGCUAUUUAUGUUUUACAAAGACUAUCUCCAGACUUGUCCAUGGGCAUCAGGGGGAGCUUUACUUAUAAAAAGCUUUCUCACACCACCAUUAUCUGGUCUUCAGAUCCUGGCAGAUGAAGCCUCAUAUUUAUUUUCUUAUGGAUGAGUACAGAAUGAGCAUCUAUGAAAGAUCCUUCAUAGAUUAUUAUAGACUUAAUUUGCUCAUUGUAUGAGGAGUUGCUUGUUCCCAUCAACUGGCAAUUGAUGACUGAUGGGAAACAGUGAGAUCAAAUGGAAACUGAAGCAAUGCAUUUUGCCAAAUGCCAAAAAUGAGUACAUCCAUAAAACCAAAUAGGACCUACAUUAUUUAAUUUUUCAUUUUCAUUGCAUUGAAAGUCCAGCAAAAUUUGAAUGCAAUGUAUAUUUGUUUUUCCUAAACAUUCAAAUAAUUAAUAAGAUAAGACUGAAAACACUAUACAAGGUUCAGAGGCUAAACGAGGUUCCAAUUUUAGUUUCCUGGCUUUCCAGAGCAGGACGCAAACUCAAAAUUGAAGUCAGGGCUCUUAGGUAAGAGACAGACAAGCUAAACUGCACUUUUUCUGUUAUUGUUUAUUACAAUCUAUCCUUCUGAAUGUGCAAAGCAACAUUUCGACCAGUGUGGUCUUUAUCAAGCUUGAUAAAGACCACACUGGUUGAAACGUUGCUUUGCACCUUCUGGUGACAAUAAAUUGCCUGAAAUUGAACCUUUGGAGUGCCCUUAUCUUUUCUUUUGAAAUAUUACAUUUGGGAUUUGGUGCUGAACCAGGAUCUGGUUGCACCCUGGUUCUAAGGUUGGACGAUUGAGUGCAGUUCCUGUGUUACAUUGAGGAUUAGCACUAACAAUAAAAUUUUAUUUACUUUUAUUAUAAUUUAUUAUAACUUCUGCCUAACUCUUCACACUAACUAGCCCUUACAUGGACCCUAAUUACCCCAAUACUAAUAAGCCCCUAAACUCAGUGCCAACAUUAAGACCUAUCACUUUAAUAUUUCUAAAGUUUUAAGAAUAAAAAACUACUACAAAGUUGUUUAAAUUAAGCUUGACCUUUAGAACAUUAGAUUUUAAAUGUAACAGUUUUAGUAGAAACUCAGGAGAAUAAGUCCACUGUAUUUGUAUCUGACUACAUUAUCCAGAUGGGCCUUAAUUCUAAGUAGAAUUUUAGAGUUCUCCGAUGUCUUUCCUCUGAAAAACAAUACAUAUUUUAUGGGUCACUUUAACACCUUCCCCUCUCUUUGUAUGAACGCUAAAACUGAUUAUACUGAAGUGACUUGAAAAUGUAAACAUGGUAAAUAUGUAAAUAGGGUAAAUGUGGUUUGUGCUAAAUUUUAAUAGACAAUAAUUACUUCAAUAAUCCAUUAAAUUAAACAAAUGUACAUUUGUCUAGCCCUUGUUAUAAAUUAAAAUAGCACUGCAAAGUCAAUGUAUUGAUAAAUGAAUGGCUAUAUUCUGGAUGCGUCUGAAUUAAUAUUUUCUGAAACGUAAUACUGUUAUUUCAAAAGCAAAACUAGAGAUGGAUUUACACAUCAGGUGUCCGUGACCUCAAAAUUCAAGGUGCCCUCUGCUCCCACCUCUAAAAAAAAUCCUAAAUAAAAGAUAAAACAGCAAAUAAAGUGAGUUUAAUGAAUUUCAUAACUGAAAAUUGCAGGCGUAAAACGUCUAAAAACAUAUAUUGAUAUUUGACAACUGCAUUUGUAUGUAUGUGCAGGGCCGGUGCAAAGAAUUUUGGCUACACAGUCGAAGAUGCAUUUUCCUGCCACCACCCAAAUGUGUCAUCACAUAAAAUAAUUUCCAUAACUUUCUCCUAUGCUGGAGAACAUGAUGUGUACCACUAGAAAUGUCUUGAAAAUCAUAUAGGUUGUUUUACAUAUAAUUUGAGAAAUAUCCCUUAGAUCUAUUGAACACUUUACCCAUCUGAGGGAGCUAGCCCUGCCCUGUGACAUGAUGAAGGCUGCCAUGCUACUUGACUUAAUGCAGACACAGACAGAACUAAUGUUCAAUGCAUUUGUUAAUGGUGGAAGGAAACUAUGCAAUAUUGCGUCCCGGUUGACUUCUAACAGCCCAUUGUGGAUUGUGAUGUUAUAAGUGAUAAUGCCUUAUUUUUGCCUUUUACAGUCAUCUUUAGCCUGUAUUCAAUACAUCAAAAAAAGUCAUAUAGGAAGUAUAGGGAAGCUCUGAAACACGAGUGUGAGCCCAUGCAUUGUUAUUUACAUAACAGAAAGCAAGAUGUGUAAGAUUUAUUAUUAUAGAUUUUUGUUUAUUGCGUUGAAGAGCUGCUGUACCAGUAUUUGGUUUUUAUUUUAUUGUUAUAUUAGUUUUAUCUAUUUUGUUGAUGUAUGAUACAAGUUAUUUGCCAUUUUAAAUUAUGUUUAUACAUAUACCAUCCUAUUGUUUUAUUUUAUCACUAAAGAAUUUCUAGAUAUCUUUACAUAAACAACACUCUUAUAAUACCAAGUUCAGUCAAAUCAGUUUUUCUAUACUGCAUAUGUUAUAAUUGUAUAUUAUCUGACCCUUUGUGAUGCAGUUAUUUGGAAGUACAUUAUACGUUUUACGUAGCCUCCUUUCUGAGCAGCAUUUAUGAUUUGGGUUGCAUUACACACAAUCUUUGCUGCUGCUAUUAUUGCACUAAACAUACUGUAAUAGGACCUUCUUCUUCUUGAUCCUUGCUAUUUUAGCAACACCAAGCAACGGAAGUAUUUACAAGAAAAACCCUUGAGCCAGUUAUUUUGUCAGGUAGACUUUACUAGUGCCAUCUGACCCUUGCAACCUCUCCUGUCCAGAAAGUACAAAGAUGGCAGUUGAGACAGCUCAUCAAUAUUAUCAUGUGCCUGAUAUCUCCCAGGGUUCCGUUUAAAAACACCACUGGCAAUUACAGCGAAUAAGUAUUAAACUUUAUGAUGAGGACUCACCUAUAGUAUCAGUCUUCCAUGCUCCUAGGAUCCAUAAAAUCUUAACUUGUUUCAAAUUAUUUUAAUAAUGCAUCGUGCCAGUUAUCCUCUGUGGAUAAUGAAUCAAUGUUAAAUAAAUAAAUAUGGGUACUACUGCAACAAAUAUUCUGGACAUCCAGUGGUAAUACAUACAUGUGCGCAUAUUUGCAUGCAUGGAAACAGACACACAGACACACAGACAUACGCUGUCCUUUUUUUUAGAAUUAAAAUAAAUUUGCUUUCACACUCACAUCACCAAUGAUUUCUAAUAUUGUAAAGGACAAUAAAUGCAAAACAGCUUCCAUAUGUCAUAAUGCUAUUAUCAUUCUAGGCAAAUUUUCUGUAGAAGUAUCUGAACUAAGUAUGUACUGAAAAUGCUCAGAUUUUCUGAAAAAAAAAAGUCUGAUAUACAAUACUUUUUUACGUUUAUUUGGUCGCAUCCCUUAUAAUUUAAAAUGUUUGAUAGCACAGAAGUUUCAUAAGAGGAACCAAGUUAAAAUUAAAUUAAUAUUUAUAAAAUGCUGUAAAAAUUAAAAAAAAAAAAACAUGAUCUGCAUUAUUCAUUUCAGUCAAUAGAAAUAUGAUUAUUUCCUACAUGCAUUGGGGUACUAUUUGACUAAGUCAUAUUUCAAAUAAAAUAUCAAAAAUCAAAAAUAUCAAAAAUAGAAUAGUCACAGUACACUUUCCAUUAUCAAUAUUUUAUAAUCGUAUAUCAUAUAUCAUGGGAAUGUAUGUUUUAAGGCAAUUAAAAAAAAAACAAAUCUUAGCACUCCUGAAUGAUAUUUUUUGACACUAUUAAUUACAUUUCUCCCAGACCUUCAUAAUAAAUUUGGACCUUUCAGUCCAUACUAAAGAUCAUCAGAACAUAAUCACACAUUCUAUUUGCUGUAAACAUUUCUAUAGCCAGAAACUGGAAAAUUCCAUCAGAUGUAACAUGGAUCGAAAUAAUCAGUCAAAUCAAAUACCAGUGUAGUAUGUAACAUUAAUACUACCUCUCUAUUGGACAACCAGAAAAACAAAAAAUAUGUUACCCAUGGGUUAGUAGACUCUACUCUAGAACCUAAACCAUUUCCUUAUUUGGACCUGCUUUUCCUUGCCUGGUACUAGAGAUAUAAUAAUGAUACAAUCCCAUAUGAAUGUUGUAGGUAUGGUAAAACACUACGUAGACUUAUUUAUAAGCAUAAAUAGUAAGUACGACUUGUAAUUUAACCUUGAUUUGCAAUACAUUUGUUAUGCAAAUUAUUAAAUGUAACAAUCUAAAAAGCUUAAAUACUCCAGAUGUAUAAGUCAUGAAAAAAAAAUGUAAAUAAAUAUUUAUAAUUGAAAAAAUAUAUAUUUUAUAAUCAGUUAAACAAUUGGAAAAUAGAGUUACUGAAGCUUUAGUAGAAUUAAACAUGAAUAAACCGGUAAAGGCAACAAUGAUUUAAACUGUUUAAAAACAAAACAAACAAAAAACUAGCAAUCAUAGCUUUAUGUAACAAUAUAAUGAAAUUGAUAUAUUAAUAGCCAUAAUUAGCCAGAUUAUUGAACCACUUUUUUAUAUGUAGAAUGUGUGCUUGGAUAGUGUUGUGUACACUAAAAUUAUAAUAUUGUGAUUUAAGGAAAAAACUGUACGUUAAUAAUGUGUUGAGAAAAUCAUGUUUAUAUUUACUGCACAAGUUGUAAUUUGGAGAAUGGAAAUAAUGGUAGUAGAUGAAUGUUACAUUAGCAUUUUUCAUUCCGAGAUAAAUAUGACAACACUGCAUAAUCUUGCAAAAAUAUUUUCCAGUUCACGAAUUGCUUCUCUUUUAGAAAUAACAUAUUUAAUCAUUGAUACUGUAUCAACAUUUAAAGAAUUGCUGGAUUUUUUUUAUUUAGUUAUUUUGUUUUCUCUUGAGACAUUUCACGCAUUUUAUCAGCUGAAUAAAUUAAGUAAUUCAAAAUUUUGAAGGCUGUUCGGUUUCCCUGUCAAUCCCUAUAGCCUUUGCUUAGGCCCAGCUGCAUGAGUCUGAAAUCGCUCGGCUGGUAAUUAGGUAUUUAUCAGAUUGUUUCUGAAAAGGCAUGAGACGGUUAUCAGACACAAUUAUCUUUUGAAAAUUGAAUCCCCUUUUUAAGCCCUGCUGAGGACAUUCACAAGAAAUGUGAAUGUAUAAAGCUUAAUGGUUUUGAAAGCCCUCUUGCCUUUUUAAGAACAAAUAUAAGUGAAGAGUCAAAAUACCAUCUAAGGAGAAUAUUCGGUACCCUUUUCAGCACUGUAUUUCCUUUUGUUCUCCUGUUAUCAUUUCAUCAUCAUCUAUCCUUUUUUUUAUGAACCAAAUUACGUUUAUCUGUCAGUUCUCCACACAGCCAAAUGUCUAUCAGUCUUAAAGAAUUCUAAGGUCUUUCUUCUGCAAUGAUCCUUAAAAUUAAAGGUUAUUCUUUCUUGGUCCCCGAAACCUUACCCAUAAAUGAAAUUAAUCUAUACUGCUAUCUAUCUUACCUUAGGUGGCUGAAUUGUAACAAACACCAAGUAAUUUUAUAUAACUCUAAAAUACUAAGUAAAAUCCCUCAACUAAUAAAAAAACAAUAGUGGGCAGUUUUAUCUGCAAUAGAAAAUAUAUUAGAGAUGGUAUAAAAAAAAAUAUUUUUUGCAACUAGUUAUGGGUGCUAUUUAUUUAUCAAGUAACAAUAAAAUAUCAUAUCAAUAUUUAUGAGAGUGGGUCGUGUAAAUAUAUAUCCACAUCAAUGUCGAGGCUUAAUAGGUAUAGACUUAAAUGUAAUUGAGUAGAUAGGACACUGUCUAAAAAUGAUAGAUGACAAAGGGCCAUAGUUCUGUGCAUUGAAAUCCAGGAAAUGUUAGCCAUGUAGCUCUUAAGGGGUCAGGAUAAGAGACUAUUAUAUUUAAUAUUGAAAAUUACUAUAAGAUAAAUAGAUGAUAGAUUGAUAAAUACAUAAAAUAAAUGGAUAGAUAGAUAGAGUAAUAUUAUUAGUAUUUAAAGAUAAAGUAACAUAGCGGCCAUACCUGUCUAAAGUUUUUUUUUUUUGGUGCUCAGAGUAUCCCUUUAAGACCUAUUGUUUCAGUUAUGUAAAUGGUUAACAAGUAGUUAGCAAAUUGUAUGAAAACACCUUAGAAUACUUGGCAGUAUAUGAAGAGGCAUUUAUAGAUGAAAAAAAUAUAAAAGCUCAAAGAUAGUACUUAAAUGCCUAAAUACCUAUAGUAGUUAAAUGUCACUUGGAUAAACUAAUCAAUAUACUAAAUAUACAAAAAUUCAUUAGAGUAUGGUAUAUAGGCAGUUGUUUGCUUUUCACUUGGGCCCAAACUUUUUAGAGUCGCUAAUUACACAAAACAUGCAAAGGUGUCUAUUCAAUCCUACAUAUACAUAUACCUGGUUUUAGCCUGACAAAUGUAUAUCCUUCCUGUAUACAUUCCCCAAAAUACCAGCAGAUUUGCUAUCAUUACACCUACUAUAUAUAUAUUGUGGUUGGGGACAAAGACCGAAGGCAAACAAUAAGGUGUGAGCUACACCAGUAAAAGCCAGUUGUGGCGUGAUGAAACCAAUGAACGGGGAUGCCUGAAAAAGAGAACCCACCUAUUGAAAGAGUAUAAUAGGGAGAGGUGGGUGGGGUUCCAAAUAUCAGCAAAAUAUGAGUUUAGUAGCUGGGAGAGGGGCUAGAUUUAGGCCAAUACAAAAACCUCCCAUAACUCCAGGUAUACUGUCAUUACGUUUGUACUGAUUUGCCAAGAAGUCGGAGUUGCAAGGCACUAACUAUGAUUUGGGCCAAGGGUGAAAUACCUCCAUAGUUAAGGAUGAGUGCUGGCCUGGAAAACGUGGUGACCUGGAAAACGUGAAUGCCAAAAGUAUGACACCUAUUUUGACUACAUAGAUAUACACCUGGAAGAUAGAUGAAAGCUAGAAGGCUGAAGUUAAUGGUAAGAAUAAGUGAAGGGGCGUGGCCGAGCCGAGCAUGCGACAGGACGUGUAGUAGUUGAGCUCUGCUCCCCCUUGGCCAUUAAAAGCUAUAAUCUAGUGACCACCUCUCAGAAAAUGGUCCGAAACAAGAAGAUUAACUGCUGUUAUACAAAUGAUAUGUAAAUGCAUAAUGACAGAUAGCAUGGCCAAAAGAGGUUUAAAUAUGAAGCGAGGCCAAACUUAGGGCAAUUAUACUGACCCACAGUGCCUAUGUAGCGUGGCUGAACGUAGGCCAAAUGUACUGAACCAAUGGGAAUAUGUAUUGUGGACGGCUGUAGGCCGAACGUACUGACCCAAAGUGAAUAUGUAGUGUGGUUGAAAGUAGGUUGAAUCUAUUACAUGAUAAUACGGUAAAUAUGUAGUGAAUAUGUUGGGCCAAAUGUACUGAACCACAGUGAAUACAUAUCGCGGCCGAACAAAGGUUGAAUGUACUGAGCUACAGUGAAUAUGUAGUGUGGCCAAAAGUAGGCUGAAGGUACUGAACCACAGUAAAUAUGUAGCAUGGUCAAACAUAGGUCGAAUGUAUAAUGUCAAAGAGAAGAGAACGAGGGGAGAUUGACCGUGGGCCAGGCUCACUACUCCUGAUUGGGUUCUCAUUCACCGAUGCUGAAAGCAGGAAGGUAUAAAUUUGAGCAGGUUUGGAUAACAAUGUCGCCUUAAUAAUAAUUUUAAUUUGAUAUAGAGCAGAUAUAUGAUAUGAAUUGUGAGUAUAUACAUCAUAGCACUAUCACUUGAAUUGUUUAGUUUUGAUACUGUAGUUUUUUUAUUGUGUUUUUUCACAAUGCUCAUACAAAAGAUUAAUUAAAUGCACGUUAAUGUAUUUAACACUAUUUAGUUUGUCUCCCAUGUUAAAAUUAGUGUAGGAUCCAUCGAUAUUGUGAUACUGUGGUGUAGUGAUGGGCGUAACAUGAAAUGGCCAUAUGGUGGAACUGAAUCCCCAUAUUUGUGUGCUGAGAUAGGUGAUUUUAAAUAGUCUUGUAAAAUGUUAAACUGCUUUUUUUGUAUGUGCGCUGUUCCUUAAUCUGCAUGUAGAAAUGUUGGUCUCAACAGCAGCACCAUUAAUGAGAAAUGCAUGUUCCCCUAAUGUUUUCCUUUUUUUAGUUGUAUUUUUAUGACACAGUAAGGGUUAUCUAGUGUAUUGCUUUGCCCAGAAAAGAAUGCCAUUUAAAUAUCAUGUAAUUAUAAAAAUAUUUUAAAAAAGAAAUAGACUUUUUGAUUUAGUUGUGCUAAAAUCCAGCACAUGACAGUUUCUCUUUAAGUGGUUACAGUAAAAUACUUUCAAUGCAAUUAAAUUAGUAGCCUCUAAAGCAACAUUAAUGUAUGUUUGUAUUUCACAGUGAAAACAAACUUUUUCUGCAUAUGUUCAUCAUUUAAUUUAGUCUUAAAUCACUGGAAAACAAAUUAAAGUCUAGUAUUAUGUGACUGCCUAAAUGUAUUUCAGAUACAUGCUUUGCAUAGCUCACACUUUCAGUUGACCUAUAUCCGCAUAAUCUGUCCAAAAUGCUCAGGAACCAAUUUUUAAUUUUUCAGAUUCUAUCAUGAAAAUUCUAUUGAUUAUACAAACAUUAUUUAACAUACUUAAAAUGUCCCACUUCUACUACUAAUGGAUUUCUUGCUGUUCAUAAAUGAAAACUGUUUAUUAUGUCAUUAUGUUGUGAAAUAUAAAUGCACAUUUUAAUCAUUGCUCUAUUAUAUGCUACCUACUUUAUUAAUAAACCAUACAAUAUUGUUCCCUAAUAAGAGAAAGGAAUAUAUUAUUUUAUGGUUAAAACAGUAAAAAAUGGUGAGAGCACAGAGAAACAAUAAUUACCCUUAUAUUCAAUAUAAAACCUGUAAAAACACAAUGGGAAAAACAGGCAUAGGGUAAUAACGUACAAAUAAUAUAUGAAUGAGUAAAUACUUGAAUAAACUCACAUAUUCAUGAGCCACUUAAUAUGGAAGCUGGCUCAGACUAGGAACAUUGAAUGGAUUAGUGAGGUGGUUGUUGUAAUCCAACUGCUUAAUUGCUUGCUCCUUCUUGCUUUACAAAAUCCAGGAUGCAGGAUCUUUAAUGAAAACCUUUAUUCGGUAUAGCAGCAAAAAAGACAGCAGCAGUAAAAAUUAAAUUCAGCAAUUCCACCUCUGCACACUAACGCGUUUCAGCCAAAGCCUUUAUCAAAGUGUGAGUCCAUUCAGUCAGUUCCAUUUUUAAAUAGGCAAAUUUUCGCGCCUUUUUUCGGAAAUAAGCUCCUCCCCUUUUUUUUUUUUUUGCAACUUUAUUGGGCAUCCUAGCAUCCUUAACGAUCUCAAUUUACUUCCAUGUUCAUUGAAGAAAAGGAACAGCGAACUAGUCCAUUCACUUAAACAGUCUUUAUUAAAUCUAUUGGAGAUUAUUUUAGGUUGUUUUAUAUUAAUAAGAUAUUUUUUAAUUCUAAUUUUAGUAAUACUGAUUAAUAUUUUAUAAAUAUUGAUUAUAAUAAGUGUAUUUUAAGUAUGAUGCAUUCUCCCGAUAUACCUUUAAAUGUGAAUAAGAAGAUUUUUCUAUUUUGAUCUUUUAUUUCCCUUUUAAAUUUAUUCCCUCUUCUUUUGCCUCUCUUUUACCUUUUUUUAAUCCUUUUUUUUGAGAAAGAGAGAGUUUAACUGUUGCUAAUAUUCUACGUAUUGCAAUAAGAAUAUCUGACUAUAAUAUUUGUUUUAAUGUUAUUGACAAUAUGUAUGAAGUAUGUUGCCAAUAGGACUCUGAUUAUUGCAACAUGAAAGACUGUUUAAGUGAAUGGACUAGUUCGCUGUUCCUUUUCUUCAAUGAACAUGGAAGUAAAUUGAGAUCGUUAAGGAUGCUAGGAUGCCCAAUAAAGUUGCAACAAAAAAAAGAAGGGGGAGGAGCUUAUUUCCGAAAAAAGGCGCGAAAAUUUGCCUAUUUAAAAAUGGAACUGACUGAAUGGACUCACACUUUGAUAAAGGCUUUGGCUGAAACGCGUUAGUGUGCAGAGGUGGAAUUGCUGAAUUUUAAUUUUUACUGCUGCUGUCUUUUUUGCUGCUAUACCGAAUAAAGGUUUUCAUUAAAGAUCCUGCAUCCUGGAUUUUGUAAAGCAAGAAGGAGCAAGCAAUUAAGCAGUUGGAUUACAACAACCACCUCACUAAUCCAUUCAAUGUUCCUAGUCUGAGCCAGCUUCCAUAUUAAGUGGCUCAUGAAUAUGUGAGUUUAUUCAAGUAUUUACUCAUUCAUAUAUUAUUUGUACGUUAUUACCCUAUGCCUGUUUUUCCCAUUGUGUUUUUACAGGUUUUAUAUUGAAUAUAAGGGUAAUUAUUGUUUCUCUGUGCUCUCACCAUUUUUUACUGUUUUAACCAUUUAUUUAUGUGAGGUGGAGUGACCCAUAUUAUUUUAUGUAUAAUUUAUAAUUUAACUAUUAAAUUAGAACAUCAUUCAGCAUUUUCAUUCAUUCAAUAUAUAACCUCUUCACUUCCAGAAUCAAGUUUAAACCAUUUUACUUUCAUGCACUUUGCAGAAUAAAAUUUAGUCCACAAAACCUCUUUCACACUAAUGUAUAUAUUAGUAAGGAUUACCAGCCUGUAAAGGAGCACAUUAUUCUUCCAGAAUUCGCUAGACAUUCAUUAAUGCCUUCAAGUGUGCUGAAAAUAUCAGAUCAAAUCCUUUUUUUAAACAGUAAAGGAAGUUUCAAUAGGCCCUUCCAUUCCUACUGUCAGGGAGGAGGGAGCAAUGAAUGGACUCUACCAUUUAACUAGUAACAUUACAUUAGCAUUCAAGAUAGUGCUAACUAUUGUAGUAGCACUUUUUAAAAUACCUUUAUUUUAGAAAAAUACGAUCUAACUGUAUUUUUUGUUUGUGGGCAUUGUGCUCAUAUGCAGACAUUAUUUUUACAAUCUGUUACCAUUUUUAGUAAACUGUACUGCUAGUAAUGCCUUCUGGGUCCUUACCUAUAAGCAGGCUAUUUGACAAAUUGUAUUUCUCUCUUUUUGUUACACCUGCUGUACUAAAAACAUAGUAAUUAUUGCUGUUAUAUUAUCAUUUCAGACCCUGCGUGAAAUAUUGAAUGAUAAAGGACACUGUAUACUGUAUAAAGCAUUUAAUUCCCCACAAAUUACUAUAAAGGAUGAACAAAUAAAUUGAAAAUAAGAAAUGUGUACAUUUUCAUAAUUUGAAUAUAAAAGUUUGUCUGAAAACGAAAAGCUGUUUUAUUCAUUGUUUAUGUGCUAGCCAUACAUCUUUUGCUUCAAAUUAAUGCUAUAUUUAUAUUUUUUCUAAUAAGAAGUGUUUGUUAGUGAAGAGGUUAAAGGGACAUCUUAUAACAAAUGGUUUUAUUUUAGCAUGUAAUAGGAUAUGGUACAAUAUAUUUUGAAUGAGCAUUGAUUCUUAUUAUUACACUAAUCUUCCACCAAGGACCUUAAGCUCCCACUGCGGGUAAUGAUACGAUGUAACAUUUGUCAUCCAGAUGUCACUUGUUGAUUACUUUAAUUAAGACCUAAUUCAUUAGUCAGUUGGUCCCCAUGGUUAACUUACAUCAAGGGGUGUCUUUACUGAAGAGUAAUAAAAUAAUGAAUUUCUAAAAUAUAAAGCAAAAUAGUUGGUGAUAAAGGUAAGUUAGAUAUGUUUUCAAACUUAUUAUUAUAGCUAUUUUUAUUUAAUUUUUAUUUCACCCCAACUGAUAAUUUAAUGAACAAUGCACCAAGUCAUGCUAUGUGAUCAUUUCUUGUUGGUUUAUAUAUUCGAUAUGGGAACAGUUGUGUAAUUUACAAAAGUAGAUAUACAACAGUCCAAACUCUCAGUAAUAGGGCCAUUCCUACACAGAAUGCAUACAACAUAACAUUAUUAUUAAAUAAUUUUUGCUCGGGGGCAAUAUCACUUAAAUGUUUUAUGUGUCCAACCUUGACUCAAAUUUAUGUACAAAUGAAUAAAAUAUCCAACGAGGUGCCACAAGAUGAAACAUUGUGUGGAUUUUCAUGAGACAUGAGAAGGACCAAAUACAGGGCUAGUUAAGGUCCCGUUGAGACAUUUUCUAGUGGUUUAUUGUGGCAUAUUGUUGAUAAAUAAAUUAGUACAGUAAACCAUUAUAGAGCUAGGUAGACCUUUAAUAUGCAUUAACCUUGUGAGAUUGAUUAGAUUUUCUUGUGAAUAUGAUUUUUACCCAUUUCUCCAUUGCAAGUGGGCUCUAAUAUGUUACAUUUUAAAACCAAAGAAAGAAAAGUUACCUGCGCUCUUACCAAAUCCCUAUGCAUAUUUAAACAAACGGAGGUUAUUUAGUUACUCCAAUGGCCAUGAGAGGGGAUGCCCAUCUGUCAUGUCAAGGCAAACCUCUUAUGUAGAUCCUACAUUGACUAUUCACCUUGCUUACUUGAGCUCUGGCAAAUAUAUCUCUAAUGAGACAGAGAGGGGUAUAUUUAUAAAACCUGACAUGCUUAUUAACCCUUCAUUAGGAACACAUGGGGUCGGUGGCAGCACUGUAACAUAGCAAAAGUGAAUACAAAUACACAAAAACAAGUCCUGCGCUCAAACUCCCACUACUCCUGGGCGGCAGCAACGACCAAAGUACACAUCAGCACCAAUACAUACAGUAAAGCAACAAGAAGGGUUGCCUGAAUUUAAUUAUUCAUUCUUAAGUAUGAAAUAAUAGUGUCUCUACUGGUGUGUCAGUAAUAGGAGUCUAAGUAACUGAGAUUAUUUUUUAGAGUAUAGUGAUCCAAAAUUGUUAAUUGAGGAGCAGGACCACCAAAUGGAGAAUUGUAAUCAGUGCCAAUUCUCCAGCAAGUAUCAGGAUUCUGAGUAUCAUGUGAGUGGAGGUAUGAUUGACUAAGACACCAUCUUAAAUGAGGAAGAUGAUUUUGCAUUUAGCUGUUCUAAAAUCAGGUACAUCUGGGAGAGUAAGUGAGAGACCUUUGUUGGUUACAUACAAUUUAAAAAUGGAUGUUUCUUGCGAAUGGGUGGAGGCGUUGGGAAGAAAUGCUCUGGGUCUACAAUUGGGACCAGUACGACAUCCAAAGUCCCAUAUAGUAAGGCCUCUUAGCUUGAGGGAUUAAAUCAGAAGGUAAAUAAAGAUUGUGUUACAAGAAAGCUGAAAAUGGGAAAUUGUGAAAUUGCAGAAGAAAGGGUAGGAAUAUUUUAGUGUAUUCCUACAGCUUGUGUGUGAGGUAUACAAUCCCAGGUCUCUAUGUGCCUUCGAGGUAAACAAGAAUAACAAAUGUAAGUUUAGGUUCUCGUUCCAUCUUAAUAAAUUUGUUCACUAGUGUGCACAUUUCUUUUAAAUACUGCAUUUGUAUUUUGAUAAGCAAUGAGGAAAAUUAUAAAUUAUCCCUAGAAGUAUAUUCAGUUUUAAUUUGUCUACACUCUGCAACUAUGGGAUAUAUUUCACUGGCUUAAGUAACUAAUUAGUAACUAAUUAAUGAAUGUUAGCAGAGGAUAAUUAACUAAUCCCAAAUAUAUAAUGGAAUGUUUCAUAAACUUAAUGGCUAAAUAAGUCAGUGUAGCAGUUAUUACAUAGUAGGGGUAUAGGAUCUGUUACUAUUAUUUAACAUACUUUUCGAAGCAAAAAUCGCAAAUUAAGAAUACGCACUUCAGAUCAGUAAACAAUGUUUGAACUGUUUAUGUGCUAUGGAAUCACAUUUAUUACCACUCACUCGCAAUGCACAGAAGAAGACCUACAAUAGUUUUCUAGAAUGAGAAGCUCAUACCAACCACGAUCUAGCAAUAUGCUGGUCCUGAGAGUGAAGUCUAUAAGUAAGUUCAUAAUGAUAACUUAUGUUAACAUUUGUGAGUGUCAUUUUUGCAUUGAUAACAUCAACCAUUAGUUGAAGGAGAAAGAAAUAAGGAGAAAAUAACAAGAACAUUUAAUACAAUGGUAGAAGAGGCCUGAAAUGGUAAAAUGCAUGUGCUUAACACAUAGCGUUCAACCGAUUGAAUUUCUCUUUGACCCCUUUGUAGCUGAGCCCCAGGCCUUAAUUUAUACUUUGAACAGAACGAUUCUCCAAAGCAGGUGGUCUCGGGUCAUCACCUUUCAUAUCCUCUCUGUGCCCUUGGUGAGAUGAUUCACUUAUUACACCACUCUAAGCUGUUAAUCCAGUUAGGUUCCUCGUCUAGUUUCCAUAGAGACAGAUGAUGGACAAGUAAACAUGUAAAUAAAAGAACUCUUAAAUCUGUUCCAUACAGCACAAUAUUUACUAUUGCGCAAUAAGUAAACAAAAUUGAUUGUAUAUGUAUUACUAAAACAACUGGCUCUAGUGGUAAUGGUGCUUACAUUGCCCCUUUGGUAAUUAAUAGCUCUAAAAAUACUUUUUCUCCCCCAUAAAUUACAAUGCCUUAUGUGGCUAUAUAAAGAUUGUAAUGAAAUGUAAUGGAGCAUGAAAUGUCAGGAGUUCAGAGUGAACUCACAGUGAAUUUUAAACUUUAGGCCAAACUGAAAACAUAGCUGACAUUGAGAAUAUUACAUUUCAGCUAUUUUGGUAUCACAUUUUGAAUUGCAUUCUUCACAUUGAAUUCCAUACAAUUCAUACUACAGUGAAUUGUUCUUUGUUGUUUUAAAAACUAUUGGAGUAGUUACUGUUUUUUUCUGCUUCCAAUAAAAGCAAUGUUCUCUGGGGUCUGAAAGAUGGACCCCUCAAGCAGUACUCUUUGUUUUUGUUUUCAUUAAGAACAUCUGGUUGGGUCUAUGCUGUAAUCAGAUAUUUUCCCAAAUUGUCAAUUUUCUAGCAACAUUAGUCCACUGUUAACCGCUACAUUUUGUUUUUGGUUUUUUUUUGCAAAACUUAAAGCACAUAUAAUGGAGAGUCUCUCAUAAUGAAAUCUUCAACAGUAAAAAAUAUAAACAGAAGAAUUAUGUAUUUAGAGAGAUCCAGUAUUUACAAAAUCCAUCACACUUACUAAUCUCACAAAAUUGAAUAGGUGUUUUGUUUUAAAGAAAACACCUGAUUUAGUCAAAAAUAUUGGGGGUUUACUUACAGUAUAUGAUCAAACAUUGAAUAAGCUUGCCAUAACACCAAUGUACCUCAUUUUUGGCAGGUCCUAUUCUAGAAACCUAAAGCUCUGAGAUUAAUCUAAUUACUUGGGAAAUCCUUUCUCCUGGGGCACUCUGCAUUGCAAGGUUAACUAGGGUUAAGACACCUAUGAGAGGGAGAGGUGCAAAACCAAAAGAAAUAUAUUCACAUAUAGAACCACUACAGCAUAACUGUAAGAUAGCACACUAUAGUUUCUCUAAAAUUGGUGCUUUAACUGGUUUUCAAGGAACAAAGCACAUUGUGCAGUGCUCCCUAUAGGCCAUUUGUAUUACAUACCUGGAGAUCUAUACCAUGUGUUCGGGGAGAGGCUUGUAUGCCACAUACAUUUCUAAACUUGUCUGAAAUGUGACUCUUUAUGAUCUUGCACACUGGUAAAUUCAACACAGAUUUUAUAGAAUGCCUUAAAAAAAACUAAAUGGAUGAGCCGUAUUCACAUCCUUAAUAACUGUGGAGAAAAUGUUUGUUUCAGUUUGCCUAAAGGAAAGAAAAAAAGGUGUCAUAUUACAGAAAUCAAGAGAUAAACCCAUUUUUGUAUUUUUAUUUUAUAGAACAUGUGCGCCUAAACUACUUGUAAAAUAACUUUUAUAAGUCAUAAGCCUUUACUGUCCCUUUAACAUUCAAAGAUAAAUCGACAAUUGAUACUUUUUCUGCUACGAUAUUAUACGAAUGCUUCAAGCAAAGGAAGACUACAGGAAUCUAUGCUGUAUCUGUCAUUUUCAAUUGGAAAGAAAAUUGGUUAAAAUAUAGAGAAGAGAGAGUUGUGAUAAAUUGGACUUGAUCAGAGGUUGUACAGUGGAGAACUUUAGUUUUAAGUUUGUUUUGUGUGUGUGUGACCAGCAUGUAAGCACUAGAAAAGGAUGAGUUCACAGUUACCAAGAUUAAUUUGAAUAUGUUAUAAAUCAUAUGCAUGAUGAAGUAAUGCAACAAGCAAACAUCAUUACCCAAACUUAUUAAAAUCACUAUAUAUUUACAAUAUUUAGAAAACAUGAAUACUUACUAGUGAUAAAGAUGUACUUCCAUCUAAUGUAAAGGAUUCUCUUCUUUAAAAAGUUGUGUAUAAAUGAUGUGCAUUAAUGUGACACAUGAAGAUAACUGCUUUAUAAAGACUAUAGUGUCAUUAUGGUGCUAUUUAUAAUGCUAAAUGCUAUUGCCUGGUACCCAAAUGAAUAUGACGCUGAAAUUAUAUUGCCCAUGAUUUAGGGAAUUAGAAAAAGUUUAUGGAUAUUGGCAACAAAAGACUAAAAUCCUACAAAGCCCUAAGCAGAUUAAUGGUUUGGCCACCCCUUCAUUCUUCUCACCAAAUUCAUGGUUCCUGGGUCCCUAUAUAUUCCCUGUGGCCUCCUAGGGUAUUUAGGGUUUGGGUGGUUUAGUAUUAUGAUAAGGUCUUAGAGUUAAGGGGGUUACUUAAUUCAAGAUGCCCUGGACUAUAACUACAGCAAUACGUGAAUAUGUGAAUCACCCAUAACCUCAUAUCCCCCUUUAAUUCUACCUUUAAUUCCUAAUAGACAUUAGUUGUAUGCCUUUCAAUAGAGCCUCAAGCGCCCUUGUAUUGUAUAAUUUAUAUGUUUUAAAAGAGUGAUCUACCUGAAAGGAUUUCACGCUAUGGGAGAUCCUAAUCAUGGCAGAGCUGACACAUUUAUCUCCCACCCUGCCUAAGAUUGACAGAAGGUAUGCUCCUUGGCAGAAACUGCAGUUUGCAUUUGCUUCUAUUUAUAUUCAGCCUUCUAUAUUAGACCCUAUAUUAGAGAGGAGCUGAGGAGACAGAAACAAUGCAAUAAUUUCUUCACAUCUCCUUUUCUGGUGUAAUACAAUUGGGAGAGAACUGGAUUAAUGUAGUCAGCUGCAAGAUGGACCUGUAACUUCCACCAAUCUUUACCAGACUGGGACAUAUGUGUCUCGGGGGUGCUUAAGAGUAUACGAACCACAACCCUAGCACUAACCCUAAAAAAUAAGUGAUAUAAUACACUGCUCAAAAAAUAAAGGGAACACAAAAAUAACACAUCCUAGAUCUAAAUUAAUUAAAUAUUCUUCUGAAAUACUUUGUUAUUUACAUAGUUGAAUGUGCUGACAACAAAAUCACACAAAAAUGAAAAAAUGGAAAUAAAAUUUUUGAACCCAUGGAGGUCUGGAUUUGGAGUCACACUCAAAAUUAAAGUGGAAAAACACACUACAGGUUGAUCCAACUUUGAUGUAAUGUCCUUAAAACAAGUCAAAAUUAGGCUCAGUAGUGUGUGUGGCCUCCACAUGCCUGUAUGACCUCCCUACAAUGCAUGCUCCUGAUGAGGUGACGAAUGGUCUCCUGAGGGAUCUCCUCCCAGACUGGACUAAAGCAUCUGCAACUCCUGGACAGUCUGUGGUGCAACGUGACGUUGGUGGAUGGAGCAAGACAUGAUGUGCCAUAUGUGCUCAAUUGGAUUCAGGUCUGGGGAACGGGCGGGCCAGUCCAUAGCAUCAAUGCCUUCGUCUUGCAGGAACUGCUGACACACUCCAGCCACAUGAGGUCUAGCAUUGUCUUGCAUUAGGAGGAACCCAGGGCCAACCACACCAGCAUAUGGUCUCACAAGGGGUCAGAGGAUCUCAUCUCGGUACCUAAUGGCAGUCAGGCUACCUCUGGCGAGCACAUGGAGGGCUGUGUGGCCCCCCAAGGAAAUGCCACCCCACACCAUUACUGACCCACUGCCAAACCGGUCAUGCUGGAGGAUGUUGCAGGCAGCAGAACAUUCUCCACGGCAUCUCCAGACUCUGUCACAUCUGUCACAUGCUCAGUGUGAACCUGCUUUCAUCUGUGAAGAGCACAGGGCACCAGUGGUGAAUUUGCCAAUCUUGGUGUUCUCUGGCAAAUGCCAAAUGGCCUGCACAGUGUUGGGCUGUAAGCACAACCCCCACCUGUGGACGUCGGGCCCUCAUACCACCCUCAUAGAGUCUGUUUCUGACUGUUUGAGCAGACACAUGCACAUUUGUGGCCUGCUGGAGGUCAUUUUGCAGGGCUCUGACAGUGCUCCUCCUGUUUCUCCUUGCACAAAGGCGGAGGCAGCAGUCCUGCUGCAGGGUUGUUGCCCUCCUACGGCCUCCUCCACGUCUCCUGAUGUACUGGCCUGUCUCCUGGUAGCGCCUCCAUGCUCUGGACACUACGCUGACAGACACAGUUAUCCUUCUUGCCACAACUCGCAUUGAUGUGCCAUCCCGGAUGAGCUGCACUACCUGAGCCACUUGUGUGCGUUGUAGAUUCUGUCUCAUGCUACCACUAGAGUGAAAGCACCGCCAGCAUUCGAAAGUGACCAAAACAUCAGCCAGGAAGCAUAGGAACUGAGAAGUGGUCUGUGGUCACCACCUGCAGAACCACUCCUUUAUUGGGGGUGUAUUGGGGGAUUCUCAUAUGCACCUUUCAUACCAGACUAAACCGUAAAAGCUAAUUUUGGUCUGUGUUGACACCUUUGGUAUCUCUAUAUACCAUUAUAAAUUAUGUAAAUAUGUAUGUAUAGAUCUUUUGAUGGGUUGUAAAUAUGUAUAUCUUGCCAGAUGCACUUGCAAAUUUUUGUAAAUAGUAUAUGUAGUUGUGGGUUCAUUUAGUCAUUAUUUAGAUUAAUAUAUGUUUUUAUUUUCAACCUACCUACAGUCAGGAGGCCAGUGAUUAUGAUUUCUGUUUUGCAUAUUGAGUAACUAGUUUAAAGCUAAUGAUAUCUAUAUUGGCACCAUCAUACUCUAUGACAUAUAUGGUCCUUAUAAUCUGAACCCAGAAUAUGAGAAGGAUAUAUCUAUGGAGAGUAUGAUAUCUUUAUAUAUGCCACACUAUACUAGAGACCUCAUAUGCAUAAUCACACACAAUGUAGAUAUUUUUCUAUAGACUUUAAGCUGUGGAUGAUGCCUGUUUGCAUAGGCGUUGAAUCACACUUUGAAAGUCUGAUAUAUCCUGGACACUCCCACAUUUUGGACUUACGUUCUUUGGCACAUAGACUGCCUUAUUUGUGCAGAUACGCCCACAUGAUGACAUCUAGGGGCGUACCUGGGAGGUCACAUGGUCGGCCGAUUGAGUGUGACAGACUACGUGUUAGCUCCGCCCCCUCGUACACCACGUGGGCGGAGACGUAACACGGAAGUAUCAGUACAGGAUUAAACACACGUGUGGAAUACACUGCCCUGACACACAUUGGCUGUUGGUAGGAUUAACACCCUGGCACUUAAGGUAUUUAAGAGACAUCACUGUGAGUAGUAAGUUGGCCCCUGACGAAGGUGCAUUCUCUAAGCACCGAAACGCGCGUUGGGCAUUUGCCAAUAUUUACAUUGGGCACUGAAUGGCACCCUAGCACUAUGAAUUGCACUUAGCACAUUUUUCUUUGUUUUCUUUUCUUUGUAUUCCUAUGCCUGUCUUAGUUUACCAGGGAGAGAGGCUUUAUAAAUUUAAAUUUGUACGGCAGCCUAUUUUUGACUGACCAUUUGUUUCUAUAAACUCUUUUUCUUUACUUUCUCCCUGAGACUCUCCUCAUAGGAGUAAUACUGGACUUCUAAUUCCUGUAUAUAUGCAAGGUCUGCUGUUCUGCAAGUUAUUUACCUCAAUAUGGUUUGACUUAAUGCAAACUCACUCUGGUGUUUGCAUAUAUUUUCAGCAGAUAUCUCUACCAUUGACCUUACAGUAUAUACAUACAGGAUUUUUGUGGGACUUUGCACCCAGGAAGCUAUAAACUGGCAUUUAGAUUGCUAUAUAAAUACCCCUUCCUAUUUAGUAUAUGUAUUUUAUUAAAGCUGUUAUAUAGGAAUAAGGGUUCAUACUAAUAUAUAUGACAUAUUGCCAGGUUCUGCUUUAUCCUAUAUGCACCCCUUUCAGAGAGCAUAGGAAUAUUAGUAUCAAGCAUAUACUUACUUUAUAUCUCCUACUAGUUUGUCUUUACCCUGGUAUUUUUUAGCCAGUAUCUUUCCACGCUACAUUGCUAUAUAUUAUUUCCAGGUAAUGCAGACAGACUGGGGUUUGUUGGACAUCCUAAGUCUGCCUGCAUUUCUUCUCUUUUUUCUGUGGCAUUUUCUAUUUGGGGUUAAGCCCCGUUGAGACCCCUGGAGUCUCUCUGCGGUACUUAAGACUCUACUGUAUAGGUGUGCCCUCCCUGUCUUUUAGGGAGUUGGUACACACAGAUACAUGCACCGUCUUAAUUGUCCUUUGUGUUUUUUUGUGUCUUCCUAAUUGCCUAUAAUUUCCACAUGUUGUCUAUCCCAUUUGCACAACAGAAUGUGAAAUUGAUUGCCUGUGUUUCUUCUCUUUUUUCUGUGGCAUUUUCUAUUUGGGGUUAAGCCCCGUUGAGACCCCUGGAGUCUCUCUGCGGUACUUAAGACUCUACUGUAUAGGUGUGCCCUCCCUGUCUUUUAGGGAGUUGGUACACACAGAUACAUGCACCGUCUUAAUUGUCCUUUGUGUUUUUUUGUGUCUUCCUAAUUGCCUAUAAUUUCCACAUGUUGUCUAUCCCAUUUGCACAACAGAAUGUGAAAUUGAUUGUUACUCAGUGUUGCUUCCUAAGUGGACAGUUUGAUUUCACAGAAGUGUGAUUGACUUGGAGUUACAUUGUGUUAUUUAAGUGUUCCAUUUAUUUUUUUUGAGCAGUGUAUAUACAUAACAAUGAAGCAUGCAUUAAGUAAGCAUUACUAUCCUGAAAUGUUUGGGGCAUGCACAUUCAAUCUCCUGGUUUAUUAAAGGGACAUUCUGCCCAUUGGAGUGGUCUGGGUGCCAACUCCCGCAGUUUUCAUAAACUGCAAUAAUUACUUUGCAGGGUUAACUCCUCCUCUAGUGGCUGUCUAGUAGACAGCCACUAGAGGGCACUUCAGUGUUUAUAGCACAUGAAAAGUGUCUUAUAACAUCGCUGGAUGUAUUCACGCUAUGUGUGGACCUCCAGCAUUGCUGAAAUCCCCAAUUGAAAGCAUUGAAAGCAUUUUUCAAUGCUUUCCUAUGGUGAGGUCUAAUGUACGUGCGCAGCAUUGUCGCGCAUGCGCAUUAGAUCUCCCCCACCGUCGGUUGCGCAUGCUCACUAGGUCUCCCCCGCCAGAUGACGUCAGCGGGGGAGGAGAGUGGGUGGACCCCGUUCAGAAACAUGGGAUGGAGGGUGGGAGGGAGAGGGGACCUGCAGUGCCAGGAAAACGGUUUGUUUUCCUGGCACUGGAGAGUCCCCUUAAAACUGCUCUAAUUUCAGUAAUAUAUUUAAUGUAGUGAAGUAAUAUAAAUAAGAGUAAAAACUUUCAUUCUAAGAUUUAAUUCAAAUGAAUAAGUAACUCUUUUUCUAUAUUCCUUUUUAAUUGACUUGCUUGGGGAUUAUCUUUGACAGGAAGCAGGAGAACCACCUGUGGGUGGGUUUUCCUGCUCACCCAGUUCUCUUAAAGUCCAGAACUGAUUGAUAGGUUAGGGAAUAACCAUAUGUUUUUAAAUUAAAAGUUAAGCACCUUUAAUAAUGCAAUGUAUAGAUUAAAAUUAAUUCUCUAUAUUUUAAACCUUAAUUGUGUGUACCAUGUGAGCCUUGCAAUGAGACACAACAAUUAACUGAUCCAGGAUCUUAUCUACUGCACAUAACUGCUGAAUAAUGCAUGAUAGGGCAUUCUACUGUGGUACUAGGUGUUCUAGUAUUAGGAAAAAUCAUCUGAAAACACUAAUAUUUAAUGCUGAAUGAUUUGACUUCUUGUAUUUUUAAACAGCUUUAAAUCGAUUGCAUUAUGCUCCAAACAAAAAAUCACCAGGUUUUGUACAAGGCAGGCUUUCCAAGGACUUACAUAUCAACUGCAUCCAGCUCCAAUACACAAUGAAAAGUCCUUAAAGAUAACAAAUUUAUCUUCUAUUAAAUCAAACCCUGGUAGGUAAAGUAAGGACGUGGACUCCUGGAGAGUCAAACAAAAGCUAAAGGAAGGUAGAAAGCAAUCAAAAUUCAAAGAUUUGACUGGUCACUUGGAAACAUUAUAAUGUUCUGUGAAGUUAGAUGAGAUUGCUCAGUGAAGUGUGUCUGAAUUAAAUGAUAAGUUGUGACCCCUCUCCCAUUGCUUCACUUACACUCCAGAGGGAACGUCAGGAUCGGCACUUCUCAUUUUUAAGCACUGAGGGUUCUAUAGGUCAGUCAAGGCUGCAUGCCUUGCUCUCUUGUGAUGAUGAUGAGUGACCUUUACAGCAGACAGUACAGGACAUCGUGAUAACUACUGAAUCUUAUAAGAAGAAUGCAGUGAAAAACAUAAGGGCUGCUUAGAAUGCAGAGACCUGUCACAGCUGUAUGCCCAGAGACCUAGUUCAUUAAUAUUAUCAUACAUUCUUCCUAGAACAAUCAUAUUUCCAUUUAAUGCUAUUUAUUUAAAUUUGAAUUAUAUAAAGUGUAUAUUUUUUAAUGGAUAGUUGUGUAUAGUAUUUACUUUGUAAAAUGAAAUUUAAAUUGAUUCUAUUUUCUGACUUGUUCCUUAUGUAACCUGAUAACAUGCCUUGUGAAACAUUAUUUCAUAAGCUGAUGACACAAUAGAGCAUAUUUAGGCUAUGACUAUUUCACACACGAUCUAGUCUAGGGCCUCCAAUGUUUUAUUCUGAAUAUCUCCAAAUGCAUUGCUUUGGUAAAAAUGUUCCUUAUUAAUUCUGACUCCUCAAAUCUUGAUUAGUGAAUAGAUCAAACAUUGCAAAAAGUGCAAAAAUUCAUAGUUUCAUUGAUUUUAUCUGUCUCCCUGGUCCCUCACUCUGUCCAUCCAUCCAACCAACCAACCAUAUGUUUGAAUACCUUGUUAUAUAUAUAUAUAUAUAUAUAUAUAUAUAUAUGUAGGUCUUUGCAUUCUGAGCAGCCCUUAAGAUUUUUUUUGCUGUAUUCUUCUUAGUAGAGUCAGCUAUCACCAUGUUCUGUGCUGUCUGCUGUAAAGGUCACUUAUAAAGGUCCUGCUCUCCUUUGCUUUUAGAGUGGCUUUUGAUUGUGGCCAGUCUAAGGCACACCUGUGCAAUAAUCAUGCUGUCUAAUCAGCAUCUUGAUAUGCUACAACUGUGAGGUGGAUGGAUUAUCUCGGCAAAGGAGAAGUGCUCACUAUCACAGAUUUAGACAGAUUUGUGAACAAUAUUUGAGAGGAAUAGGCCUUUUUGUACAUAGAAAAAGUCUUAGAUCUUUGAGUUCAGCUCAUGAAAAAUGGGAGCAAAAACAAAAGUGUUACAUUUAUAAUUUUGUUCACUGUAUAUAUAUUUGUUUUUUAUUCCUCAUCAAUUUCCCCCUUCUUUUGUUCAGUGAGUGGUUAGGAGGGUGAAACCCUUGGGGCUUUUGUCUUGUUAUCCACCUACAUUUACCAUUCAUGUUUGUCAAUCAAUACUUUAUGCACCUUUUGUUGUGUAUGUGCAGAUAUUCCCAUAUGUUAAUUCAGUUAAUUUUCCUUCUUUUCACUCUUUUUAAUUCUAUUUUUAUUCUGCAGACCUUUUAGCUGUAUAGGUUUAUUUACCUAAUAGCUUCAUUUAUGCUAUUAGAUUUGUAUCAUACAUGGGUUCAAGCCCAAUCCUUUAGGAUUGGUGAUUUAGUGACUUGCAUUCAUUAUUUUUUAAUUGGCUCUUAUAUUUUAUAUUCAUUUGAAUGCACAUAGCAAGGGGGGCUGAUAAAGCAGGUACCAUCAACUUGCAGGGAGAGCCAAAGAAGAGCAUUAGAAUUAUUAAGAGGAAAAAAGAGAAGCUCAGUUUUAGAGAGGAUGAGAUUCUGAAAUUGGGAGAUCAUACAGUCAGAUAUAGAAGAAAGGCAACUGGUGAUGCAUUUUAAAACAGUGGAGGAGACAUCAGAGGAGGAGUGAUAUAUCUGGUUGUCAUCGGCGUACAGGUGGUAGUAGAAUCCAAAGGAAUUAUUAAGUUAGCCAAGAGAGGCAGUAUUAAGAUAAAAGGGGACCGAGAACAGAGCCUUGGGGGACCCCAACUGAGACAGGAUACUGGGAAGAGAUGCUAUUAGAGAAAGAGGCACUGAAUUAACAUUGGGAGAGAUUGGAGGAGUAGCACGGGAGGACAGAGAUUGAAGAGUUUGAACACAUAGGACAUAAUUAACAGUGUCAAAAGCAGCAGAGAGGUCAAUAAGAAUUAGUAUAGAGUAGUGACCUUUGGAUUUAGCUGCAAUUAGAUCAUUUGCUACAUGCCAAGAUGCUUUCAUGAAAAGUUCUCUAAACAGCUACCAAUGAGAGGUGAGGGGACCUGCUUAACUGAAAUGUAUUACAGAAUUAAAGAGACACUAUUUGUUUUCCUUUGUAUUUUAGAUUACUACCCACCCCUUUAGAAAUGAAUGUUUCUAAACUACUGCAAAUACAUGUUUUCCCCACUUAAACACUGGCGAGGUGCUGCUCCACGUGCCCUUAUGUACAAACCUCCACUGAAAGAUACACUACAGCAUUAGGAAUACAAAUCUGUAUUCCUAAUGGUAUAGUGUUCCUGUUCCUACAUGUUGGUAGGUUCCCCUCCCCUGCGCACAAAAACGUUUUACUUAGCUUAUUUCAGUGCUGAAGCUCCCUUGGCACUGCUCAUCUCUCUUACCAACUUGUAUCAUGGAGAAGGCCCUGCCUCCUCUGUGCGGGUUCAAUCCAAUGCUUCUCAUUUAGGAUGUAACGUUUCUGCAUACUUUUAAGUUUUACUCAAUCUGUGCCAUGGAAUUAAGGGUUAAGGUGAUAGGGAUGCGGCACCUAGACCAUUUCAUUAAGAUUAAGUGGUCUGGGUGAUUAUAGUGUUCCUUUAAUAGGCUGUGCAUAAUUCAAAGAAGCUGGUGUCCAUUUAAUUUUUUCCAUUUUUACAGUUCUCAAAAAUACCCAUCUUAGUGACAAUAAGAGACAAUAUCAUGAAUAGUGUAUGCGCUAAAUACUUAAAUACAGUGAAAUAAGUGUGAAAUUGCUAAAUUCAGGUAAAACAUUUUAAGCUGGGGUUAAACCAAAGUUAAAGUAUGUUUAAAAAUCAUAUAUAUUUUACAUGUACUUUUGCAGUAAGUUUCAAAAUUGGCACAGUUUGCUAUUUAUUGAGUUACCUCCAGGUCAUACAAGAUACAAGAGAGUGAUGUUAUUAACCGAUUACCACUAGACACCACUCAUUAACUCUUUCAGACUGGCAUUCUCAUUUCCAAUAGUUUUACCACAAGCAUCUAUUCUCCCUCUAUACCCUCUUCUUUCUCACAUUACCUCCUUUAGUGGAUCCAGUUGGUAUGCUUAUGUCUUCAUUUUCCCUCCAUCAUGAUCUCUUCUUCUGAACAUUUUUUAUGUAGUUUUCAUUGCUCAUGCUUCCCACAAAAAUAGGAGAUGUUAAAACUGAUGAUGUUUACCUCCUUUGAUUAUCCCACCAUUUUUGUCACAUUCCCUUAUAAAUCCUGCUCUCUCCUUUCAUAACUUUUCUCACCAUUUCACCUUUAUCUAAUAUCUGUUUUAUCUAAUAUCUGAAAAAGUUAUUUUCAAAGGGAUGGAUAAAUAUGUCAAAUAGUAAAAUUAUGGAAAAUUACAUAAUUAGAUUUUUAUCUAUGUCUCAACAGCAGUCUACAAACACAGUUGCUGUUUUAUUCUGUAUGUAUAUGCUACCUAUGCAUUCCAUGUUUCCCAUAAAUGAGUUAAUGGAUGUCUGAUCGGAUGGGAGAUUUUGGUAUGCUUAGUUUAACAAAUGUGCUACUAGUUUUAUGUAUUUGGAGAAUAUUUGAUGCCUCAUUUGACAGUCUAUCCUCCUACUGCCCCAGGACACAUGUGCUGACCUCUGUGUCAACAACCCCGUGCAUGCCAGCUCAGAGUGAAUAGGUCAUAAACCAUUGAAGGGCACAAAAAGAGUAUACUCUAUUAGUACUUGUCACUGGCCUAAACCAUAAAGCAAUAACAAGUUGAGUCAGCUUUCAAUAUAUGUGUUUUCCCUAAAUUUAUAAAUACAUAAAUAAUAUCGGUUUUUCCUAAAUUUAUAAAUACAUAAAUAAUAUCGAUAAAAUAAAAAAUUUUGAAUAAAGAAAAAUGUUUUUAAUAAGAUAAUAUAUUUUGCAUAUCAUUCAGUCAUUUACUGUGAAAUUUCAAUUUAUGAAACACAUCUUUAUUCACCUUCAGUUUCAGUUUAAGUGAACUGCAUUCUUUAAAAUGAAUUGUAUCAUUACUCUUUUUGAAUUGUAUAGUGACAAUGAACCAUUUUCAGGCUCAUGUUUUGCUGAUAUCUUUUAGAUAACAUUGUGGUAAUGCUUGAAGUGGAACAACAUGCUCUGGAGAAAAACGGUUUGCUUUGCCUUGUCAUCAGCUCUUGUUAUCC